GCAGAAGAUUCCCUAUGCAUCAGUGGCAGGGAGUCUAAUGUACGCUCUAAUUUGUACUUGUCCCGAAAUAGCAUUUAUAGUGGGAGUUUUGGGUAGAUACUUGAGUGAUCCUGGCAUGCAACAUUGGAAAGCAGCCAAACGUGUGAUGCGUUAUUUGAGGAGAACAAAAGACUACAUGCUCACUUAUCGAAAAUCAGAUAGUUUAGAGAUCAUCGGGUUCUCUGACUCCGAUUUUGUGGGAUGCCAAGAUAGCAGACGCUCCACAUCAGGCUACAUCUUUAUGUUGGCUGGAGGAGCUAUCUCAUAGAAGUCUGCUAAACAGACUCUCAUAGCUUCUUCAACCAUAGCUGCGGAGUUUAUUGCUUGUUAUGAGGCAUCCAACCAUGGAAUAUGGCUACGAAACUUUGUCACUGGACUACGAGUGGUAGAUGGCAUUGACAGGCCAUUAAAGAUUUAUUGUGACAAUAACUCAGCGGUGCUUUACUCCAACAACAAUAGGAGUUCGACAAAAUCGAAAUUCAUUGAUAUCAAGUUUCUAGUUGUUAAGGAGAGAGUUCAAGAUAAACAAAUUUCCAUAGAACAUAUAGGAACAAAUUCCAUGCUAGCGGACCCACUAACCAAGGGCUUAACGCCAAAGGCCUUUCAUGAGCACACUGCUCACAUGGGCGUUAUUUCCGAGGAUAUUCUAGUCUAGUGGGAGUCAAUUUUAUGUUCUAUAUGUUUGCUUUAGACAUUAAAUUAUUUAACCUUCUGCAGAAUAAAGUUGAUGGUCUAUGAUUCUAUUUCUGAGUUUGCUUGUGUUUUCAUUGUGCAAUGUUUGCAUUGCAUUAAGGACUUUUGAAUGAUCUCACUAAAGACUAAAGAAGGACCAAUUGGAAAUAGGCAUGUUUGAGAUCACAUCUCAUGUAAAUUUUCAUGCUACUCAUCCAUAUUUGAUCUAUGUCAUUAAGUGUAUUAAUAUGUUGAUCAUCGUGGUUUAAUCACUAAUGUAUUGUGAUGAAAGUUGCGGUGGUUCCAUUAUUAGUAUAUGAGAUGGACAAGAUUAUUUAAGGAGCAGUCUAAUGAUAAAUAGCAUACAGAUGCGCGCCUAAGGAGUUUUGUAAUAUAAUUGUUUAAGGAAUAAUAUGUAGCCAAGAGGGAGAUUGUUAGGAAAACAGGAUUUUCCUAAAUUAAUAUUGGCAACAUAUUAAUACAAUUAUAUUAGCUAUUUAAUAUAAUGGGCAAAAAUCAAGUGGUCUAUUUUUUUGUAUGCCCAUAGACUACUCAAAUUAAUAUGGACUAAGUGAGUAGAUACCGGCUAAUAUUACUCUAAUUAAGGGAUAAUGGGAACUUUAAUUAAGUAGUAUAUAAAGGUUAUUUUGAUUAUAGUCCCCAAUAUACCAAAUCAUACACUCUUUUCCCUUCUUCCCAUCAAGAAGAGAAAUCACGGUCCCAUUGAGGAAUAAGGAGAUUUGGUUGAGGAAGAUCACAAAACCACCCUUUUCACUUGCAUUCAUCGGUACGUAGUCAAUUGUCGCAGUAAUUCCGCAACAGUAGGCAAUCGUUUACAAUGGAUACAUGUAUAUUAUCUGAAUCUGUGAAUUCUAGUAAUUUAGCAUGAUGUUGAUCCUAGGAUUUAAUUUAUAUUUGGAUCUAAUUUGAUUUUCUAACAGGCAGUGCUAAAAAAAUGAUCCUGACAAAAAGGAUCCAUCAAACAAGAAAGCCUAGCAAUAUAAAAUUUCAAGUUUCGAGUUACAACUCAAGUCACUUGUGCUCACAUUUCCUCUGUAUUCAACAUAUACUUAGAAAAGAAUAGAUAAAAUUAAGAUACAACCAAAUAAACAAAGCUUUAAUUUUCCCAGAGAAAGAAAAUUGAAUAUUAAUUUAUAUAUAUAUAUAUAUAUAUUUGAAAGAAUCACGAAGAAAAUUUUGUAUACCAGGUGGAGAAAUAGUCUUGUCGAGCACAGAAGGAAUUGUCAUCUCAAUUAUAGGCCGUCGGGAUGGUAUGCCAUUUACAGCAUCCUGACAGCUAGAGUCAAUCUCCUCCAUACUGAUUGAGUUAUAAAUAAUUUAGUAGUCAUAAAUUUAUUCAUCAACCAAAGAUACAAGAAUCAAUGGACAUUGGCUGUACUCGUGUUCAAAUUUUUGUAACAAAGGCCAGUGCAAUUAUGUAACGUUCGGAGCCUUUCUUUUACUAUCACAACAAACAUUCCAGUUAGGAAUUAUUUGGUAAUGUAUUAGCUCAUAACCUGUAAAAAUAUGAGAAGAAGAAACAUGAACAAAUGCUUCAGGAUCACUUAUUUGAAGUUCAUCCCUCUCGUGUUCAUUGUGGUUUUGCUGCAGACCAACUAAUAUAAUGUGACAAAAUAGUAAACCUUAGGACCUUAAUUAUUUUUCUUCCAUUCAUCGACCAAUUGGCAAUUAGAAACUAAAGCAUGAGAAGAUUUUAAGUUUUAAGCAUUGUGAACAGAAGACGUCUAUACCUUCCCUGGAAGCACUGACCAUAAUGUAAAAUAAAAAAAUUAAACAAAUGUCAAACCGAUCUUUUUGCUGGUUAGGAGUAGUCAUCUUAGGGGAUUCCUCGACCAGUGUAAAUAUUUAUGGACAUUUAAAAAUAUGUUUAAAGAUUAUCAAGUUGAUAUUCCAGUGUCCUUCUAUUGGUUGAAAACAUUUCAAGAUGUAAGUUAUGAUGAAUUGAACAGUAAGUAAAUCUGAAAUGGUCAUAAGAUGACAAAUAAAAUGAUGACAUACGUCUCAGAACCAAUGUGUAUGGUCCCCAUAUGCUGAGGACCAGCAUCAGGAUUGCCCAACUUGCAGCAAUGAAAUUGAGGUAAUUUGUCGACAGCCAAGUUGAUUUUCGUAGCUGCCUGUUCCAGUUUUACAAGGAACUCUUGAAUUUCAGUUCAAUUUGUUGAAAACAUGAAAAUAAAAAAUCACAAGGAAGAUAAAGGAUACAGCAAAAAGGGUUUCGAUAUAAAGCUUUGAAAAGUAAGCUAAUAAAUCCUUAUUAACAAUCUCAGACAACAGUAUGCAUGUCAACAACAUAAGACAGCAGCUGCCAAAUUUCUUUUGAAAAUGGAGAAUAUAUUAAUUCAUAGGCAAUGGCACUUAUAGAGCUGUAAUCAGAGUUCUUGAUAACACGAAGAAAAUCAUCCGGAAGCGCAUUCUUUGGUACAAAUUCCUGGCAGUACAGCAUAAUACAUGAUUAUCAUUAGCAUUACCUACAACAGUCAACAAUUCAUGGUCAUGGCUAACAUGCAUUUUCCUAUUCUUUAUGGUAAAAAUACAUUUCCCACUUCCUCAGCUCAACAUAUUGAAAGAAGAAUAGGGUUAAAAUUUCACCAUAAAUGUUCUGUAUGGAGUUGCAUUUGACAGCACAACCUAAGAGCGCACUUGUGUACCAUCAGCCAGCAAAACCUGAAUAACUCAAUCAAAAUACAAAAAUAUAAAUUUGCGCGGGCUUGACUACAUCAAUGAGAGAUGUCGCUCAGAAAUUUACCCCGCACACUCUGUCUGGGUCCUCUAUCAUCAAUUCUGAGACCUAAACAACAUAAUAGAAUAGUUUUACAUUUUAAAGAACAAUGCUUACUAUAUCAAGAUAAGCAACUUGAUCCAAAAAUAACAAACAUGCAAAGAGUUUGAAGGUCAAUAACUGAGCCUAUUUAACUAAAUUCUGGAUCAAUGUUGAAGGUAAAUUAGAACCAAUUCAACAUGGCAUAUUCUCUCUUUUUCAAUUUACCAACAACAAUGAAAACUACAACCAACUCUGCAAACAAACGCUCUAUUUUUUAUCCAAAGUGUAUCACGGGGAAUCAAUUGCCGUAGGAUUCUUUGAUAGAAAAAGUAUCACAAAAAACAGGUAUGUUUCUACCAUUUUGAAAUGAUUAAGAAGCAUUGAAGUAAUGUCUAAGCACUGCUAUGAGUCGCCGCUUAUUCAGCAACACGUGCACGGUUUGAGACUUGGCUCCUCCCAUUGCUUUUUAGGCUCCAUCUUCUUAUACAUGUGACCAUCAAGGAUAGAGACAUGACACAAAAAUUUUAAGGCAGCUAGUGAUGCCAAGAGCUACGGCCUUGGAUUGUGAGUAAAAUCAACCUCUAUGAUAUUCUUUAGUUAUGAGAUCAUAUUGGUUCAUAUUUUGCCAUUAUUAAAAGAGAGACUGUAGAUCAUGGAUAUUUAGUUUUAGUAAACUGUUACAAACCAAUAUAUCACAGAAAGGUGGUCAAAUAAGGAAAUAAUAAGAAAAACAGGGCAUGAUCCUAUCAAUAUUCAAGAGAAAGGAAGAAAUAUAGCCUAAGAGCAAAAAUAAGACAGUAGACAAGAAUGCUUUCUUAUCCAAAUUAGGUAAAUAAGCAUCAACAGCCCAAACAAUAUUCAUGUCACAGGGAUUUAAAAAGGGAUUUUUGACAUGGGAGUCAUAAGAAGAGGGGAAAAUUCAAGUCCCUCAAUAAUCAACUAAAAAAAGUUAAAAAGCAGGAUAUGUACCUUAAUCCCAACUACAAAAUCACAGGGGCUUACAAAGGAUUUUGACAAUGGAAUCAUCAGAAGAUGGGGAAAAUCAAGUCCCUUAAUGAUCAACUAAAAAAAAGCUAAUUGGAGUAAAUUGAUGCCUCAGAAAAAUCAGGACCUUAAUCAAGAGUGAUUGUAAGGCCCUAAAAUGUUGUCUCGUGUCAAUUAUGGUUCCUUGCUUACUGUAUAGCAGUUGAAGUAUAGGCUUCAAGUUAACAAGGUUUGAACAUUUCGGACCUAAGUGGAAACAAGAUUAAGUAGUUUGUUCUCUGGAGUCUAGAAUAUAUUGUGGCCCUCACCUGGACGAUCUAGGCGUAGUCACUAGGCAAAUGGUGCUGCAAGAAAAACAUUGAGAAGAUUGGAAACCUGAAUCUGCUGUAUCAAGCUCCCUCAUCCUUUUAAGAACUGACUCUAAUAUGUUGGUAGAAUGCCAGAAUCUAGGCAUGAAAAAAAAUAUGCUGCAAGCAGUUUGCAACUAAUAGGCUCAACUAUGUGUUGUCCAUGCUCUUCGGUCACAUUAUAAUAUUCCAGUUUACAUGUCCUUUCUCCCUUUUCCUCCAUAGACCCAAACAAAUAAAUAAAUAACAAGCCCAACAAUAAGCUGGCAUCAAAGAUCAUUCACUCAACUUUGUCUGGAUGUUAAGUUCAAAAUUUCUAAUUUAUACACGAGGACGUGCACUUUAAAUAAAAUAACUUACUGUGUGCAUUUGUUUUUCAAUAAAUUUAAGGAGAUGAACAAACUAACAUGAUAGAUUGCACAUACUUACUUCAGCUUCUGUCACUAUGGUAGCACCAGCUUCUUUAGCUGCUCUGCUAAUGGCCAGAGAAACAGAGCCCAUCCCACCUUGAACAUACCUAAAAAUUUUAUCAUCUAAGAAGUGAGAGUAAAUAACAUGAUAGUUCAUGCUGAUGAUGCUGAGAAUAGAAUAGAAAAUUUUAAAAGUAGGCAGGUCAAUGUAAAUCUAAUUUUAUAAGAAAUGUCUAAUUAUUAAAUACAUAAAAUAAUAAAUGUACUUCAUACAAGAUCCAAACUUAAUUAGCUAUUUGAACAAUGAAUGAUAAUACUAGUAUUCUUUGUAUUCCCUUGGAUCAUCUUCAAGCAGAUACUUACGACCAAAUUCCGCGGUCACCAUCAGUUUCUCCCAUCACGUGAUGCAGUAAAACAUAUCCACUCCCAGGUGUAUUGGGACUACCCUAAGAUACAGAAAAGGGACAAAUCUCAUUAAUACAUAAUAGAUAAAAAUCAAUGAAGCUUCAUAAUAAAGAUACAGCACUAUUUUCGUAAUUGAUCCUAAAAAUGCAUAAAAAUAAUAUACAUGAUGACCAUCAAUGGAUGCCUCAGUGACUAAUAAAAUAUGUAACAAGAUAAGGAAGAACAUUAGUGCAAGCCACGUGACUAGUAACAGAAUAUGAGGAAGGAUCUACAAAAUCUGUCUUUGACAGUAGUGUUCCGAAGAAUUCUCAAUAUGCAGACUGACUUGAAAAGACAAGUCUUAUUCCCCUUCUAAAUAAAAAAUCUAACAUAAUAUUAACAUUUAACGUAAAAGUUCUCCAAGUCUGGUUCACUCUGCUGACUCAUAACCUAUCUGCUGCAUUUCCUAAUAAGCAAAAGAUACUGAAAGAACUCAUGCAACCCCUAUACCACAUUCGUUAUGUGCAAUAUACACGAGUUGUUUAUAGAAAUUUUAGUAGCUACUAUCUUGCUACACAGACUCGAGCAUUUUGGUUCAGCCGUUCAGGCUCCAAUACUUUGCCAAAUCUGAGCCCUUUACUUUUGGUGAUCUCAAAGUAAUUAAAAGCAAAACAAAAUGAAAGGGGCUAAUAGUAUAUUAGGAUAAUUUUAGCAGAAACCCAAACCUUUCAAAAAGUUGCAGACUUUUCCUUAAUCUUUCAUUUAUUGUAGCCGUCACCCAAACCUUUCAAAACGUUGCGGAUGAAGCCCCAAUGGAUGGAUUUCAUCUAUAUUUCUGUUAAUUGACCAAAAUAAUUGGACUUUGAACACAUUUUAAUCAAUUAUAAUGGGACAAAAUUGUAACUUUAUAUUUUUUUACAUUAAAAACUUUAAAUAAAAAAACAACACAAAAGGAAGAAAAAAAUAAAAUGAAAAGGAAAAAAAUAUCUUCUCCUCCCUCACCCCCACCCCCACCCCAACUCCAACCCCUUAACCCAAAACCAGAAAUUUACUAUCGCCACCACCUGGCCCAAAAACCCGUUCAUAGGGAUCGACCACCACAAUUUUCCCUCCCUCAUUCAUGGAAAACUACAAUAACCGCAUUUGAGUCACCUCAAGCCAUACAAGAAUAAAUUUAAACACUGUAAAGUUCGAAUCUGCAACAAUACAAGAGUUUUGAAAAUUUUGAGUAUUUUUAAUAAACGCAAUGAGUAAUGUAGGAGGAUCAAUUCUAUGCAAGUCGGCGACAUUAGCCAAAAUAUAUGGUUUCUUACUCUUAUUAGUAGUUUUCUUCUAUGCAAGUAAUGUAGGAGGAUCAAUUCUAUGCAAGUCGGCCACCUUAGCGAAAAUAUAUGGUUUCUUACUCUUAUUAGUAGUUUUUUUCUACUUGGGCAAGCGUUUUUCUGAUGGCUCUUCUCAGCGACUUAUUUUCUUUUCCUCUCAUCAAAAUUCAAUUAAUAAUGGAGUUACGAAAAAAUUCGACUUCAUCAAUUUCACUUCCUUCUAAUUAGGUGUCCCCUUCACCAUAUCCACUAGCGGUGCAGAGGAUUGGGCUAGUGGAUCAAAACGGGGUGAUGACAGAGGAUUUUGAGGUAGGGGAGUUUGAUUUGGAGGUGCAGGAGAAUUGGGGAAGGGCAAAUGAGACUGAGUGUUUGGAGAGUGGUGAUCGUAGUGAUUGUGAGGGUAGGGGUCAGUUUUGGGCCAAGUGGUGGCGAUGGUAGAUUUCUGGUUUUGGGUUGAAGGGGUGAGGUGGGGGUGAGGGAGAAGAAAAUAUUUGAACCUUUUCAUUUUAUUUUCUUCUUCCUUUUGUGUUGUUUUUUUAUUUAAGAUUUUUAAUGUGAAAAAUAUAAAGUUACAAUUUUGUCAUUUUAUAAUUGAUUAAAAUAUGGUCAAAGUCCAAUUUUUUGGUCAACUAACAGAAAUAUGGAUGAAAUCCAUCCAUUGGGGCUUCAUCCACAACAUUUUGAAAGGUUUGGGGUGAUGGUUGCAACAAAUGAAAGGUUAGGGAAAGUCUGCAACUUUUUGAAAUGUUUGGGGGUCUCAGCUGCAAUUAUCCCUAGUAUAUAUUCACAAAAUAAAUUUUUGAAUUUUUAUCUUCUAUAUCUUUCAUUUGCACCCGCCAUCACCUAUGGAUACUAUAUGAGGACACCAAAAGCCAUACAUCAAUACAAAAUGUUGCAAAAUACAGAAUGAAAAAAAUGAUGAUAUUUGUGUUAUUAUGAAGGACUUAUGAUAACUGUGCCAACACAAGUCAAUGAUGACUAGACAUUCCCACUAGUUUGAUGUUAUAGAUACUCCUAAGGGUUGGUGUUGCUUCUUGAUAACCCCUCAUAUUUUUGUUCUGUAAAUUUUGAUAUAAACCACCACCCUCUCAAAUGUCUUAAAUUUCUUUGGCAUAUCUGCUUAAGGCAUAAAAUUUGGAAAGCAAACUUGAAUUUUUCUCACCAAAAAUAGAUCUUGUUCACUCUCAGGGGAGAAGUUGAUCUAAGAACUGAAGGCUGCUAAGAAUUAUAAGACAUGUGAUAUAUCUUAGCAAUUACAUCAAAUACAAGCAAGAAUUAUUACUGAAAUAGGGAAAUAAUUGCAACCUUUCGUUUAUAGAACAAUGAAAACCUCAGCCUGGAUGGGUUGUCAUUCAAUUAUACAAUACGGCGUUACUGUUGCAAAUGAAAUUACAAAAACAGAAUGCCAUGGGGUCCUAGGUAAAAUGAUAUCUUUCAGUAACAACAAUCCUGCAUGUGUUAACGUCAGAGAUCAUAAUAUGACAAGGAAGUACAGUUCUCACCGUGGUUCCUAUUACAGCAUCCGUUGCAAGUGUUGCCUUCAAGACAUCAUUCUGUCAAUAGAAAACUUUUCAGUAAGUGGGAUUUAAAGAAUUAAAGUUAUGAAGUGUAAUAUUUUAAAUAAUAACGAAGAUGACAAUGAUGCAAAUAAUAUGUGGCACAAAGCUCUCUAAAACAUUUAAAAACAAUACAAUUUUAUAGGAAAAUACCAACAGGUCCAAAUCAAUCUGUUUUUGAUGCAUUACUUAAAUAUUAAUUACUAAAGAUAUUUAUUUAAAUGAACGCUGGAUAUAUUUUAGCUCUGCUGCGAAACUAGGAGGAAGAGAUGAUUGGCCAGGAACACUUCCUAAAAGCAUCUGCAACCCAACCACACUGUGAGUUAGCUGACAUAAGCAGUUUAAACUCAUCCUAUUAGUACUGCAAUAAUCCUAUCUAAAAAUCCAUGCAAAGAUCAGGUCAUGAUUCAGUUUCCAUUUCCUUCCCACAACUUUUUCCAGGUUAACAGCAAAUAUUAUGUGUAAAAAGAUACGUAAGGGAUUUGAUGUUUGCCAAAAGACUUGUUGCAGCAUAGCUUCCAUUGAGAAACCUUUGGAGCUUUGACAGGACAGUCGAGGAAAAAAUAGUCUGACAUGGAUGCGAGAGAAAUACAAAUAGACGGAAAAAAAAAAAAGAAGAGCCAACAAAAGAAAAAAUAGCUAACAAACCAACAGGCAAAGUUUGUGGCACAAGAAUUAUAUUCAAAUUUAAAGAAUAAAGGAUAAAGAUCAUGGUCAUUCAGAAAUACAGAAACACAUACUUCCAUAGACACAUACACUAUCGCUGCAAUGUAUAAUUCAAAUUUAGUGGGACAACAAUCAUGUUAUUACCUCAAACCAGUUAUUUAACACCACUGAGGCAGGGGACAGUAAUAGGUCCAUGAAAUCCCUGAGAAGCUCAAUGAAAGUGAGCCAAGAACUUGUGGAUUAGUUGGUAGAAGUCAGUCUCUACUUAAGCUAAAACAAAUACCUACACAGGGAUAUUGUCUCUCAUAAUUAGCAAGAUAAGAGACCACCUAACAAAAUGCAACUAAGAUAAACCCAACUUAGAAGAGAAAAUGAACUCUUACACUAUCUGCUUUUGCCCCAUGACAAGUGCUCGUCGCAGACAAUGAGCCCAAAAAACAGACUUCUGUAAUUUACUCUUCAUCCGGGCAUUAAAAGAUGAGAUUCGUUGCAAAGUUUCAGGUGGAGACGAAUCCAAAAGUGGAUCCAUGAAUUUACAGAAGUUCUCUAACGGAUUCUCGUACCUAUAUAUGAGAACCAAGUGCAGAAACAAUAAUAAGGGAGAGAAAUAGAUAUGCCAAUUGUAUUUCAUCGAAUUAUUUUGUACCAGGAAAGAAAAAUUGCGAAAAAACUUGAAUCAUAAAUUUUUCCCAUUUUGUUUGUUCACAUCACCAGUUCAACCAUAUUAUUUAUGCCCUAACAUAAUAAGCUAUAUGAGGAUCAUAAAAAUCAUAUGCACAUUUCAAAACCUAGCAGUGAAUAUAUGAUAAAACCAAAAUAAAUUUAAUAGGACUUAUGGCCUAUGUGUGCUACUUUCCACAACCACUUUCAAUUGCUUCAUGGAAGAAUUCGAGCAUAAAAAAAGGUCUUCAGAAACAGAAUGAGUCCUAUUACUAUUCAAUUCGAUUACUACCCAAAUCCAAGGAUCCCAUAUUAACGGGUUGUUUUGCAAGAUGUCUUGACAUAAUUAAAUAAGAAAAAUAAGCUAAAAUAUUGACCAUUAUACUCUGCACUCGAGUCUAAUACUCUAUAUCAAACAUGCCCUAAAACCUAUUGUUUUCCUAAAACUAUUUUCAGAGAGCUCAUUUCACUCGUCACACCAUUGCAUUUUUUAAUUGAUUAAAGAUAUUGUCAACAAUUUCAACAUUUAUCCAACCCAUUUCUGUUUUCUAUCUCCCCACAAGUUUUUCCUUCAUCUAAUUUUAUAGGUUGUGCUAAAUAUAAUGACGUGACCACCAUUAGAUUGCUCAAGAACAAGUCUUUCCAUUUUUUGGUUUACCAUUUCAUAGAAUAAUAAAUGAAGAAUACAAACACUUCACCCAGAAAAAUACAAGCUGCGAUUGCUGACCUAGGAUAGGCCUCAGCAUCGCGUUUCGAGAACUUCGAUAUCUCCAAAUAAUUAAGCUCCUUAUCAGGACCAAGCAGAAGGUAGCGUCCAUCUAGACAGGGAGUGAAUGACGAUGGACUCCUCUUCAACAUCUUCAAUCCAUGCUUCUUCAACUCCAAUUCCCUUUGUCAUAAAAAAACACCUAAUCAAUCAAAAACGUAAACUUAACAACAAAUUCAUCAAUUAUGUGUGUUUGUGCGUAAUUCAGUAUAUGGAACAGAAAGAGACUUGAUAAGUGCAGGGCGAAGUAGGCUCUGGAGGUAGCUACAUCGGGAAAACUUGUAGCCGGGGACAAGUUCUUCAGUGACAGCAGCUCCGUCGAUGACGUGGCGGCGCUCGAGGACCACGACGGACAAGCCUGAUCUUGCGAGGUAGGCAGCGGCUGUGAGGCCGUUGUGGCCGCCCCCGAUCACCAGCGCGUCCCAUUUCUUCGCCGUUAAUGAGCGUCCACUAGUGACGCUGCAGCGAUUCCUUGUUUGUUGUCGCCACAUUAUUCUGCAUUGAAGACCGACUAGUGAGUGAAGUUUAAUUUAGAGUGUGAGCAUUUUCCCGGGAAAGGGCAAAAAAUGAAAAAAGGAAUAUUUUUGGGGAAGUUAUUUGGACAAAUUUUAAUCCAAAACAAAGUUAAUAACUAAUUUUAAUCACAUAUUUUAUCGAAUUCACAACUUUUCAAUCACACAUUUCAUGAGAUCUAUCAAAAUUUGUUAAAAAUCUAAUUUUAAUGACCACUAAGCAAAAAAUUACAUGCGACAAGUCUACUUUGCCCGUACAUAACUAAACUUCUAUGAGAGUAGACAUUAUACUUGAGGAAUGGAGUAUGCAAGUCUCAAAAAUAUGCAUCCUUUAUGUACCACAAAACACACUCUUUGGUCGAACUCUAGUCUUCUUAAUCUUACACUUUGGUUGAACAAGAGAGCAUAACAUGGUUGCUCAAAAUUAGAGCUUGAAUUUAGUAUCAGAUAACAUAAUUUUUUUUUUAGAAUAUUGUGUUGCUCUCAAUGAGAAAUUAUUGAAAAAGACCGAGAUUUUAUACAUAUGAUUUUUGAAGAUGUUUCUCAUUUCGCAGUAAAUGUGACAAUUAGAAUUUUUUAUUGGUACAUUUGCAAUAUCAUAGAUUGAGAACGCUAUAUUUUAAUUUUUGUAUUUGUUUUAUUUAUUAUUUUUAAAUCUGAUUUCCAAAUUUAUAGCAAGCAAACAAUUUUUUGAGUGACUAGCCAAUAAAAUUGAUGGAAACAUAAUGUCCUAUUGGUCGAAGGAAAUUCGAUUGUGAAAUUUCAAAGAUAGUCGCAUUCGCGGUUUGAGAGCUUGUGACACACAUUUGGACGUGGGCAAGAAAAUCAACACUAAAGUAAUGGAUAAUCUAAAAACUUCAUUAUCCAUUCUUUAAAAUUUGUAGUUUCCAUUAUAUAUUUUUAAAAUUAAGUAGUUUUCGACGGAAAGUACCAAUUUAGGAAUUUCUUGGGAGUUCUUCUUCACCAAUUUUGAGUUGUAGCAUUUAUGAGAGGUAGAAAAAAAGCUGUACUUAUUAAUUUUUUGAGCACUGAUUUUGGAUAAUUUAAAAACCAUCCAAAAUCGAUAGUUUAAUUUUGAUCGCGUCUCUCAGCCUACCAAAUUAGUGAAUUUUGGCCGUUCUCUCAUAUUCUCUUCUGAUUUUACCCAUUAUAAAACAAUUAUCGCUGAUCAGUAUCUUUUGUUCAAAACUAACUAGCGAAUAAAAAUACCUUUAUUAAAAAAAAUUAAGCAUAAUUAAAAAAACUUGCGUAUAAAUAAAAAAUAACUUACAAGAUAAAAAUCACUAUUGUGUAAAAUUAUUUAUAAAAUAAAAAUACUACUAAUAAGACAAAAAUUCACUUAUAAAAUAUGAAAAGUUACUUACAACUAAAAAAAAAUUCGCUUAUGAGUUAAAAUGAUUUAGAAAUAAAAAUUAAAUUAACUAUAAAAUUUACUUGUAAGUAAAAAUAAAAAAUAAAAAUAGAUACUUAAAUUUUAUGUAAAUAUUUAACUUUGUUGCUUAAAUCUUAAAUUAUAUGUGAAAAAAUUACUUACAAGUAAAACAUGACCUUUGAGGAAAAAAAUCUAAGUUGAAAAUUUAACUAUGGGACAUAUAUGUAAUUUUAUUAUUUUGAAUAACAUUUAGAAUUGGUGCACAAUAAAUUUUAAAAUUGCCAUUAAAACCAUUCAAAUGUUGAAAAUCAUUACUUUUAAAUAAACACCCAUAACCAGUAUCCCCAAAACUCCCAAACAGGCCCUUAAUGUACCAAUUCCAGAUAAGUGGUCACUAGAAAAGUUCAUUAGCAUCAUUUUCGUAAUAAAUGGACCAGUUCGAAGCUAAAUGUAUUUGACAUAAUCGAUGUUGUUACGUAUUAAUAUAGUUGUUAUCCACCUAAAUGACACAUGAAAGGUUCCCAACAUACACCCACAUGUUAUUGGACAAAUGUUUACACCUCGGUCGAUGAAGUGUGUCAAACCCAAAAAGAUGCCUCGUCCAUGAAGUUCCUCUGAGCAAAGGAAUGUGGAAUUCAAUCAUUUGGUUAAACAUUUACAAUUGGAGCCCUCAACCCGAAACAAAAGCUAAGGGCUUUCAAAAUAAUCUUGAAUAUGGGCGAAAACCUCAAUGCGAAUUUUGACAUAAUCAACCUAGAUUUUAGUGCACUAAACCUAUAAGUUCAUGCAGUGAAUUAUUUCACAAGUGUCACGAAAGAACAAACCUACAGAAAAACCUUGGAAAUGGAACUUAUUCAUGGCCUUGUCAUAAUAAUAAAUGAAUGUUAGCUCAGGAAAUGACCAAAAUGUUUCUAAAAUCACCUAUAAAAAAGGACAUACACCCAUUACGCAUGGGAAUGCAUAUCUCCUAUUCGAAUGAGAGAGAAGACCUGCAAGGUCCACCAGUUCUCAGAUACAGAAGAGGGCACUGAGGUCACACUGGAUGAAGCCCAAAGGAUUUUGGUGGAAGAAGGCAGUGAGAAAAAGGCAGCCAAUCCAUCAAGUAUGGCAUACAUGUUAUAAAAUAAAGGGGAAAUUUGUUAAAAAGCCUAGUCAAACAAUGUUAUUGGUUAUAUAACCUCUUUUGAAUGUUUUUUGAACAAAUAGCCUUCAACUAUUAAACACAAUAAACAAAUAAGGUCAAAUGUCAUAAAUACCCUCAUUAUUGGAAAAGACUUUAACACCCUUAUCAAUCCAAUUAAAUUCUCCAAUUCAAUUUUUGGUUCCCAAAUUCACAGUAACCCGAUUUCUUCUCUUCAACCAUUCCUGCUACUCUAAAAUCCUAUUCUUCAUUAUAUUAUUCACCUAUAUGGAUAUCCUUUGAACAUUUAUUAUCUAUAUUAAAAGAUCUCAUUUAGAUUUGAAGAAAGAAGAAAGAUAAUUUUAAAAAUUUGAUAUAAAUUGUACAUUUAUUAUUGAAUAAUAUUUAAGUUGGUGUUGUUUUUAUACUUAGUGUAUAUAUAUACACACACACACACAUGUAUAUAUAUAUAUAUAUAUACACAUACGUACACAUCUUGGGAUGUCCAAGAAGAGUCAGUUAUAUAUAUAUAUAUAUAUAUUUCUUUUUCUACAACUAUUGGAUGGUAAUGACAUUCCAAGUGUUAUCCAAAAUGUAAAACGUCACUCCGGUCAUUUUUUGUAGCGUAAAACGGCACUACAGUCGUUAUCUACUGUGAUUUGAUUUUUUUUUCAACGAAACAAUCCCUAAUAAUGAACUAUUGAUGUAAAAAACACAGAAAAAUAGACUAUGUCGCAAAGAAAUAUUGAAAUGACAUAGUUUUUAUAUUAUCGAGAUGGUGAAAUCAUAAGUUAUCCUACUCAUAUGUGUUGAUUAAAUUAAUGAGCAUAUCUAUCAACUUUUGUACAUGUCAUGUGUAUAUCACAACAUAAAUAAGUACAACUUAUUAUUUUUUAGGGACACGUAUGGAUCAUAACUACUUAUAGUCAUGUUUACACAUGUAACAGCACAUGUGUGGCUUUCAUAUCUCCAGUAACGACACAUGUACCGUUCAGAAGUUUUUACAUAUAUUUAAUCCUUUUCAAUUUAAAUAACCUCUAAUAAUGGAGUCCAUAAUGUAUGUAACAUAGAAAGGUUGACAAUAUCAUAAAGAACGAUAGAAAUGAUAUAACUUUUAUAUUAUCAAAAUGGUGAAAGCACAAAUCAUCCUACUCAUAUGCGUCAAUUAAAUUAAUGAACAUAUUACUUAACCUUAGUACAUUUCAUGUACAUAUUAUAAUGUAAACAAGUUUCACUUAUUAUUUAUUGAGACAGGAAUGGGGCGUGACCGCUUGUAUUCAUUUUUUACAAAUAGAACGAUACAAGGUCUUUUUUUCUCAAUAAAGGAACUUAUGUCGUUCUGUUGAAUUCUCCAAUAUUUUAAUUUAUUUUCAAGAUAAAGACAUCAAGCAUUGGACCAUCUAACAUAAAUAAAAUGAAAAAGUUAUUCACAUGAUAAAGAACGAUUGAAAUGACAUAGAUCAUGUGAUAUCGAAUUGAUAAAAGCAUGAUAUAUUCUACUGAUUAAUUAAAAUAUAAAUAAUAAGCAUAUCUUUCGGCUUUUGUACAUAUCAUGCUCAUCUUAUAACAUAAAUGAGUUCAACUUAUUGGUUCUCGGAGUCGUGAACAGAGUGUGGCCAUUUUAUAAUCGUGUUUAUAAAUAGAACGACUCAUGGGUCGUUUUCUUCUCAGUAAUGGCACUUGUAACAUUAUGUUGAGUUCUUCUAUAUUUUGAUUUAUUUUUAACUCAGAACUUCAAGUAUUGGACUCACUAAUGUGCAUAAUAUAGAAACGUUAAUCACGUGACAAAGAAUGAUUUAAACGAUUGGAUCAUAUGAUAUUAAGUUGAUAAAAAUAUAAGUUAUUCUACUAGUUCAUUAUAAUAUAAUUAAUGAACACAUCUCUCAACUUUUAUAAAUAUCAUGUCCAUCUUACAAUCUAAAUGAGUUUAACUUAUUCGUUAUUUAAGCAUGAAUGAGUCUUGGCUAUGUAUACUCAUGUUUAUAGGCAGAACGACACAAGUAUCGUUUAACAGCUCUUGUGUCAUUCUGUUGAUUUCUCAAAUAUUUUCCUUCUUUUCCCAACACAGCGACCUUAAAUGUGGAUCCUCUAACUUAAGAAAGUUAGAAAGAUUGAUCACAUGACAAAGAACGGUUAAAUUGACAUAGAUUAUACGACACUAAGUUUGUGAAAUCACAAGUCAUUGUAUUGAUUCGUUAGAAAAUAUAAUCAAUGAGCACAUCUCUCAACUUUUGUAAACGGAAUGUUUAUAUUGCAAUUGAAAUGAGUUCAACUUAUUGAUUUUUAGGGCAUGGAUGGGUUGUGACUACGUAUAAUCGUGUUUAUAGAUAGAACGACACAAGUGUCGUUUAACAACUCUUAAGUCGUUCUGUUGAUUUUUCAACUAUUUUGCAUUUUUUUUUUCAAUGCAGCGACCUCAAACAUGGAUUCCCUAACUUAAGAAAGUUAAAAAGAUUGAUCACACGAUAAAGAACGGUUGAAUUGGCAUAGAUUAUAUGACAUUGAGUUGGUGAAAUCACAAGUCAUUGUAUUGAUUUGGUAGAAAAUAUAAUCAAUGAACACAUCUCUCAACUGUUGUAAAUAGAAUGUUCAUAUUGCAAUUGAAAUGAGUUCAGCUUAUUGAUUCUUGGGGUAUGGAUGGGUCGUGGCUACGUAUAAUCAUGUUUAUAGACAGAACGACAUAAGUGUCGUUUAAUAACUCUUGUGUCGUUCUGUUGAUUUUUCAAAUAUUUUGCUUCUUUUUCAACGCAGCGACCUUAAACAUGGAUCUCCUAAAAUAAGAAAGUUAGAAGUGUUGAUCACGUGACAAAGAAUGGUCGAAUUGACAUAGAUUAUACAACAUUAAAUUGGUGAAAUCGCUAAUCAUUGUAUUGAUUUGUUAGAAAAUAUAAUCAAUGAGCACAUCUCUUAACUUUUGUAAACAAAAUGUUAAUAUUGCAAUCGAAAUGAGUUCAACUUAUUGAUUCUCGGGGCAUGGAUGGGUCGUGGCUACGUAUACUCGUGUUUAAAGACAGAACAACACAAGUGUCGUUUAACAGCUCUUAUGUCGUUCUGUUAAUUUCUCAAAUAUUAUACUUCUUUUCCAACGCAACAACCUCAAACAUGGAUCCCCUAAUUUUAAAAAGUUAGAAAGGUUGAUCACGUGACAAAGAACAGUCGGAUUGACAUAGAUUAUACAACAUUGAGUUGGUGAAAUCGCUAGUCAUUGUAUUGAUUCGAUAGAAAAUAUAAUCAAUGAGCACAUCUCUCAACUUUUGUAAACAAAUGUUAAUAUUACAAUUGAAAUGAAUUCAACUUAUUGAUUCUCGGGGCAUGGAUGGAUCGUGGCUAGUAUACUCGUGUUUAUUGAUAGAACGACACAAGUGUCGUUUAACAGCUCUUGUGUCGUUGUGUUAAUUUCUCAAAUAUUUUACUUCUUUUCCAACGUAGCGACCUCAAAUAGUGGUAGAAUUGACAUAGAUUGUAGAUGUCGUGUUGGUGAAAUCACAAGUCACUAUCCACAUUCGUUGCAAAAUAAAAGUAAUGAGAGUAUCUCCCGAAGUAUGUGAGCGGCAUGUCCAUCUCGCGACUUAAAUGAGUUCAAAUUAUGGAAUAUCAAGGCCCAGAAGGCUCGUGGCUGCUCAUACUCAUGUUUAUCGACAGAACGACACUAGUGACGUUUAACAGCACCUGUGUCGUUCUUUUGAUUUUUCCUAUAUUUCACUUCAUUUCCAUUGCGUCGACCUCAAAGAUCGGACCUCCUAACUUAAGAAAGUUAGAAUUAUUAAUUACUCGAUGAAUAACGGUAGAAUUGACAUAGAUUAUAGAUGUCGCGUUGGUGAAGUCAAAAGUCACCAUCCACAUUCGUUGGAAAAUAAAAGUAAUGAGAGUAUCUUCCAAAGUAUGUGAGCGACAUGUCCAUCUCGCGACUUAAAUGAAUUCAAAUUAUGGAAUAUCAAGGUCCAGAAGGCGCGUGGCUGCUCAUACUCAUGUUUAUCGACAGAACGACACUAGUGACGUUUAACUGCACCUGUGUCGUUCUUUUGAUUUUUCCUAUAUUUCACUUCAUUUCCAUCGCGUCGACCUCAAAGAUCUGAUCUCCUAACUUAAGAAAGUCAGAAUUAUUAAUUAUGCAACGAAUAACGGUAGAAUUGACAUAGAUUGUAGAUGUUGCAUUGGUGAAAUCACAAGUCACCAUCCACAUGCGUUGGAAAACAAAAGUAAUGAGAAUAUCUCCCAAAUUAUGUGAGCGGCAUGUCCAUCUCGUGACUUAAAUGAGUUCAAAUUAUCGAAUAUCGAGACACAAAAAGGUCGUGGCCGCUCAUACUCGUGUUUAUCGACAGAACGACACAGGUAACGUUUAACGGCACCUGUAUCGUUCUGUUGGUUUUUCCUAUAUUUCUCUUCAUUUCCACCGUGUCGACCUGAAGGAUAGGACCUCCUAACAUAAGAAAGUCAGAAUUAUUGAUUACGUGGCGAAUAAUUGCAGAAUUGGCAUAGAUUGUAGAUGUCGUGUUGGUGGAAUCACAAGUCACCAUCUACAUUCAUUGGAAAAAAAAUAACGAAAGUAUCUCCCGAAUUAUGUGAACGGCAUAUCCAUCUCGUGACUUAAAUGAGUUCAAAUUAUGGAAUAUCAAGGCCCGAAAGGCUUGUGGCUGCUCCUACUCGUGUUUAUCGACAGAAUGACACAAGUGACGUUUAUGGUACUUAUGUUGUUUUGUUGGAUUUUCCUAUAUUUCGCUUCAUUUUUGUCACGUCGACCUCAAGAAUCAAACAUCCUAACUUAAUAAAGUCAGAAUUAUUAAUUACAUGACGAAAAACGAUAGAAUUGGCAUAGAUUGUAGAUGUCGUGUUGGCGAAAUCACAAGUCACCAUCCACAUUCGUUGGAAAACAAACGUAAUGAGAGUAUCUCCCAAAUUAUGUGAGCGACAUGUCCAUCUCGUGACUUAAAUGAGUUCAAAUUAUCGAAUAUUGAGGCCUGGAAGGCUCGUGAUUGCCCAUACUCAUGUUUAUCGACAGAACGACACAUAUGACGUUUAACGGCACCUGUGUUGUUCUAUUGGUUUCUCCUAUAUUUCACUUCAUUUUCACCACGUCGACCUGAAGGAUCGGACCUCCUAACUUAAAAAUGUCAGAAUUAUUAAUUAGUGACGAAUAACGAUAGAAUUGUCAUAAAUUGUAGAUGUCGCGUUAGUGAAAUCACAAGUCACCAUCCAGGUUUGUUGGAAAACAAAAGUAAUGAGAGUAUCUCCCAAAUUAUGUGAGCGGCAUGUCCAUUUCGCGACUUAAAUGAGUUCAAAUUGUCAAAUAUCGAGGCCCGAAUACGGUAUUUCAAAUUAUCUGAAGAAAACUAAUUAAUUUGAUAACAUUUGGUUUGGUAGUUGUUCAACCGGUAUUUAUUUAAAUAAUAUAUGCAAAUAUGGUAUUUCUACAUUUUGGUGUAUGUAAGUGCAUAUCAGGUAUGUUAGUUGCGUAUACGGUAUCUAGCAAAUAUGUGUAAAUCACUCACUGUAUAUGAAAUGAAAUAAAAACAGUUUGUGAAAAUUUGUGCAAAUACGGUGAGCUUUCUGCAAAUACGGUAGGAAGCAUUUAUGGUAAGUUAUCUGCAAAUACAGUAGACUGCAUAUACGGUAAGCUACCUGCAAAUAUGGUAAGUGACAUAUACGGUAUAUGCAUAUACGGUAUGCUUAAAAUUGGUAUCUAAUCUACACAUACAAUGAAAAGUUUUGAACGACACAAGUGUCGUUACUGGACAUAAAAACGACACUUGUACUGUUAUGAGUAUAAAUAUGAGUAUAAGUAGUUACGGUCCAUUCUUUCUCUGAAAAAAAAAAGUGGAACUUAUUUAUAUUAUAAUAUGUACAUGAUACGUACAAAAGUUAAUAGCUAUGUUUAUUAACUUAAUCGAUACAUAUAAGUGUGAUAACUUGUAUUUUCACCAUCUCAAUAAUAUAAAAAUUAUGUCAUUUCAAUCGUUCUUUGUGACUAGUCAAUUUUUUUGUGUUAUAUAAGUUAGUGAGUCUAUUAUCAGAGUCAUUUCAUUGAAAAAAAUUAAACUACAAUAGAUAACGACUAUAGUGUCAUUUUACUUUACAAAUAACGGCUGGAUUGGUGUUCUAUAUUUCAAAUAGCAAUUGGAGUGUUAUUACAUCUAAUGGUUGCAAAUAAUACAAAAAGCACACUAAAUACGCAAACAAUACCAACGAAAUAUUAUUUAAUACUAUUUUUAAUAAUAAAAAUACAACAUAGAUGGAAUUUCUAAGAGCAUCUUUCCUCUUUCUUUCAAUGUAAAUAUAUGCUAAUCAAACCCUUGUUCAAAUGUGAUUGAAGAGAAGAAAAUAUGUGAAUGUAAUUUUGAGAACUUAAUAUUGAAGAAGAUGAACAUGGGAAGAAGAUGUUAUUUUCAAGAGAAAAAUUAGGGUUUUAAGAUGAAUUUGAAGGAAAAAUGACUGGAUGAAAUGAGUAAAAUUGGAAGGCAUUAAAUUAACAACUAACGAAGAAUUUUGUCAUUUUGCCAACUAAAAUAUUUUUACGUUUUUUAUUUGUUUUUAUUAUUGGUCAAAGGUCAUUUCAUCAAAUACAUUGUUUAGUAUUUGGCCAAAUUCCGCUAAAAUAAAGUAAUUUGUGUAAUGAAUUAUCAAUUAUAAGCAUAAGUCAAAUGAAAUAAAUAUGAGAAUAUAGUUAGAAAAGCUGGCCUAAGAGAGUCACGAUAACUAUUGUCCUAAAGUCGUGUGGCCUCCGCUUCGUGCUGAUACUUUCGACAUUACACGACUCCAAGAUAAAACCUUAUAAUUCACAAUCGAUUCUGAGGAAUCAAACCUUUAUCAAUUGUCAAAAUUUAUAGAAAAAUAUAAUAUAAAAUGACUAAAGAGUAAUAUAAAAAGACUAGAGAGUAUUUUUCAAGUGUUUGAUUUGUUGUGUGUAAAACAAUGGGAAAUCCACCUCCUUUUAUAGUAGAAAAAUUUAACUCUCUAGUAAUGAAAAUUAAUCAAAUUCAACAUAAGUUACAAAUAUAAUAAUGAGAUUAAUUUUUUGUAAUGAAUCUAAAAAUAAAAGUAAAAAAUAAAAAGAAAAUAGAAAAUUGAAAUUUAAAUGUUAAUCUGAAAGUUUUAAAUUUAUUCUCAACAAUCCCCCACAAGUUUUAAAACUUUCAAAAAAAAAAAAAAAAAAUAUAUAUAUAUAUAUAUGGGUAAUUAGCACAAAAUCUUCUUACCUUUCAAUGUUAUUGUGUAAAAUGUCCCUACCUUUUUCAACGUUUCAUUGCGGAAAACGUUAUUUUCACCAUUUUUAAUGUAAAAUGACCAAAAUACACUCCCAUUUAAAUAAAACCCCCCAAAAAAGAAAAAAGAAAAAUAAAGAGUAAAUUAUAAUCUUACUCCUAAAUGUUUUAAAAAGUGCAAAUGGGUUCAAAUAAUUAUUAAAAUGCCUAAUAUCACAAAACAGCACUACGUUUGGCUUAUAGUGUGAAAAAUGUUCCUACGUUUCAAAUUUAUAAAAAUGACGUUUUUCGCAAUGAAAUGUGGAAAUAAGAAUGAAAAUGCAAAAAAAAUGUAAACAUAGGGAAGUUUUUCGCAAGAAGUGUCAAACAUAGGGAUGCUUUUUGUUAUUAUGCCUUAUUAAAAUAUUAAAAAAACACUCUCCCUCUCUCUCUCUCUCUCAUCUUCUUUUCCAAAUGAGUCAGCCAUAUUAGAAACCAAAAAACUCCAGCAGACCACCACCAAAACUGAUGGACCAACAUACCAUCGAAAGCCCUUACUUCCCUCUCCACAUACCACCCAACAUCCAAUCUUGAAACCUUCAUGCCAAUAGAUUUUCUCGAAAUUGCAAGCUAAAAUACCAACUCGCCAAUACAAAUACUGGCUGUAUCACUUGUUUUGGAGAGACCCAUGCCAUUUCUAACACACCUACCGACUAUACUCGCCAGGAAACCUCUCUUCAUGAUCUUAAAAUAUCAACAAAUGGUUCAGUAGUAUGGAGAUUCGGCGGUUUGGGCGAUGGUUGGUUGAAGUUUUUUCACUUCUAACGUGGCAGUCCCAUUUGGAAAAGAAGAGAAGAGGAGGGAGAGAGAGAGAGAGAGAGAGCUUUUUGUUAUUUUUAAUAUUUUAAUAAGGCCUAGUAGCAUAAAACGUCCCUACGUUUGACACUUAUUACAAAAAAGUCCCUACAUUUCAAUUUUUUUUUAUUUUUAUUUUUUUAUUUUUUGUAUUCUCAUCCCUAUUUUUACGUUUCAUUGUGGAAAAUGUCAUUUCCACCAAUUUGAAACGUAGGGACGUUUUGCAUACUAUAGGUCAAACGUAGUGACAUUUUGUGCUAUUAUGCAUUUUAAUAAUUAUUUGGAAUCACUUGCAUUUUAAAAAUAUUUAGGAAUAAGAUUGUAAUUUAUUAUUUUUUAUUCAUUUUUUUUUGUUUUAUUUAAAUGGGGGGUAUUUUGGUCAUUUCACAUUAAAAAUGGUGAAAAUGACUUUUUCUGCAAUGAAACGUUGAAAUAAGGGCGAAAAUGUCAAAAAAUAAAAGGUAGGGACGUUUUGCAAAAUAAUAUUGAAAGGCAGGGAUCUUUUGUGCUAAUUACCCAUAUUUAUAUAGUGGUAAUAUUAUACUAUGUAAUAUGUGCAUGUGUCUUUUGAACUUGAACUUCACUUAAUGAUAACAAUUUUAAUUUAAGGGAGUCAUAAUGGACUAAACCUUGAAUUAGGUCCAUUUGACUAAAUUUCAACUAUUCCACACAUAGUAUCACUUUAGGCUCAGUUUAUAAUAGGUAUCGCUGUUAAUGGCCAUGCACCCUUAUCUUGAUUUUAGAAAAAGUCUAUAAGGAAUAGCCCAAUCCCAUAGUCACAGCCUCAUGACAACUGUAGAAGCUCGAGAAAUAAAAUGAAAUUAGGCUAUUAUGUUAUAAUGAUCUAACACCACAAGCCUAGCUCGUUCAAAAAACGAGCUAUGGAAGCUCAACCCAUUUAAAAUUUUGAAAGCCCAAGUCAUAAGUUAAUUAAGAGCCCAACAAUUUAAGAGAUUAAGUUUAAGUAAAUUUGAUUACAAAGAUUUAAUGGAUAACUGGGUUGCCACAAUGGUCAUCUACAUGAAAUUUCAUAUAAGCAAUUCAAGUUCGAAUCAUCACGUAGAUGUUUUUAUAAAACUUUUAUAUGAAUUAUUUUUUAUCGCUUAGAGACUCUUCAAAUUCUUAGUUAAAGAUCAAAUUUAAUAAAUUUAAUGAUAAUACAACUCCCAAACUUAGUUUUUCAUUAAAAAGAAAUGUUACAAGAAGUGAAAGGUCACUUUUUCACCACACCCCUCUUCAAAUCCGAAUUUCAUCUCAUUUUCUCUAAAAAAAAUAUAUUUCAUAUCAAUUUAAGCAAAGGGGAAUAAUAAGAGUGAGAAGAAGAAAUGCUUUCUAUACAUUUUAUUCUUUGAUAUCCUAGAAAAUUCAAGGUAGGUAGAGGUUCAUGUGUUUACUUCGUUUCAAAUUAUGAUUAUCGAUAAAUGUUUGAAUGAAAUGGUACUUCCGGCUACGAUGCUUUGGCACUGCAACAAUUUAAAUGCUCAUUCCUUGGCUCUACGUAUUAUGAUGAUGCUAUAAUAAUUGGAUUUUGCCGAAAAUCCAUCUACGUGCGAUGGUAUGAAUCUAUAGUUCGAAAUUUCUAAUUUGACAACGAAAUGCACUGAUGAUAUCUAUUGAGUUUCAAACUCAUGGGUUAAUUUCCUUCCUAUAGGUUGAAUAGAUUUUUCUUAGGGCGUAGAUGAUGAUAAAGGAUGAUACGACAUGCCAUAGAGAAGCUAGUGAUUUAAUAACUUUAGUUGAUUAUAAAAUAUUUACGUUUCCUUUAAAUUAGAUUUCUAUGGAUGUUUUGUGUGGAUUUAUUCUAUGAACACUUUUUAUAAAUAAAUUUAUCUUUGAACAUAGACAUGUGUCAUAGGAAUAAAUUUACAAACCACCAUUUACAAAAAAAAUAAUAAUAAUAAAAAUAAAAUAUGUUAGCGAUUUAAAGUUUUUCGGUCUCUAGAAAAAAAAUCAGAUUCCACCUCGUUUUUAAAAAUUCAUAACUCCUUUGUUACUUGAUAUUUUUAUACAAAACAAGUGGCUUUGGAUAGGCUAAUAAGUUAGCUAUUGAAUGAACUUGGAAUCAUGUCAAUCCGAUGUCAGUAGAAUUUUAUAUGUUGCAUAAAGUAAACUGUAUUGGGUAGAGGCUUCAUAUCCCCAGCUUCGGUCUUGAAUUCAAAAUUUCCUAACUCAACCGUUACUUGGAAUUUCUAGAUGAAACAAAUAGGAUUUGAUAGUAUCAUGGAUUAGAUACUAAAUAAAUUUGAAAUCAUGUGGCUUUGAUGUCCAUAGAAUUUUACAUGUCAUUUUAAGUGAACUGCACUGGUUUACCUUUCAACCAGGUUGCUGCUGGAUUUUGAGAAAUAUUCUAAUACCUCAUAUGAUGCCAAUGGAAGCUACUUUUUGACUAUGUAAUAUUAUAAGGAGUUUACUACUUGACAUUAAAAUUUGAUGAAGUUUCAAGAUCGAUAGCUAUACAAACGAAUAUAUUGACACUUACCCUACGAGAAAGAAAAAAAAAAACAGCUUUCUUUAGUUAGUGUUAGCAGGAUUUUGGGAAAAAAUUUAACGCCUUAUAUGUCACCGACGGAAGCCAAAUUUUGGAUAUGUUAUAUUAUAAGAUGUUCCCUACUUUUUCUUAAAAUUUUAUGAAAUUUUGACAUUGAUAACUAUGCAAACAAGUUUAUUUUAUAAUUUUAUAGUAAACUGCAUGUUAGGAAAAAUAUAAUUCUUGAGGAAUUUUUUUUCAAAACUAAAUGUUUACGUUUUCAUUAGAGUAGUUAAUUAAAUUAUUAUUUUAAAUAAUUUCUAAGUCUAACGCUAAGUUACAAUGGUUUGAGUGACGUUUAUGUUCAUGCAAGUCGUGGCAUUACAGCGUAGUAUCAGAGCACGAGUUUCAUAGAUUCUGUAGACUUAGUGAAUUUAUGAAAUGAGAAAAAUGAGUGAAUUUAUGAAAUGAGAAAAAUGAAAUAUUUAAGGCACUCCAUGACAUCUUGCAUCCAUCAGUUGACCUCAUCCGACGAACCCAAGGUAUGGAAUAAAAUAUUAUGUUCCACUUUCUUUUUCGAGCAUGAUUUAUAAAUAAUUUAAACUUGAAUCUACGAAAAAUGCUUUUGAUGUUUAGAACGAAAUAUGUUAUGUAAGUUAUAUUUUGUUUAAAUAUACAUGAAGAAAUGAUGAUUGCUCAUAAUAUUAAAACCUCAAGAGCAUAAUACAUAAGUUGAUAUCACUAAUAGAGAUAAAACAAAAUUGGACACUUAUAUGACAGACAUGUUUAGACUUAGAAAGGCUACAAUUAGUAGAGCAGUGUUGAAUCGUAGGUCCAUCAUUCAGUCCUAUGAGAACUAUGUGAUUGACCCUUCUUGUCCACUUGUUGAAUACGUACAUGACAUCUACGAGAGGUGCAUGGCAGUAGUAGACGCGGGAUUGGAGAUCAUACAUAUCGAGGCUGUGAAUAACCUCAUACAUUCACUCCUUCCUCAAUGGGGAAACAUGAGAGUCAUGGUUAGGGAUAAGAUGCUAGAAAGUAACCCUUCAGAGAACCCCAAUACAAUUGAAUUUGGUAUAUAUUGUCAUAUGUUUCUAGACAAAUGGAGUGAAAGCAUAGAACCUCAACCGGAGAUAAUAAUUGAGCCCACUGAUGAGGUUGAGCCCGAGCCCGAACCUCAGUUUGAAUCAGACCUAGAGGAAGAUCCCGAAUGGGAACAUGAGGAUGACUUUGGGUUGGAAUUAGAGAAUGAUCAUGAGCAUGAACUUGAACCAUAGGUUGAGAUGGACCUAGAGUUAGGACCUGAGAUAGAAGACUUCUCCGAAGAUGAAUCUCCACCUUAGAAAACUCGCAAGAUUCAUAGGGAUUAGAAAUUUAGAUUCCAUUUCCUUGUGAUAUCCUUUCUUUUAUGUCGUUGAAAGUAAAAAGUUAUCGAACUAUUGUAUAUCCUGAUUUCAAGGAGUACUGAAUAAAAAAAACAAUUCUGAUCAAGUUGAGAUUUUUUUUUUUAAUUUCUGGUGUUGAAAAAUGAAGUUAAUGUGAGAUAUUAUAUCUUAUCUCUAGGGAAAUGUCUCGAGCAAACCAAAACAAUUUGGUAUAGGAUCUCCUACAAACGGUUAAAGAUUUUGCAGGUUGAAUAAAAAUCCAGCUCCACCUACACCACCAGCUCGUAUUACUCUCUCGACUCAUGCCUUGGUGGUUGAGUUAUUUUGAAGGCAUGAGCCCCAUUCCUUCGAUGGAGCAUCUGGUCCACUAGUAGUUGAAGGCUGGCUUUGUAAGUUAGAGUGAAUUUUUUGACUCAUUGAUUGCAAUGAUGCCCAAAAAGUCCAAUGUGUGGAGUUUAUGUUUACCGGUGAUGCAAGCCAUUGGUGGGAUUCAAUGUCCCGAACUAGGACUCCAGAGCAGCAAUUGGCAUUAACUUAGAAACAAUUCAAGGAGGAAGUGAUGGACAAGUAUUUUCCUCAGUCUCUAAGGGAUUUCAAGGAGAAUGAAUUCUUUUAGCUCAAGCAGGAUAAUAUGUCCCUGACUGAUUAUGAGUGAAAAUUUGACCAACUCUCAAGGUAUGCUCCACACCUGGUGGACACGAAAAUUAAGAAGACUCGAAUGUUUGAGCAAGGGUUAAAUACAGAGCAACACCAUCAUACCAUGAGAUGCUGGAACGAGCUCACGUUAUUUGGUAUCAGAAGGCAAAUGCAGAGCAACACCAUCAAUUGUACAACCGGUAGGACAAAGGACAAGUUGGAAGAGAAAAUGGAAUGGUCAAGACAAAGGAAAACACAAAUGGCAAAAUAAGACGGCUAAUACUGGACCUAGUGCUAGAAUUCCCAUCUCUAUAUUAGUGAUUCUUCCAAGGAUGUGUGCUACAACAACUCUUAUAAAAGUGAGUCCUCCAAGGAUGUGUGUGACCCGUACCUCACGAGAAUUCCCAUCUCGAUAUUAGUUUAGGGUGAAACCCUUCCUAACAUCACAAUCAUAGCACUAUCACCAUAAGGAUAAACAAAAAUAAUGUAAUGCUAAUACAAGUCAUGCAUUGCGGAUUGUUCCUACCACAUUGAACCUUCUUCAUGGGAUCUAAAAUCACUUAUUCAAACUCGAGAUUUGAACAUGCGGGACAUUUCUUCAUCAAUGUCAUUCAUAAUAGGGUUAAGGAUAGUAGCACUACUGCGACUAGAUUGACCGCCUGAGUCUUCUUUAAUGACCUAUCCCCAAAAUCCACAAUUUUAGCCACUUCUUUUAUUGUCAUUUUCCUUCUCCACCACAAAACAUUUCUCAAAUCCAUUCUUACAUCGUGUGCAAAGGCGCUUCCUUUUGAAUUUGAAAAAAAAAUGGUCUUUAGCUUUACAACUAUGACAGAUUCCAGAGUUCUUUCCAGGCAUUCUACGCUGGGAAUAAAAGACAGACAACAUAUGUGAACUCAGUCAUUUUACCAAUUCAAGACAAUGCACAAAUGAGAAUUACUGUGAACAUUCAAUCGGAUAAGCUAAUAAUGAGUAAUUUUUGAAAAUGAAUUAUAAAAAUCACAGCUAAAACACUACCUAAGGAUAGCAAAUGAAUGAAGGUAUCAUAUGAGCGAACAAAGCCUUAGUGGAAGCAAGAAUUGAUAAAAUAUAUUGAUGUAAAAAAAGACUACUUGAGCACAAAAAAUAAAUGGAAGUAGAUUAACUUAAAUGCGUUCGUGCUGAUUUCCCCAUAAGAAAGGUCGUGAGGAGAUGUCAACGGAGUCACUGGGUCUUGUUGUUUGACGGAGAUCGAAGAUUCUGGGUCGUGUAAAGGUGAAACCUUUAGCCAUAGUAGGUGUGGCGACUGGAGAUGGAAGGAACAGGGAUUUCGAUUUUGGGCUUUCAAAUAUGGGGGAUACACAAGUUCUUUUUUUACCCAUUUCUCCCACUUGUACUUGGACGAUGACUUGGGAUUUUGGUCGGUGAAGGUGCGAUGGUCGGCGAAGGCGUGGUGUGACGGCAAAGAUGAAGGGUUUGGAAAUUUGGAUUCUAGAGAGAGUAGCAGCAAUCUUUAUUUUUUUCAUUUAUCAGUCGGUUGUGUCUUUUUUGUCUUGUUUAUAUUUUCUUUUGCCCUUUUCGUUUCAUUUUUUCCCCUAUAUUUCAUGUUCCAUAUUAGCGAUUUCAAAAUUGAUGCUAGCUGAGUAGCCUUAUUAAUUAACAAAUUCGUUAAGUUUACUUCAUUGCUGGUUCAGCUCCUCCUUUGCUAUCUAACUAUAAACUUAGAUUAUAUGAGAUAGAAUUUAUUUAAAUUAAAGAAAAAGAUAUAUGCUGCUAAGGUUACUACCUAAUGGAGAGUUAUAACAUUAUAAAUUUAUCGUAAAAUAAAUACCUUAUAAUGUAUUCAAGAUUUAAUAGAAUUAUAAGUAUAUUGUAAUUAACUUUAAUUGACAUGUCAAUUGUCUAGGACGUCCAAGGAACAUUACACUGCAAAACAUGGUUAGUCACAAUGAUGACAAAUUUAUAUUAAACUAGUAGUAAACACAUGUAUUGUACAUCUUAUAUACAGAAUGAAUGAUAUGAGUAAUAUUUGUAAAGUAAUGUAAUUGAUAAUGUUAAAAGAAAAAUUAAAAUUAUUAGAGAAUAUAUAUGAAUAAAAGUUUUAUGAAAUUAUGUACAUAAUUUGAAAAUGUUGAACAAAUUGAAAUAUAAUGUUUUUUUUUUUACUUAUUUGUUUAUGCUAGAUAUAGAUUGGACCCUACUUCAACCAUUAUAGCAACAUCGACCAGCUUUGUGGUAUAGACGUACACAAAGAAGAAUCAAAUUAAGAGAUGUACAUUUGACUAAAUUUAAAAUGUUUACUUAUAAGUAAACUAAAUGUACAUAAAUAAUUUUCAAAAUAAAAAAAAUAUUCAUUUUGUUUGUAAUAUAAACUUCUUUUACCUUAAAAAGUAAAAGCAAAAAAAGUAUCUUAUCUAAAUAGAUUUAGAGAAAAAUAUUACAUACUAAUCAUGCUUGUCGUAUUGAUCAAUAGUAUUUAUUUUAAAUUAAAAACAAAACUUACAUUCAAAAAUAUAAGUUUUCUUUUGAAUGGGAUUAAUAUAAAUGGGGGAAUAAAAAUUCUCCUUUUAAAUGUAUCGAGAUAAAAAUCUUUUUCUUUUCUACAUAUAUUUAUAUUUAAUAAGUAACUAGAUUACCAUCAAUUUUUAUGUUUAUACAAAAUGAUCAUGCGAUAAUAAUAAAAUUCCCAAUACUAUGUUAGUUAUUAUUUGGAACACAUAAUAUUAAUUUUCAUUAAUACUUAAAAAUUUGGUUUUAGUGAAAAAUGUGUAAUUGGGAUGCGAAGCUUGUGUUUAGUGAGGUGGAUACAAUUAUGGAAAGGAUAAGUAACUUCUAAUUAUUUGGAGUAAUUAGUAUGAUUUUUAAGAUCGAUAGAUAAUUUCUUCCAUCUUUGACACGUUCCCUCCUAAUGGUUCAUCUCAUUUUUUCUCCCCCCCCCCCUCCCCCCCAAUUUAUUGUCCUUUGUGUUUAAAUAGUUAUAUUACCUAUUAUAUUAAUGAAAUGUACAAUUUAUAAUCUUUUGAAUGAAAAUGUUGACAAUUUUAUGUAAGGACAUAAUAUAAUUAUAUAAGUAGAUGAAUGUCGAUUUCAAGUGAAGCUCACAUAUAUAAAUAAUAAAUAAUAUAAUACAUAUGCAUGUACAUAUGAAAUAAUAUUAUAAUAUCUUAAAGGUCACAUUAAUGAUAGAUUAAUUGUAGUCUCCUUUCAAGUAUAUAGUUCAUUUUUAUAUUGGAGUACUCAUAAUUUUAUAUUAAUUAAAUUAAGUUUAAUCACUUAAAAUCGAAGCUUGUCUACAUAUAUAAUUAUAUUAAAACUAUAAUAUAUAUUAAUUUAUAUUGUAAUUAAUCUACCAUUAUAUUAAUGUAACAUUUAAUAUAUUAAUUAUAUAAUUAUAAUUAAAUUACAUCUAUAUGUGUGAGCUUCAAUUUUAAUUAGUAAAUUUAAUCUAAAUAAUGUAAUUUAAGUAAUUAAACUAAAUUUGAUUAAUGUAAAAUUCUAAGUACUCUAUUAUAAAUCAAUAAGUAUUACACUUACAUGGAUUUGAAAUGAAGUUAAAUUAUAUUAAAUGGUACUAUAUUAAAUAUACGGCUAGAAUCGACAUAACUAAAUAUAUAUAAGGGUAAAGUUAAUAUUCAAAAGUUUCUCCUCAGUUUACAGUUUUAAUAUAAUGUAGAUAUAUCCUUAUGCAACAUCUUAAAUAAGUGCAAAAUUCACGAAAAAAGGUAUGGGUCGUUACAUUACGAGAAUUGUGGUAGACUUAUUCUGAGCAAUGAAGAUCCCAUCUUUAGAUUGAGUUAUCUUGAUCCCAAGAAAGUAGUGCAUCAACCCUAGAUUAGUCAUCUCAAACGUUUUCAUCAUGUCUUGAAUUUCUCGAUCAUCUUUUCAUCGUUUCUUGUAUAGAUGGGAUCAUCAAUAUAUAGAGAGAUUAUGAUUGUACUAUUUCUCUCUUGAUUUUUGAUGUAUAGAGUUGGUACCUUUGACUUUCCUUGAAUCCCUGCUCAGUGAAGUAGUUGCUUGCUUUAUUGUACCACACUCGUAAAGCUUGCUUUAAUUUAUAUAUUGCAUUCUUACCACAGGGAGCUUGCUUUAAUUUAUAUAUUGCGUUCUUUAGUCUAAGUACUUUGUCUUUUUGACCUUGUUCUAUGAACCCUUGAGGUUGUUCUACAUAAAUUUUUCUUCAAGAUAGCUAUUGAGAAAUGGUGAUUUAACGUCUAGUUGGUAAAUCUUCCACUUCUUCUUCUUCUCUGCGACUAGUGUUAUAAGUGCCUUUAUAGUGUCAUGACUCAUUGGUGUGUGACUGGAGCAAAUAUCUCAUUGUAAUUGAUGUCGAACUAUUGUAUGUAUCCUUCACAACUAGUCUUACUUUGAGCUUUAAGAUUGAGCCAUCAACAACACCUACGACAUUUUUCUCUCAAGGAAGAUCUAUGAACUCACAAUUAUUGUUUUCUUGAUCAUUUUUAUUUCUUCGUCUACUAUUUUUAUCCAUUCUAGUUGUUUUGAAGCUUCAUCAUAGCUUUCACAUUCUACAAUCAACAAGUUGUACUUUUGGUAUAUUUAUGAUAGACUUCAAGUUUCUCUUGGCCGCGAUUUUGGUAUGUUAAAUGGUCCUUCUAUCGUUGCUUGUUGUGAUGACUCUUGUUUGCUGUUUUCCCCGACGUCAUCAUCUUGCAUUUUGUGGUUGUGUUAGGAUGCUAACAGCUUUUUUGUCAGCUUGACUAGUAUCAUGGUUGUAGGAGACAUCUUUGUCAAAUUUAAUAUCCUGAUGUAUAAUAAUUAAGUCCUUUGUUCUCAAGUAGUAGACUCGAUAGCUUUUAGAUUGAGUGUCAUAACCUAAGAAGAUUAGCAUCUCUAUCUUUUUAUCUAGGUUACCUCUUUUUUUUUUUGGGGAAUGUGUGUGUAGCGAUGCAGUCGAAAACUUUGAGAUGGUCUGCCGAUGGUUUUUGCCCUUUCCAUGUUUUUACUAUUGUUUGUUGGACAUCGAUUUAGCAGGUAGAUUGCGGUGCUUAUUGCUUCUACCUAGAAAGCUUUUGGAUGAUUUUUUUUCUAGUAACAUAGCUUUCGUUCGUCUCCAUUAUGGUUAUGCUAUUUAUUUUUGAUAUGCUAUUUUGUUCAAAUGCAUGAGUUGAUGCUCUAUUCCUUCAUCUUCACUGAAUUUGUUGAAUUCAUUUGAUGUCCAAUCUUUGCCUCUAUCACUUCUAAUCGUCUUGAUAAUGCAACAGCUAUGCUUUUUGACAUAACUUUCGAACUUUUUGAAAAUCUCAAAAAACUUGGAAGUAUUUGUGACAUAGCCAUGACUCAAUCACUUGCAACGUCAUUGCCUCAUUAUUUGCAUAUCUCCAUUGAAUUGGAAAGCAUCUUUUUCCCUUUUUUUUUUAUUUUUGAAAUUAUAAGAGAUUUAUCUUUCAUGUCAUAUAUUGUGUAAUAAUCUCAUUCGAAAUGUAAAGUGUAUCCCUUCUUCAUGAUUUGAGCUAGGCUUAGUAGAUUCUAAUAUGUUGUAGAGACCAAGAGAGCUGCGUUGAUAUAUCUCUUGACCUUUUUUGUAUCAAAGUCAAUAGUACAUUUAUAUGUUGCCUCCAUGAAAUCACCAUUAUCAAAUUUAAUUUUUACCUUGAUUUUAUCAAGUCAACAGAAAAUACUUUCAUCAUAUAAUUACUACAACUACUAUCCAAAUACCAUGUAUCUAGUUUCAUUUAGAUACAUCUUCGCUGGAGACAUAGAAGAGAUUUCCUUCUAUAUCUUUUUCUUCAGAGAAAUUGGCUUAAUGAUUUUGUUUAAAACAAUAGAAUUUUUCUUUGUGUUUAUUUUAUUUUGUUAUUUCAGCAUUAUGGUUUUCCUUUAGACAAAUAAUCCUUCUCCAAAUAACUUUUCUUUUACAAAUGCCAAGUGCAUGAUACUUGUCAUUAUUAUCCACUUAUUUUUCUUGAGUUUCUAGAUUUUGUUUGAAUUUUCUUCCACCUUCUUUAGAUUUUUGAGACCGCAUAUUAAUUUUAGAUUGAAAAGCAUUAUUUGGGUCAAUUUUAUAAUGCCUUUCUAAUAUUUUCUCAAGAGCUUCUAUGGAUCUCAUUUACUGUAGGUGUUAAUUUAUCUAUAUCUUUAGACUCAUUAAAAUUUUUCUGACAAUUUUCCUUUUUAGGAAUAUCUCCUUAAUAAGUUCUUACUUGAUUCAUGAUUUUAUAUACCACUAAAUAAUAAUCUUUUGCAGUUUCAGAAUCUUUUAGAAAUAUCUCUUAGUAUAAUGACUUUAAAAAACUUAUAGAGAAAGGUAUCUUAGAUGGUGUAAUGGCUUCAUACCAAGUAUGUUGAAGAAUGAAAACCCUUAAAAGAAUUUUUUAUAUUAGAUGGUCUAAUGGAAUCAUAUCAAAUUCAAACUCACUCGUUAGGAAAAUAAACUGUAGCGUUGUUUCUUUUGUAAAGUACAACGAAACAUUCACUACAUUAUUGCCAGCUAUACUAAAAAGCAUAAUAGGAACCAAGCAGCAAGAUCAUGUAAGGGUAAAAUGAAAAAAUCUUAGAGAAGCAAUUACCAAAAAAUUUCUAAUGUCAUGAACAUUGGAUCAAGAACCAAAUAAUUCUUAUAGUAGCUAUUAUUGUAAAUCUUCUUAAAGAAGGAAUGCAAAAAGCUUCAGUAUAUUGAUGGGUAUUAAUAUAGGUGUCCUUCCAUGCAAGCACACUCAUCAUGGAAAAGGCCAAGAUGAAGAUAAAAUGGAGCUCACUCAUCAUGGAAAAGGCCAAGAUGAAGAUAAAAUGGAGCUCGGCCUUUUCAAUUAGGGCCUCCAUCCAAUCUAUUUCUUUAUAUCAUCAGACUAUGAUAGUUAAACUUCCCUUCACCUUUGUUUACACAUAUGUCGAUGAAAUCCCUCGAGAAAUCUUGAUUCCGAGCUUAGAAAACAACCAAACCAACACCAGUUUACCUCAGCUGAACCCAAAAUUUUCACACUUGAUUACCACAACUUUCCUUCCACAAAGGAGACUAUGGUGGUGGUAUAUGCAAUCCACAAAGGAAGGAGAAAGAUGAAGAAAGCCACCAAAAACACUCCAAGCUCUCUAACUUCAAAGAAAGACAACUUUCUCUCUCUUUUCUUCUCUUGUUUUUUCUCUUGCAUACUACAAACACACACGGCUGCUAGAAGAGAUGGGUGUAUAUAAAGCCAAACCACUUUGGUCACUCAAUUGGGCCAAGACUUAUGCAAAUGGGUUGAACCUAAACUAAUGGCCUAUUAUCCAAGUCCAAACUCACCACUAAAUGGUCCAACUAACCAAAAGACAAUCAGCCCAAACUUGGGCCAUCCAAAGGUAUAGGUCAUUUUCGAGUUGAGUCAAGUCCAUGGUGUCGAUAAAUUAUCCGAUAAUUGUUUUAAAUCAUAGUCUGAAUUUAUUGGGUAUCAAAAUCCAACAAAUCUCCACCUUGAUGCCCAAUAAAUCUACAAGCAAUCAAAACACAAAGUUUAUACUUGUAUAAUCAAGGUAACCAACAAAAUUGGAUCACAAACUUUACCUUGUGUUUCUAACCUGAAACACAUACCAUACCUAUUCCAUGUACUCAUCCGAGCUAAGGUCACGAAUACCCAAGUAGAAACAAAUAUUCAACAGAAAACAAUCAAGAGCAAGUACAUAAGUGAUGACGAUAUAAUAUAGGAUAACACAAACAAAUUUUUUCAGAACCACAAAUUAACACUAAGUCAAUCAAACACACAGUCAAAUAUAUAUGCAACAAAUCCAUAAAUGAAUCACGAAAAGAUCUCACCAUACUUAUCCUAUCCCAUUCUACAUUGCUCACACCUAGAGAACACAUAUCUCUUCUCAUCGGCAACUAUGCUCACUAGACUGAUAACUCAACCCAUGUCUAACUGGUAAAUUACAAUAGAUUCUAAGUUCUUGGGAUAAUCAUUUAUCACCACAUCACUUCUCCCAACCCGUAUGGAUAAUGGGUACCUCUUUCAUACUUCACCUGUACAGCGUCUCUUAGCAGAUAAAAGAUUCCAACAUUUAAUCACCUCUCUACUCGUGAUCCAAAUGUCACAUUCCACAUCCCCCAUACAUAUCAACAAUGCACCUUUAGGCAUCUAUACUCCACCUUACCAAUAGACACUCAACAUACUGCUAAUGCAUCUCAAACUCACUAUGGCAAAUUAAUAUUUUUUGGCUACCACAAAGGCUACGGCUGAAUUAAAAUUUACCCAUGCACCACAAGGUUACUCCAAUCACCAAUGCUCAAAGAAUCCACAAAGGAAAUGGCGAAGGUGGCACUCGUAAAGGGAAUAGAAGAAAGAGUUGGUUACUUUACUACACUCACAAAAGAAGUUCACAAAGAGAAAGAAUAUAACCUUACAUGGCUGCCUCAAACAAUCUCAUAAACCACAUAGGCUUACAAAGAUAAAAGGAGAAAAUGGCUGCCCAUCUUUCUUCUCACUACCACACUCUCACACCACUCACAGAGUAAAUGGAGUAUGCCACAGAACUCAAUCCACUAUGCAUGCAAACACAUUUCACAAAGUAACAAAAUCACUCUAAUUAAGGUAAUUACACACAUCAAAUACGUCGAAAGUGUAGCAUAUCAACAUUGCAAUAAAAUUAAGUGAUCACACACAUGCAGAAAGGAUUACACACAUGUACAUGCAGUAACCUAGUUUACUCUCAAUAAAACUCACACAGGUCAUCACUCAACCUAAUGACGAUAUUCGCCUCACCUCUCCCCUUAUCUUUCCUUUAAUUAUCAUUCGUAGGACAACCUAUCUCACCAUGUCCAAAUUUUACCACAGUCAAAACACAUUUUAUUUUUCGUUCUUGCCUUAGACCUAUACAUGCCAUCAGUACCAAAUAAUGACCACAAGCAAAGUAUAAUGCACAUAGAAUGAUCAAAUAAACUUUCCUAAGGUCACAUGCAAUUCUAACAGUGUAGAAAAAUUGGCAACAAAUUUAUAAAAAAAUUAAGGCAAAUAAUUCCUAGUUUUAGCAAUAGGCAAUGGUUACCCUUUCACAGUAACCCAAACCUAAUGACACCCCACAUGAUGACUUCUAAUACGAAAAAUAAAUUAUUAGCCUACACAAUUAUUUUAACAACAACAAUAAAAAGUAAAGAACAUGAUAUCGAAGGGACCACGUCUAAAGGUCUGUAAAUAUUGAGAGACACGAAUUCACCACUUUAGGAUUAUCAUUGUUCAUCCUAAAGUCACCAGCAAUCGUAGCAACACAAAAUGGCAUUUGACACCUGAACAUCCAAGGGCAAAAUUGUCCAACUUUCACUGCAUUGCUCAAAACUGAAAUCCAGAAACACCACAGGGUCCGUCUCAUCAUCGACAACAUUCUAUAUUUUGAGACCAUCCCCUGACUCCAUCGGACGGGCCUGUAUAUGCCUUGCCGGCGUCUCCACACGUCAACGUUGGCGUCGGUGGCCACGUGCCAUCCUUCUGGCUUUGUUUCCACCUGCACAGUCCACCAAUGGUGUCCGUUUCUCCAAAUUCUUUUUGGGUACUUGAAAAAAGAUUGUAGAGUGAAAAACACCCAACAAGCAAAUUGUGCAGUCAAAAGGGGGGUAAAUCAAGCAUCUCAAGUUCAAAUUUCUCCAACUAUCAAGGAAGUCAAUAGUUGUUGGAUAGUGGAUGUUGUAAUCAUGUGACCUCGGGUGAAAGUAUCUUCAUUGACAUGGAGAAUACAAAUUCAAUAGUGAGAUUGGGAAAAUGAAUAAUUGGAGUUGAAACGAAGAUUCAAGACUUAUUCAGGAUGUUAUGCAUGUGUUGGAUUUGGAUCAAAAUCUACUAUGUAUUGGGCAGCUUCUAGCACAUGGUUUUUUUAUACGUUAUGAAGAUGAUGCUUGUGUCAUUCAUCACAAAAAAGGCUAGGAAUUUGUUCAUAUCAAAACUGAAAAUUAAGAAUAGAAGUUGAUUGAUAAAGCUUAUCGAAUGUUGGCUUAUGACUCAUGGUUAUGGGAAAAAAAGACUUCGUCAUUUGAACUUUCAAGGGCUGAAACAAAGACCAGAGUAGAAAAACAUGGUGUAGGAGCUUCCAAAUAUUGAGAAAAAAAAUCUGAAAUUUGUGAGGGAUGUGCACUUGAAAAGCAUCAUUGGCAACUGUUUCCAAAAGGAGUAGCUUAUAGAGUAAAAAGGCCACUUGAAUUGAUGCAUACAAAUGUUUUUGGACCGAUACAUACACCAUCUCAUUCUCAAGAUAGGUAUGUCUCUUUAUUGAUGAUUUUAAAAGAAUGUCUUGGGUUUACUUCAUGAGACAAAAAUUUGAAGUCUUUACAAUUUUAAAAAAAAAAAAAUUCAAGAUUUUUGUAGGGAAAAAGUGGUCAUUUCAUAAAAGUUUUGAGAAGUGAUAAUGGUAUGGAGUAUAAUUCAAAGGAAUUUGAUAAUUUUUGUCAAGAUAAAGGUGUUGAAAGACAAUUAAUAGUUGGAUAUACUCCACAACAAAAUGGAAUACUAAGAGGAAAAAUCAAACCCUAGUAGAGAUGGCAAAGGCUAUGUUACAUGAUGAAAGGCUUCCAAAAGUUUUCUGGGCUGAAGUGGUAUACACAGUAGUUUAUUUGUCAACAUGAGUACAACAAAGGCCAUAUGGAACAAAUUACCAAUGGAAGCUUGUAAUGGAAGAAAACCAUUGGUGAAGCAUUUAAAAGUGUUCGGAUGUAUUUGCAAUGCUCAAGUACAAAAAGAGAAGCGAAACAAGCUUGAUGAGGCAAGCUUGUAUUAAAUUUUCAUUUUGCUCACAAUCUAAAGGCUAUAAACCGUACAACUUGACGAUCGAGAAAGUGAUUGUUAGUCAUGAUGUAUUGUUUGAUGAGAUUGCCAUUUGGAAUUUGGAAAAUGAAGAAGUGCUUGAAAGAAAUAUUUCCAUCCUAAUUGUUUUCCUCAAAAUUCAUUCAAUGAUAAUGUGGAAAAUGAAGAAAAUGCAAGUCAACCAAGCUUAUCAUCAUCAUAAUCAUCAUCAUCACCAAAUAGUCAAAUACGUUCCUCUAGUUCAAGUUCAUCAUCACCAACCUCAACUCCAAGAGAAGUGGAGGAUUUGAAUGAUGUUUAUGCAAGAUGCAAAUUUUGUGUGGUUGAAGUAAAAAAAUUUGAAGAAUCCAUGAAGGAUUAGUGUUGGAAAAAGGGCAAUGGAGAAAGACAUAGAAGUAAUUGAAAAACAAGGCUUGGGAGUUAGUUGAAAGGCCAAAACAGAAAGAUGUGAUAUGUGUAACAUGGACCUACAAGGUGAAGCAUAAUUUGGAUGGAUCAUUCAAGAGAAAUAAAAUAAAUUAGUGGUGAAAUGGUAUGUACAACAACUCGAGAUUGACAAUGAUGAAACUCUUGCCAUCAGUUGCUCAUCUAGAUACCUUAAGAGCUCAUAGCUCUUGUAGCCUAAAAAUGUUUGUUAUUGUACCAACUUGAUGUUAAAUCAGCAUUUCUAGAUAGAGAACUAAAAGAAGAUAUGAAUGUUAAACAACCUCAAGGUUUUGUUGCAAAUGGAAAAGAAGGCAAAGUGUACAAGUUAAAAAAGGCUUUGCACUGUAUCAAACAAGUAUCGAGGCAUAGUAUAGUCAAAUUGAUGGCUAUUUCAGAACAUAAAUUUCUCAUAUGCAAAAGUGAAUCAACCUAGUACAAGAAACAUCAAGGUAAAACUGAUAUACUUAUUGUUGCAUUAUGUGUUGAUGAUUUGGUGUUUACUGAAAACAAUGCAAAAAUUAUUGAAGAAUUUAAAGUUGACAUGAUGAAAAAUAUGGAAUGAAUGAUUUAGGGCUGCUACAUCAUUUCCUUGUUAUAGAAAUAUAUCAAGAUAGAAAUGCAAUGUUUAUUUCUGAAAUGAAAUGUGCUGAAAAAGUUCUUAAAAAAUUCAGAAUGUUUGAAUGUUAAAGUGUUGAAAAUUCACUUGUUUGUAAUGAGAAAUUGAUGAAGGAUGGUGGAGAAAAGAAAGUGGAUUAAACUCUUUAUAGAAGCUUGAUUGAAAACUUGCUUUAUCUUAUCGCUACAAAAUUGAAUGUCAUGUAUGCCGCAAUUUUAUUUCCAAGGUUCAUGAAUAGUCCAAGCCAUAAGCAUUUUGUUGUUGGAAAAAUAUUUUUGAGAUUUAUAAUUUGGACAAUUAAUUUUGGAAUCGGAUUUGAGAAGAAGAUAGAAGUGAAGUAAAAAGGUUUUUAUGAUAGUAAUUGGGAAAAUUGUGUAUCAUGAAGAGCACAUCAGGUUCUGCACUUUCUCUUGAUUCGAGAGUAUUUUCAUGGCUAUCCAAGAAGCAACAAAUAGUUGCACAAUCCUACGCUAAAGCUGAAUAUAUGUCAACCUCAAUUGCAACAUCACAAGUCAUUUGCAUAAGAAAAAUUUUAGAAGACAUUGGAGAAGCAUGGAGAAGCCACACCAAUAUAUUAUAACAACAAAUCAGCUAUUGCGAUGUCAAAAAAUCCAGUUUUUCAUAGUCAAACAAGACACAUUGCAAUCAAGUACCACUUAAUUCGAGAUGCAAUUGAAGAUGGAGAAGUAGAACUCAACUAUUGCAAGUUCGAAAAAUGAUCACAAGGCAUUUCCAACAUCAAGAUUCCUACAAUUGAGAUGAGCACUUGAAGUUGAAGAAAAACACAUUAACGGGGAGAAUGUUGAUAUGCAAUGUGUUUUUAGUAGAAAAGUCAUCAAACGAAUGAGGACUAAAAAUGUAAUAUGUUUUAGAGUUCAUAUAAAUUGCAUUGUAUGCCCUAAGUUGUGUAAUGAAAAAUUGUGAAGGGAAUCUUGGAAAGAAAGAAAAGUUCUCCUUUCGAUCUUUUUUCCCCUAUUUUCAAUAGCAAGUAAUAUGUUGCAGUAAUCUUUUCUAGCAUUCAUACUGCCCUGUUUUCGUUCUGCUAAUUAAAAUCAACUAGUUUCAUAUAGGUGAAACUACUGUUGAAAUUGAAUUGCUCUUGUUCCAUACUCGUGAAACCAGUGUAGUUCUACUAAAAACUGUAAUCUCAGGCAACAAGUACUUAUUACAAUCUUCUUAGAGAAUAACAAUGAACAGCCUCCAUUUUCAAGAAAAUCAUGAACACAGAUCAGGCUUCCCUGAUAAAACCUGUAAGAUAAUCCCUGAUGAAAUGUUACGUGGCAUCAAUCAAAACCACUAGUAUUACGUGAUGGUCAUUAUGAUUGUGUUCAACAACAUAAAUUUCUUAGAUUUAACCAAGAUCUAUUAGCGAAAUUCUUAAUUCGUUCAGUCGAGGAUAAAAUUGGUAGCUCCACCAUCAUAAAAGUUAUAUUUGCUCAAAAAUCUAUAAUCUUCAUGUCCAUUUGCAAUUUAGAAUCACUUGAAGUGCAUGAAGAAUUGAGUAAAUUUUGAUAAAAGUAAAACAAUAUUUUCUCGUACUCCUCUAACCACCUUCAUACCAGAUCUAAAGACUGAAGCCUCAUUCAACAUAAGAUCUCAAGACCUCCGCCCGUUGCAAUAGUAAUGCUCCCUCUACUAGCUGUCUACACCACCAAAGUUGCAUCAUUUGCUUAAACGGUAUUUCAAUUGUUCGAAGAAUCCAACCAGUACACCUGUUUCCUUGGUCAAUCGAUUGACAGUAGACCGUGCUAUUCCUACAUAUUUUUUUAGAUGGUUUUUGAUCUAUGACCAAUCGAUUUUGUACCAAUUCGAGAUUCUUUGGACUGAAUUGGUCGAUUCGAUCUGAUUUUCAGAACAUCAGCUAUUAUCCACUAAAUAUGUAAUCAAAAUAAAUAUUAUAAUCAAUUAUAAAACAAAAAAAAAAGGAAAAAAAAACUUUUUUUUUUCCUUUUUUCACCUUCUGAUUAAAACGUAUGACUGAUGUAUACGAAGUCCCCUCGUUGCUCCAUUCAUCAUUCGGGACCAAAAAAUGCGGUAGAGUUGCCAUCCCUAUAUAACACAACCCGAAUUUCUUGGCACGACACAAUAAAACAAAGGGCCAACCGUGUUAAUUAUCAAUCAUGGGUCCUAUCCUUAAUGUUAGCCGUUCGUAUUUUUAUUUUUAGAUAAGUAUAAAACAAUCAAUAUAAAAGUGCAACAUAAUAUUUUGCCCCCAUUUCUGACCAAGCUUAUGGAAUAUUUGAACACAAGCCUUUAAAAGUGACCAAAUAUGCCAAUUAAUGGAAAAUUUGAAGAUAAGAUCGAUAAAAAAAUUAUAGGAACAUAAAUGCAACAGUAAGAAAAUUUAGAAACCUGUAAUGCAAAUAAAAAGUGAUUCACUAGCAGAAACACAUUUAUGGUAAUAUAAUCAUUCUCGUCAUAAACCUCAUAUAAAAUGAGUAAUUUUUUAAAGUAAUUUACCCCAUUUUAAGGUGAUUGUGUUGUACGAAAAGCUUAACACUUAUUACACAUACAAGCAAAAUCAUGAUUUAAACCUAUUUUUGCACACUUAAUAAAUAUUAUAACUAAUCAAUCGAGAUAAGGCUUAAAUUCUAGCUCAUUAAAUCUAUAAAUAAUGCCAUCACAAUUGUUAACCUAACUGGCAUAAUGAUGAACUCAUAAUGUCCGUAAUGCAUUCUCAAUGCUGUCUUUGGAAUAUCACAAUUCCUAAUAUUGAGUUGGUGAUAACUUGACCAUAAAUCGAUCUUAAAGUAUACAUUUGCACCUCUCAAUUGAUUGAACAAAUUGUCAAUUUCUAAAAAGGAGGUAGGUAUUCUUAAUACUCAAGUAAUUUAAAUUUCUAUUAUUGAUGCAUACCAUCAUCGAUUCAUACUUCUUGUUUUCAAAAGGCAUUACACUCCUAAACGAGCCACUAUGGUCAAAUUAACCUUUUAGUCGAGCAAUUUCUACAAUUUUAUUUUCAACUCUUGCUGCUCUUAUGGAGCCAUUAUGGCCAUUCUAUAUGGUGUUUUAGAUAUGUUGCUACUAUGUGGAAUAAGUCAAUCAAGAACUCUAUUUGUCCAUUUAAUGUGUCAUAGAAAUCAGUAAAAGCAUGAGCUUAUCUUAUCAUAUAAAUGAUUGCACGGUCUUAUGAAAAGAAUGGAAAGGAGUUAAAAGAAAAUUCUCCCCCGUACUAACGAGUCUUGAGAUUGGCUAUCUUUUUAAAUCUACAUCUUGAUAAGUUACAGCUUCGAUGACUUUUUGUUUGAACAUAUGGGUAAUGGGUCGCCCAUAUGGGGUGACCUGACCCGCAAGAUUUCAUAAAGGGUAGGAGGGAAUGAUUUGAAUUUGGAAUUUAUAUCUGCAAUUUCUCAUAAUCUCAUUUUAACUCCCAUAUAACUUCCAUUGAUGAUGAUAUUGAAAAUGUGGACAAAAAAGAUGGCAUGAAAAAAAAAGGUGAAAUUUUGUAUGAAAAUUGACAUCAAAAUUGAAAAGUCUCUAGAACCAUGUCUUUUACAUUAAAUCUCACGAAAAAUGGCAUUUAGAUUGUGAAUAAUAAUCUCUUCCAUUGUCAUUGGAGUUGAGACCAUUGGAGAAUACGAAAAUGCAGAUUUUGGAGCUUUGGAAUGCAAGGUGAUUCAACCACACAAAAAGAUCUUGGAAUUUAUCAUUUCAAAUAAGUUUCUUAAAUCGAAAUUCAUGUUAAAGUAUGCUACGAAUUAUUAUUGAUAUCAAAGCCAUAAGGUUGAAUUCCUUAUUAUAAUUCAUGCUUAAAUAUGCCAUUACAUGAUACAAUUUGGGUUAUGAAUCUUGUCUGCAAAGUUUUGAAACCCUAUGUAGUAUUUAGUGGCAUCAUUUGAUAAUUUAUUGCCAUCUGUUCGUUCAUCUUCAUGCAGUAAGAUUAGUAUGGUUAUCUCAUAACCUUUCCAACCAUAUAAAAAACUCAAAUUUUGGACUUAAAACGAAGAAGUUAUAAGGUUUUGAAAUUUGGAUGAUAAUUUGAAUUUUAGGCAUGAAACUUGAUAAAAUCCUGAUAUUCAUCACGUGAUAACUUUUUAUACGUUAAAAGAAAUGAAAUGGUUUCCAUUAUUCAUUUGGUAUGGUUGGAUAGAUCUUCUUGAGACCUUUCCAACGAUAUGAAUAUCAUUCAUUUUGGGCUUAUAAUGAGAAAGUUAUGCCUUCCCGAAGUUUGGAUGAGAAUCUAUUUUUGUAUAAAAAUUUGUAACAUCGAAAACUUCAUCACAUGAUAACUUCUUUCGUACUGUGUUUCAUGAUGCCCAUUUGGUAUUUUGGAUAGAUCUUCUCAAGACCUUUCCAAUGAUAUAAAGAACAUAAAUUUUGGCAUUGGAAUGAAGAAGUUAUAGGUUCUCGAAGAAUUGAUAAAAACCUAGAAAUUCUAUUCGUUCUAUUUUAAGGGCUUGUUUGGUAGUGAUUUUGAGAAUGAUUUUUUGACCGUAGAGAGAAAAUUGGUCCUACCUAUGAGAGAAGAAGUAAAAAAUAACGGCUGACAUAGUGAAUUAACGGUAAAAAAAAUUGAUUUUUUGAGAGAAAAAGCACUACCAAACAUGCUCUAAGGAUGAACAAUAGUUUUUUCCCCUUUUUUUGGUCUCGGUCUAAUCUGUUUGGAUCCAGAACAUAGUCUUCAAAGUUGAUAUGUAAAAUCGAACCACACAGAUGAACUCAGAACUUUAAAAUUGAUUGAAGAGACGAAUCAACGAAAUUUUUUCCAUUGGAUAAGUGCUGUGAAUGGGUGUGUAGUAGGUGUUCACCACCCCACUUUCAAAAAAAAAAAAAGUUGAAAAGUCAAAUAAAACUGUUGUUUGACUUUUCAAAUAGAAUUUACAAAUUUACAAAUUAGUCCCUCGAAUAUUCUUGAUUUUUUUCUUAUGUGCAAUUAACAUUAAUUUUCAGAUAAUAAAAUUUUUUUUUGGACUGGAUUAAAUUAUGAAAUUUUUUAUAAAGAUCAAGAAUAUUUGUUAAGUGGUAUUUGUCUGAGGUUUCUUUUUUUUUUUUUUUAAGUGUUUCAUAUUUAAAUGAAAAAUAAUCUGAAGGUAUUUAAAAUACCAAAUUUUAUAUACGUUCAUGAGUUGUGUGGGUCUUGAUUAGGUUAUGUGAUCCAUUGUGACUUAUUUCCAUUUUUUUUGCUCGAUCAGAUUUGCCUAAAUCUACGUACAUUUAUAGUAUUGCAUUAUAAAAUGGAUCACAUUUAUAGUGAAAUUAAAUUUAUGAUAGUGAAAUAAUAGGAUUGCGAACGAUGGAUGGGAACAUAGUGAACUUUCGAAUCUGUGCCUAAUGUUGAACUAUUAUAGACGUUAAUUUGCGUUAAUGUAAAAUUAAAUAUGUGCAUAAAUGGGAAAUGGUUGAGAAUAAAAUGUCUCGAAAAAUCUGAUAGAUCUUGGCAUCAAAAUUUAUAAUAGGUGACCUUAAUAAAGGUAAUAAGCUAACUGCGAUAACAUUUGGCAUGAUAAGAUUUUGAGUGUACUGGAAUGAUAUAGUGCUUUAGAGAGAAUUAACCACACAAUAAAAAACCCUAUGCAGGUUAUACUACUCUAGAGAAUAAAGAUCAGAACUUUAUUAAGCACGAGAAAAUAUAGAUUCUAGUACUUGAACAUUUGAAUUGUUAAGUUAUGAUAAGAAUGACUUUUUUUCUCGAAUGUGACUUAGCUGAUGGUUAACAAAGUGUUAACAUUUUCUUGGUCACAUUAUUUUUAGAUGAGUAGUAAGUUCAAACUAGUCUCUUCUCAAUAUAUGAGAACUUUGAAGGUCAUUGUAACUUACAAAUUGAAGUGUCAAUUUUCUAUAUUGACACUAUCCCCUAUGGGAGUAAAAAGACAUGUGACUUGAUAUUGCUGAGUCUCAAGGACAUGCUUGUGUAGCAAUGUUCUAGCUUGCAUAAGAUUCAAGUCGUUGCUAAGUCUCGAGGGCAUGUUUGUGUAGCAAUGUUCUAACUUGCAUAAGAUUUUGAAUCUUAAGCACUAAAUGAGCUAGAACAAAUACAGGAUAGAUUAGGAGACUGAAAAAAGGGACCAAAAAGAACAUAUCGGAUAGUAAAUGAAUAAAAAUGGUUUUGGCAGAGGAUCAAUGUUAUGACGGUUCAAGUGCUUCAACUAUACAAUUUUAAUCUCUUAACUAGAAAGUGGUUAAGCUGAAGGCUCUUGCACUUGAAUAUAUUCCUCUCAGUAUUGUUUACGUGUCAAUACUAUACAUAUUGGAUCUUAUCUUAUGUGGAUAGUGGAUUCAAGGGUUAAAAAUCCACUUUAUAUGAGAUCAAAAUGUAUAUUAUUCUAUUGUGGAGACUUUGACUCGAUACAGAGUACAUAUAUACAAAUAAUGAAGAUGGGAUGGAUGUUUAUAUAACUGAUACUACAACUUAGUGUUGCAAAGUGGAGAAACUGACCUCCGAUUCGAUAUUAAGAUAGUAUGAAAAAACUCCACUAAAUUUGAUCUCAGUUAUUGUUCUUCGAAGAGUGGUCUCUUACUUGAACUUGUAUGUGGUAGUUCUAUUCGUACUCACAGUGGUAAUGUUUAUUAUAGUUCUGGAUAUUUGUACAUUGGAUUGAGGUUUUGAGUUGAGAAAAUCAUUCAAAACUGUAAGAGCUAAAUUUCAUAGAAUAAAUCGAUCUAAAUUUCUUUGCGGGCUAUGAUUAAGAGAGAUAGAGAUGAAACUUCACUUUUCAUUUUAUUUAUAGAUUGACUCACACAUUUCAGAUAUGCGUCUGAUUUUCUUAAAUUGAAUAUAUUGUAUUGGUUUAGACUUUUCUAAAGUCGAGUAGAAAACCAGAUUGUGGAAGUGAAGACUUUGAGAAUUAUCUGAUGGCGUGAAUCUCUAUCACGAGAUAUCAAUGAUCUAUGUAAUGAAAGGGAUUCUUAUUUGAUAGACUAUUCCUUAAUUGACUGAAUGAAAUAUUGCUGAAUAUGAUGAGGUUAGAGAUAUAUAGUCCAACUUACAUAUUUGCUUUUGGAAAGAGAGUUGGCUAGCUACAAUGUAUCAGCUAAUGGAGUUCUCUCAAUGUUGGCACCUUCAGAAUAUAUAAGUUUUGGACAUGUAUACAACCAAACAUGGGUUAUCGUAGACUCGUAAUGGAUUAUACAUGUUCUCGAUAAUGAGUUUGGGAACAUGAAUCUAUUAAGAAUGAGAUGUGUCUCGAUAACAUACAUGGAGUCCAAAAAAAGGUAUUUAAGUGAAAUUUUUUACGGAUAUUGAGUCACAAGAUGUGACAUUUGAUAUUUUUCCCAGUAAGGGAGAAAAGAUUGGAGAAUAUCGUUGAAAUUGAUAUUAUAAGUAUUGAUGAAUUAGUUUUGAAUAUAUAAAAGUUAAUUCAAACUUCUGAUUCAAGUGGGAGUAAUCUAUUUUCGAGUUGGACCUAUCUAUUUGAAUGGGAGCUAUCAAAAACUAUCUAAUUUCUAUGACUCUUGGUUUCGAGUAGGAGCUACGAUAUAUUUAAUAUCAAAGAUUCUUAGUUUCGAGUGGGAGCUAAGAUCUAUUUAAUGUCAAUGAUUUUUGGUUCAGAAAACCAAUGGAGAAUCUUGAGAAAAGUGAUGAAAGUAUAUAUAUGGAGUAUAAAAUUUCAACCCAAUCUAGGAUAUGAUAGAAGUUCUAUUUGGACAUUGUGUUUUUUGAGAACAUUCAGAUUCUUGAAAACUAAGUGAAAAACUAAUGAGUUUUUGAUAAAUAACGCUUAUCUCUUUGAAAAAGGGGUAUACUCAAUAUGAGUCUAUUGAGUUAGAUAGCAAUUUUUUCAUAACAAUGGGAUUUGCUUCUGUACGUCUAUACUAGUCAUGAUAGUAUGUUUAAAUUUAGAUUUACACCAAAUAGAACCAAAGACUGUAUUUUUAUUCUCAAUUGAGAAAUUAUUAAAGAGGUCAACAUGAAUCGUCUUGUAAAUUUCAUGUUAAAAGCUUUUUUUUAGUAUUGUAGUAACUUUAUAGUUACAUGCAUGGUCUACUACUGUCAUCUUAAGAGUCGUACUUGAGUUUUUAAUAGGGUUAAAUCUCAUACAAGAAUUUCGUCAUAUGGAAGAAAAUUACUAUAUUUGUGUAAAGGUCUAUCUGAUGGUAAGUUGUAAUUCUAAUUCUGAUGUUAUAUUGGAUUGGUUAAGCAUGAAAAGGAAUGUAUAUAGACCAUUUUGAAAUAGUUGUCCUCGAUUUUUGAGACAAAGGAUGUGGAUUUAGCAGAUAGCAGUAUACUAUGAUGUAUACUUUCCAUAACAUUGGUCAUGUCAUGGAUCUAGUUAGUAGGUAUCAAUAUUAUAUUUAGAAAAUGUAUUGUGAUACCUGAAGGGUGCUGCUAUCAUUUAUCCUAUUUCAUCGCCAAAGGAAUCACUUGUGAUUGGAAUAGAUAUACAAUUGUCAACUAUGAAUGAGAGUAAGUCGAACACAAUUAGUUAUUAAACUUGUGCACUCUUUCUAUAUAGUUUAGCAAUAAGUAUAUAUUGUAAUUUAUAUCUUGGCAGCUAAAGAAAUUGUUUGGUAUAGAUGUAUUGAGUAUCUAAUGAUGCUAUUGAGAAUAUGAGAUCCAUGAUAGUUACAUAACUAUUUUAUAUGUUAAGAUCUCAAGUAUCAAGAUAGAAACAAACACUUUAUGGUAUAUCUAUAAGAGACAUUAGCAAAGAAAGUGUCUUCGCGAUAUAUCUACAUAAAUGAUGAUAUGUAAUAUGAAGAUGUCGAGAGAUAUAUUUGUUUGUAACAUCGAAUCUCUAUAAUUUCGUAGAAUAUGAUACUUAGCGUAUCAGAAAACUCUUAAUUGAGUUAUGUAUGCCCAUAAAUGAACAAUUUUAAGUUCAUGUGUAAUCUAAUGUUGGGAUUUUGAGAUAAAUUAUUUGUAUACACAUAUAAAGUAUGUCGAACGGGUUGAAAUUGGCUCACUCACACAAGCAAUUGCCUCAAACACUUUGAGAUGUGCUAAGAUGAGACAAAGUGAUCAUGUUGUGUACACGAUCAAGUCGCCUUGAUAAGAUAUUAAGAUGAGAUUACAAUAAGUAAUUGAAAUGAAUUUGCUAUCCAUUAAACUUAUUUAGUAGCCAAAUCCAAUUCUGAAUUUGAGAUUGCCUUGAAGAGUGAACAUAAGGAGAACUAACGCUAGGUAUCAGAAAUUACCUGAACUAAGAUCUGUACGGUUUUAUUUGCUUACAAAGAAUAUGACAUAUGCUCUAAGAAAGGGAGAAAAAUUCAUAACACGUGUUUCAUACCACGUGAGCUUUUACAACCAAUAUUGGGUAAAUGAGUAAGUGGAUCCCUACUUCCUCAUUGUGUGAUAUCUUGAAAUUUAUAUAACCUCAUAUAUACCCUUAUGACUUUUGACUGUUUCUUGAGAUUUUAUUUCAGUGUUGCUACUUUAACAUGUUGCCAAUAAAAAUGAUUGAUUCGAUUUGAUGAGGCAUGUCUAAGAAAGCAGGUGAUUUAAAAUUGAAGGAUUCAAGUAGGAAAAGAAAACUGUUUUGACCAAUAUUUAUAUUUGUAUUCACCGAUCGGACAAUUGGAUUGAAACAUUUAGGGUAUAGAACACAAUUGUGAAUACAAUGAUGCGAUGUAGGGUUCAAGUAUGUUCCAUAAAAUAUUCCAGGGAUCCUAAAUACUUGAAUUAAUGUUGAAAAAUGAGUUUGGGGUAUAACAAGAUAUGAUGUUCCUCUAAUAGUUUACUAUAUAUCUCUAACAGGUUUAUAGUACUGUGAACUCUAAUAUUACUCGCUGGUCCACAUCUAUUUGUCGUAUAAAUCUUCGUGAUAUAGAUCUUGAGAAGGAUUUAAGAUGUGGCAUUCGUUGUCCAUUGUGGUCGGAUUAACCCCAUCAUAUGCGAGUGGGAGAUGUUGGAAAAUACAAAUAAUAGGUCGUCCAUGUGGGGUGACCCAACUCACAAGAUUUCAAAAAGGGUAGGAAGGAAUUAUUUGAAUUUGGAAUAUAACUUCCAUUGAUGAUGAUAUGAAAAAUGUGGACAAAAAAGAUGGUAUGACAAAGAGGUGAAAAUUCGUAUGGAAAUUGACAUAAAAAUUGAAAAGUCCCUAGAACCAUAUUUUUGGCAUGAAAUCUCACAAAAAUGAUACUUGGAUUGUGGAUAAUGAUUCCCUUCCAUUGUGAUCGGGAUUGGGACCAUUUGAGAACAAGAAAAUGCAGAUUUUGGAACUUUGGAAUGCAAGGUGAUUCAACCACACAAAAAGAUCAUGGAAUUCAUCAUCUCAAGUAAAUUUCUGUACCUGAAAUUCACGUUAAAGUAUGCUGCGAAUUCCUACAAUUUUAAAUGAUUUAUGGGCUGACUUUUAACUGAUUUAUAGGCUUUAAAUCCAUUCUCCUUUACUUCUCUUUAUUCAUGCAUUUUGUAAGUGAACCCACAAUAUUAGCUCUUAACUUUACAUAAUAAUUUCAAUUUUGAAAUCAUAAUGGCUGAACCACAUCUGCCAUCUGACCAAUCUUCCUUGCUUGUAGUCUGGAUGUACCUUAUUCUUCAUAAAAGAAUUACAAGUACUUGAAUCAGUUCUAAUAAUAAAAUUAUCAGAAAUUAUAUAAAGUCUAAAUUUUGUUAUAGAUUUUUUCAUAGCUAAAAUUUCUUUUUCAUUUAUGUGGUAAUUUCUUUCUGCUUUAGAAAAAGUUCCAGAAGCAUAUCUACAUAAUUUUUCUUCAAAUUGAUCUUGAGGAUCAAUAGCUUUUAAAACUACUCCCCAAUGUUCUUGAGAUGCAUCUGUUUCAAUUAUCAUUUUAUCUCCUUCUCUAGGAUGAUAUAAUGAUGGUAAGAUUUUUAUUUUUGAUUUGAUUUUUCCAACAUAAAGAGUAUCCUCUUUAGUCCAAAUCCAUUUAAAAUCUUUUUUCAAUUUCUUUUGCAAAGGUGUUCUCAUUUUUGCUAAAUCUUUGAUGAAAGAUUCUACAUAAGUGAGAAUCCAAGAAAUCUCAUCAAUUGUUUUUCAUCUUGAAUUUCAUUUGGAAAUUCAUUAAUAUGAAUUAGAAUAUGUGGUUUAAGUUGUUUAUAACCAUUAGCAAUAUCUAAACCUAAAUAUCCAAUCUUUUCUUUAAACAAUUCUGCUUUCUUUUCAGAUAGCACAAUUCCUGCAUUUAUUGCUUCUUGUAAAACAAUAAUUACAUGUUUUUCAUGUUCAUCUUCAGUAUCUGAAAAUACUAAGAUAUCCUCAAUAUUGAUAAAGAUAUGACUCUUUUUAGCAAUAUUUUCUCCUUGAAAUUCUUUUUUUGUAAUCAAUUUUCAUUGUUUUCAAGAAUUUUUCUUGUAAAACAUUCAUUGCAAAUGCUUUUCUUUGUUUUGGAAUCCAUAAUCUUUUACCAGAAAGAGUAAAACUUAUAGAUUCAAUUUCUUCUAUGAAUGGAUGAUAUAACUGACAAAAGUUAUUUUCAAUCAUAAAAUCAAUUCCAGUUUCCAAUUGGUAAACUGUUGGUAUUUUAACAUAAAAAGUUUUCCAUUGUGAUUUAUGGUAUCCAUUAAUCUCAAUGUUUAACACUUUUACAACUUUAGAAGUUUUAAUUUCAGAUUUAUCUGCAAUCUUUAAUUUUAAGAUUUUCUCAGAUGUAACCCAAAAUUGUUUAGGUAUUAUCCAUUUGCUUGCAAUACAUAUUGAUGCUCCAGUAUCUACAUAAGCAUGAAUAUUUAAUAUUCUGUAUCCUUCAAAACUUAGUUUUAUAGGUAUAUAGAUUGAAUUUGGAUUAGUAAUAUUUCUAUUACUCAUCUUCAGAUGUUUCUGAUUCUGAAUAUUCAUAUUCAGAUUCUGUAGUUAAGUAAUACAAUGAUUGUGUAUCACUUGGAUCUUCUACUGGGUAGAAGCCUUGUCUUUGAAAUGUAGUAAGGAGUUUAAUCCUUUCUUCAUUUCCUUGUCUUGCUGGGCAUUCAUUUGCAUAAUGUCCAGAUUUAUUACAGAGCCAACAUCUGCAAUUCUUUUUCUUUUGCGGACAAAAUUUCUUUUUAUCCAAAGUUUUGUUUUUGUAAUCCCUUCCCCGGGAUUUUUUUAAAAAAAAAUUUCUUUCUGAAAUUUUUUUCUUUGUAUGGUUUUUUUUAUAUCUUUUAAAAGUAUAUUUUUUCUUUUUAAAAGAUUUUCUUUUCUCUUCUUUAUUUUUGGAUGGUAUGCAACGAUAUUGUCCUGGAAUUCUGCUGAGAUAAUUUUCACAACAGAGUUUUGGAUUUUUGUAAAUAGCUUGUUUGCUAUCUCUUACUAAAAUACUUUCUUUGCAUUUAUCUACAAGAAGAUUUUCUCAAUUUUUUAACAACCAAUCCUAAAGAUCCGUCAAUUUUUAAAUUGAGUAGAGGAUCAAUAUGAUUUUCUUGUUUUUCAAUAGCAUUAUUAAAAAGUUCCAUUAUCUCAUGAUUGAAAGGUUCAGGAAGUUUUCUAAUAAACUUUUUAGUUAAUUCAUUCCAUUUGUUAUCAGGACAAAUGUAAAAGUAUUUUGAAAAUUCACAAGUGUAAUUUUCAAAUUGACACAUAUCACAAAUAGAGAUUUUCUCUAAAUGAUUAAGUGCAUCAGCAACUUCAAUUGUUGUUCUUUUACUUUUAAAAACCUCGUAGGUUUGUCCAGUAAAUUGUUUAUACAAUUGUUCAACAAUUCUUUUAACAAAUUCUGGUAUACUUAUUGGGAAUCAUGCCAUAUAGUAUUUUUAACAUUAUCAUCAAAUUUUUCUAAAAAUGUUAUAGCAUUACCUCUGGUACUUGCUGGUACAUAAUUCCAUGAAUUUGCUUCAUGUCUGAUGAUUUCUUUAUUGACUAUCAUGGCUAUCAUUAAAUGACUAUACCAUGCAUCAAUAAUUUUUUCAGGUUCAAAUGUACAAUCUAAAUCUAGAAUUGUAACAUGUUGUUGAUUGUUUCUUUUAGGAACAAAUUUAGAUUGUAGUAAAUUUUUACUCAAAUCUUCAUUUAAAGGAAUUGGUCUAGGAUUAUAAUCUCGUUCAACUCUUUUUCCAUCUCCUAUGGGAUUAGAACUUGUGGGUUCCUCAAUUCUAAUUCCUUCAUGUUUUGGUUCCCUAAAAACAAUAGGCUCUGUAUUUGUAAAGAAUCUUUCAUGAAUCACAAUGUCUUCAUCUGAUUCAGAAAUUUCUUCGUUUUCAUCAUUUUCACUUAAGGAUUCACUUGGUUUUGAUUCCUCAGUGUCAGAUUUUAUUGUCAUAAGAUUUUCAUUAUUUCCAAUGCUAAUCUUUUUAGCAAUAUUUUCAAUUUUUUGUAAUUCUUCAUUUUCAAAAGAGAGAAGUACAUUUAAGAGUCCUAGAUUAUUGCUAGUCUCAUAAAUGUUUUCAAGACUUUUUUCUGAAUUUUGACAUAUUAUUUUAAAAAUCUUAUAUCAAAAUUUCCUUCAGAUUUGUUUGGAUGAAUUUCUUCUCCUUUUUCAAAAAUUCCUAAAGAGAUUUUAGGAUUUUUCUUUUGUAAGAGUUUUUCAUUCCUCACACCAGCUAUAAUUAUAGCAGAAUGUUUUUUCAUCGAUUUUUCAUUAUUUUCUUGAAGAAUUUUAAGAUUUAUCUUAAUCUCUUCAAUACUAUCUUUUAUUUGUUUUAUUUCUUUCAUUAUGUCUAUCAAAGACAUUUUAUUCGUUUGGUCCAUAAAGAGUUCUGGCCAUUGCGUUGACUGUAUUUCUUAAUUCUCUUAAUUCAUUUUCUUUGCUUGUUCAAGCUUCAUUUUCUUCUUUCCAUUUAAAUUUUGAAAUUUGUUUUUUAUAAGAUGAACUCCUUAUAAGAAGUGGUCUUUGUUCCUUGAUUAAAGGUCUUUGGUCAUCAAGAUUGAUUUCCGAAGAAUUUUUGGAUGGUUUGAUUAACCAUUCAAAUUAUGUUUCCUUAUGUUUCAGAUAAUCUGAAAAUAAAUGAUCAAUUUUUAUUCCUUUUGGUUCUUUAACAAUUGCCAUAUUAUGUUGGUUAUGAAUUGAAUAACUAACAAGAUAUGAUAUUGAAAAAGGUACAUUAUUGUCUUUGACUAGAUCUGUUCUUCCAUACUUGUGUAUGAAAGAAAGUAUUCCAUCAAAGUUUUUAUCAUGUGGAAUUACAGAAAGUCUUGGAUAAACUGUGAAAAUAAUUUUUCCACAUGCUAGGUUCCCUUCAAGAGCUCCUAGACAUCCUUCAUUAGGAUUUUGAAUUCUUUCAUCAAUCAAACACAUUGAUAUUGGUUGAUGAAUUUUUUCUGAAAGAGUACUUCGUAUUUGGAUACGAACUGCUCCAAUUCUUGCCCAAUAUAGAUUCUUGCUAUUAUCAAGAUCUAUUUUUUCUUUUGCUUUAUUUAUGUCUUGUUUAGUAAGUAAGGAUAUUCCUAUCUUACCAUAAGUAUGUUGGACAUGUAUGGCAAACUCCUUCUGAGAUACACCAUAGUAUAUAUGUAUAUUUCUCUUCAUAAAUUUCUCUAGGAAACCUAUUUGAGAAAAUAUUUCUUUUGGUUCAAUUACAAGUUUGGUCUUGCAAAUUUGGGCAAGUUUUUUAUUUGAAAUCAUAAUUUCUCUUGAGAAAUUACCUUGUGAUGCAAUCUGCUCAUAGAUCUCAUCAGUUUGUUCAAUUGUUUCAUUAUUAUGGUUUUCUCCUUCCAUAACUAAUGAUGACAUUCUAUAUAAUGCAGAAUAAAAGUUCUAACACUAUAUUUGUAUUUUUGUAAAGCAUCAAUUUCUUUCAAUUUAGCUUUAACAACUUUAUUUCUUGGCUUAUUUGUUUGUAACAAAUAAUUGUAAAUAUCUUUGUAAGAAAUAUAAACUUCAUAUUUUGAAGUAAAUAGAAGUAUUUGAAUAUUACAGAUAAGACAAUCUAUCAUGCUGCAAUAUAACCUAUAUAUUUUAAUCUUUCAAUUAAAACCUGUUUUUCUUCUUUUAAUUCAUUGAUCAUGUGAUCAACAAAAUACUCAUUAUUUAUCCUUUUCCUGAAUUUUUCAAAAUCAGAAAUUUCUUCUUUAAGUGAGUAAAUAAUUUUAUUUAAAAGUUUUACCUCUUUAUAAAUUGUUUUAUAACUAGGCUCUGAUACCAUUUUGCGGAAAAUUGUGCGGAAGUCUAUAAUAUGUAUGUAUCUUAAUAAAAAGUAUACAGAUUUUUUGUAGGCAGUAGAAUCCAUAUGGAAAUCAUGCUUUAAAUAAAUUUAAAAAAAUUCUUUAAACUCAUAACUUUCUUACAGUAUGUAUAGAUUGAUGGCUUCUCCUUACUUUUUCUGUCUGUAUACUCCUUUGCCUGACUUUGAUGAAUCUUUUUGGACUUUCUUCCCUUUACGGCCACCUGCCUGACGGUACUUUAGUCCUAUUGAUUCUGUAAAGAUCCGUACAUGGUUUGUAUAUAGCACAAGAAAAGUACGAAAAAUUGACUAAAACAUGAAAGUUUUAUUCAAGAAGAAGGUCUAAGAGUAUAAAGAACUCUUAAACUUAUUUAAUUACAUGAAAAGAUCCAAAAAUGGAUCUACUGUCUUUGAGGGUUUAGCCUUGCAGUGUAUACAUUUGGGAAUUCAGAAUAAGAUAAGAAAAUUUUUCUCUAAAAAUUUCUCCUCCCCUCCUCUUCUUGAAGUCGUUCUUUUAUAGCCCUCCAGAAAGAUUCCUUUCUGCUAUCAUUUGUUACCUUGUCAUUCUCAACAGUUUUUCUUUUACCAAAGGUAAAAGUAAUGAUAAAGUGAUAUGACAUGAUUUUUGUCUUUUUCCUCAAUUUUUCAAAGAUGCUCCCUCUUUUCAAAAAGCUGGUGGCAACAUUGUCAAAAGGUGUCCAAAUUUUCAAAAAGCAGAUUUCUUUUUGAAAAUUAGUCUGAUCCAUCCUCCUUAGUUUUACUUUCGAUGGAUUUCUUUUCAGUAGUGGAUUCAGUCCCUCCACUUGUCUCUCAUUCAGUACUCCAAAAUGAUUCUUUUGGAGAUUUGUCUUUCUCUUCAAGCAAAUGGCACCAUUUGCAUUCGUGGUAUUUGCCAAGACUCUGCUUCAGAGAUUUGCAAAGAUGUCCUAGGUGGUCUGCUAGUGAAUUGGGCAAAUUAUAAAAAUUCUUUUCAAAAUUACAAAGAAUUUUUAUUCCUUCAUUUUGGAUUGUUUUCCCUGUCUUGCUUGUAACCAAGAUAAAAUCGGUUGAAAAAUUUAUCUUAAUUUUGGACUUAUUGUUGAAAGAUUUUAAUCCAGUUAAAAUCCUUUGGUAUGAAAGAUUUCUCCAGUCUCUGAUGAUCAUCUCAUUGGUAUAUUCAACCUUUCCUUGAAUUGGUCUUUCCAGGAAAACUUCUGGUAUUGUCUUGAUUUGAAUGUGAUGAUAUCCCUUGAUAAGAUAUCCUUCCUUAUCCCAAAAAGGGAUUGUACUGUUAAUUUUCAGCAUCAUCUGUAGAUUUUGGUCUUUAAUAACAAUUCUUUUAAAGUCUUUUAAAACUUUAACUAAAUUGCUAUCCAAUUUCUGGAUUUCAUUCAUUGAUUCACUUAGGAUAAUCAUUUUGAUCAAUCCACAGUGAAAUGCAAUUUGCACAACUGUUGGAUCAGCAUUUUCAAAGAAAAUAUACUGUCCAUAUUUUUUAUCAAAUGUUCCAUAAUAUCCUUUUUCAGGAUCAGAUGGUCCAACUGUUCUUGCUUCUUCCUCAUAUGUGAGAAAGUCUUCAAAAGUAAUUCCAUUCAAAAAAUGGCUUUCUUGGGGUUUUGGAAUUUUUCUUUUUAAUCGACUGGGAAUUGAUUCUGUUUAGGUUUCAACAACAUCUUUAAAAGAUAUCAUUCUAACCUUUUGGUUUGCAUUUGGUGGGAUAAAGAGUUCGGCUGGAAAUCUGGGUCUGGCUCUUAAUGGAGUUGGAAUUUGACAAUAAUUUGGUCUCAAAUGGAUAUUGUCAAAUUCAAAUAAUUGUUUGUAUGGCAAUGGGCUUUAACCUUUUUCUUCAUAGAAUUUGGUAAAAGCUUCAUGGGCUUCAAUAUAGGUUUUAAAACUUGUGUUUGAAGUUUUUUCCUUUCACAAGUGGUUCAACUUGUGUCCAGUUUGUAUAGAAACCUUUUUGUGGUCCAUUGAAGAUCACAUAAAAUUUCUUUCCCGCCAUUGAAGUAUUUACACCAACCAAUGGUUGAUUUUCUUCUUUUGGAUUUUGAAUAUCCUUUUGUUCUUGCAAAGGUGUUCUCAUUUUUGCUAAAUCUUUGAUGAAAGAUUCUGCAUAAGUGAGACAUCCAAGAAAUCUCAUCAAUUGUUUUUGAUCUUCAAUUUCAUUUGGAAAUUCAUUAAUAUGAAUUAGAAUAUGUGGUUUAAGUUGUUUAUAACCAUUGGCUAUAUCUAAACCUAAAUAUCCAAUCUUGUCUUUAAACAAUUAUGCUUUCUUUUUAGAUAGCACAAUUCCUACGUUUAUUGCUUCUUGUAAAACAAUAAUUACAUGUUUUUCAUGUUCAUCUUCAGUAUCUAAGAAUACUAAGAUAUCAUCAAUAUAAACACAACAAUAUCUUCAAUGUUUCUUAAAAAUAUUGUCCAUAUGUCUUUGAAAAAUAUCAGAUGCUUGUUUUAAGCCAAAUGGUACUACUUUCCACUGAUAGUGUCCUUGUGGACAACUAAAAGCUGUAAGAUGUUUAGCUUCUUGGUCAAAUAUUACUUGCCAAAAGCCUGAUUUACAAUCAAAGGAUGAAAAGAUUUUCUUUCCUUUAAUUAUUUGUAAAAGACUUUGCAUAUUUGGAAUUAAAUAUCCAUCAGUCUUAGUUAUUUUGUUUAGCUGAGAAUAAUCUACAACCAUUCUAGCUUUUCCACGUCUUUAUUCUGAUUCUUUUCUUACCAUAAAUACUGGUGAAGAAAAUUGAGAUUUGCUUGAUUCAAUCAAUUUUAAAUCAAGUAAUUCUUUUAUUUGGAUUGAGAAUUCUUCUCUAUCUUUAGGGCUAUAAGCCAUGGCUUUAGCUCUUACAAUAGAAGUUUUGAAUUCAUCAAGUAAUUCAAUAGUUACUGUCAUAUUUCCUGAAAAGACCAAUUCAAGGAAAGGUUGAAUCUACCAGUGCGAUGAUCAUCAGAGGCUGGAGAAAUCUUUCAUACCAAAGGAUUUUAACUGGAUUAAAAUCUUUCAACAAUGAGUCCAAAAUCAAGAUAAAAUUUUCAACUGAUUUUAUAAUGAAGGAAUAUUGAUUUAAAUGCACAUGAUAUGUUACUUUCAUAUACUUUUUAGCAGGGAUAUACCUUUACGGUUUGAGCUUCAUAAAAUUGUCCGAUUUAACUUAUAUGUAAUAUAAGGAUACACCAAGGAAUUGCAUAUCAGUGACAACGAUGCCAACUCAUUUUCUUUGUAAUAGUGUCAAAAUUCAACUUCUAAAAAAAAGUGACAUUUCAAAAAAAUUGUUGUUAAAUUUAGCUUCUAUGUAAUAUGAAAAUAGUAAUGAAAUUGCAUAUCAAUGACAAUAAUGCCAACUUAAUUUCUUUUUAACAGUGUCAAAAAUUUUCUUCUUGAAAAAAUUGACACAAUCAUGUCACUUUUGUUAAGAAAAAUAGAAUAAAAAGAUUGGACAUAUUGGGCCACUGAGAAGAUUACGCAGGCUGCUCGAAGGAUAAAAAAUAAUAAAACUUAAUCCUUACCUUUUCAAAUUCUUCUUCGUAUAUUGCUAUGUAUGUAUGUAUUUUCUCUAAUGGUAUCUCUUCCAUUGUUGUUUUGUUUCAAUUGAAGAGGAUAUUUUAUAAUUAUUAGGGUUUUAUGAUUUAGUUGAAGAAGAUAAUUUAUGAUUAUUAGGAUUUUAGUUAAGCACAAAUUCUAAAAUAAUAUAAAAGGGAUCAAAAGAAUUUAAUGAAAAUAAAUAUGAGUGGAUGAAUUAAGAACUAUAUAUUUUUAUUUAAUUUUAUAUAUGUCUAUUUAGGUAAAUUUACAUAAGAUAAAAAAAUAUAAUAUAAUUAUCUUUUUUCAAAGUUGACGUAUAUAUAAAAAUUGUAGAUGUAAAUAGUGACAUUCAAGUUUUAAUAUUUGAUCAUUGCUCCUAAAGGCUAUAGUUGUUUAUGAUUAUUUCCCCCUUCUAUAUUGCUUGAACACAGUUUCUUUUCUUUUUCUUUUUUUUUAAAUUUUAAAAUGUUUGUCACUUUUUUAAGUGUUUGUCACCUUUUUUAUUUUUUGUCACUUAACUUUUUUUUUAAAAAUUUGUGUCACUUUUUUUAAUUUGUCACUUUUUAAAAAGUUCUCACUUUUUUUAAGUUUUUGUCGCUUUUUUCAGUAACUUUCUUGAUUUCUAUCACUUUUUUAGUGAUAAACAUCACUUUUUUAAUAAUAAAAAUAAUAAAAAAAGAAUAAAAGUGACAUUCUAUUUCCUUUUUUUUUUUUUUUAAACAAAAAGUGACAUUGUGUCACUUUUUAUUAUUACACAGUAUUUUUUACUUCUAAAAAAUCGUUCAUAUGAUUUUUCAAAAUAUCCCUCAUUUUAAAGGUAUUUUUGUAAGUUGCCCAAGGGGAAAUUAGGUCAACUAUACUUAAUAAAUAAAACUUUAGAUUAAUAUUAUUAAAAUUGAUUAGAACUAUAAAUUUCCGUAAUUAUUACGUCCACAUUGGUUUUAUCAAUUUCUGAAAUUUUGCUACUUUUGGAGCUUUCUUGAGUUUUUGUAACUCUUUUUGAAUAUUCACAUUUUUUUUAAAUUCUUGUCACUUUUAAUUAAUAAAUAGUAUUUCUUUUCAUUUUUUCUUUUAUAGGAUUAAGAGUUAAUUGUAAUGAAGGAAUAUUGAUUUAAAUGGACAUGAUAUGUUACUUUCUUAUACUUUGUAGCAGGGAUAAACCUUUUUUAUUUGAACUUCAUAAAAAUUGUUGUCAAAUUUAGCUUAUAUGUAAUAUAAAGAUGCGUCAUGGAAUUGCAUAUCAGUGACAAUGAUGCCACCUUAAUUUCUUUGUAACAGUGUCAAAAUUCAACUUAAAAAAAAGUGACAUUUCAUAAAAAUUGUUAGCUUAUAUGUAAUAUAAAAAUACGUCAUGAAAUUGCAUAUCAAUGACAAUAAUGCCAACUUUUUUUCCUUUUAACAGUGUCAAAAUUUAACUUCUUGAAAAAAGUGACAUAAUCAUGUCACUUUUCUUAAGAAGAAAAAUGUCAUUUUCGUUUUACACAAGGUGGUUGUAUAUGCAAUCUAUUUAAAAGAAAAUUUCAAUCAUUUUGUUACUUAUAGAUUCAUUAUCUUGUCUCCAUAAUAAAUUUAUUCAUAUCUGCAAAAUGAAUAAAAUGAAAUAGUGUGAUUUUUAUUUUUUUUACAAAAAAAUUAAAAAUAAUAGUUUAUGUCACUUUUAAUUUUCAACAAAGUUCGGGGUACUUUUUAAAUUUUGCCAUGUCAACACUCCCAUUUUUCCAUAUAAGCCUAAGUUAUUUGUCAAUCGGCACAAUGAUAUCUUGAUAAUUAAAAGAAAAAAAAAUCCUUAUGUUAUAUAAUUACAAAAAUAAAGUUUUGUUUAAAAGAUAAUAAUACCUUUUAAGUUACAAUGUAAGAAUCAAACACUUCGCACUUAAAAUUUCAAAAUCAAGUCACUUUUUCUCUGUUUACUUUAGCAUAGAUAAAAACUCUUUCAUUUUUUAUCUGCUUCAAUCUUAGAAUCUCAUAAAUUUAGUAAACGCUCAAUAAAAAAAUAUUGUUUGAGUCACUUCGAUUGGAUAAGUAUAUUUACAGUUAUUUAAUUUUGUUUUUGCUAAAUUAGUACAUAAUUUUAAUUUUUAAAUCUUAUUUCAAAAUAGAUAGAUAAUUUUUGCAUUUCCUAAAUAGAUCUAUAAUUUUUUAGAAAAAACGAGAAAAAAUUCACCUGCAUGUAUAUUCUUUCGAUCAGAUUCAUGACUAUCUGGAAAACGGUCGACCUAGCCAUCUGGACACAAAGAAGAGUCGGCCUCGUCAUCUGGGCAGGCUCUUAAUAGCCGGCUCUACCUAGUCGGCCCAAAUAUUUUUUUGUUAUUAUUAUCCAUUUUUUUAAAUCCUGUCUCAUAAUGCAAAUACUGGAUUAUCAAUAGUCCCAAUUGGUUACUUUGGUGAAUUUGAAGGGAAUGAAAUAAAUGAUGUGCAUAAAAAUCAAAAAGUGAAAGAUAUGGUGUUAUUGAAAUUGUGAUAACAUCGAGUACAUUAUAUGGAGAAAUGUACCAUGAUUUACAGAACAAGAUCGACCUCGAUCAUUUUCAGUACGAUAUAGAAUUAGGAUUUCUAUUCAACAAGUAUAUAUCCAUUUCAAUUCUACCUAUAAGGUUACUUCUGAAGUUGAAAUGAAGGUUCUAAUUGAAUUGAACAAAAAUCGCACGACUCUAAUUUGCGUAACUUUAGUGAGGAAGAAUAUCCUCGAGAGUGAGCACAAAAAUUCCAAUUGAGGGGAUCGUAAUGUGAAUGAUUUUUGGGAAACUGUGGAAAUAGCUCUCGAAGAUGAUGUGGUUAUUCUCGAGAUAGUUGUUUCUCACUACAAUCUCACAGUUACGUGUAGAAUUACUUAGAUAGUUUAAGACAAGGAAGAUUUCUUUAUUCCAUCGGCGACGUAAGUGGGGUGGGAACUCACAGACUGGAUAGAGUGCACGAUAUCUAUAUGUUUGCAUAUGAUUCCCAAUGAAGAAUUACAUAUUGAGUAGCUAUUUUAAAUAAAGAGAGAUUUGCAAGAAGUUAUGCACUGUAUUACAUUGAAACAUAACGUUGAAUUUAAAGUAAAGAAAUUAAACAAAUCAACCUAUACAAUUAUAUGCAUUGAUGAUAGUUGUCUUUGGCACGAGCAAUAAAAAUGUACAUGAAUGAGUUCUUUAUAGUAUGCAAGUAUGCAUGAGAACAUAUUUACGAUGUGUGUUUUUAUCAAAAUGAUCAUGGUUUAUUGGACCUACAGAUGAUCUAAGAUCUUCAGACAUCAUUAACGACGUCUGCCAAGAGUACGAGGUGGUCAUAAGCUACUAAAAGACCUGGAAGGCCAAAUAAUGCUUAUUAAAGGAUUUAAUGGGAUUGGACAAUGAGAGUUAUGCUAAAUUGGCUAGUUUAUUGCAAUAAUAUGGGGAUAACUAAUCAUGCCUCAACAUUUUUUAUUGAGACAGAGCUCGGGAAUCGCUUGAAGUAUUUCUUCAUGACUUUUGGACAAUGUAUUCAGGGACUUUGAAAUGCGAUGCGAUCCCUAAUUUAUUCGAUGAUACAACCAUGAAAUCUAGUUAUGAAGGCAAGUUAAUUAUUAUUAUAUGUCAUGACACCAACAUCUAAAUUUACCCUAUUGCAUUCGCAUAACCUAUAGCAAGAAUGAUCUAUUGAUGCGUUAGUUCUUCACAAUGCUAAUGAAAGCAAUUGGGGAUGUUGAUAACCUUGCAUUUUAGUUGAUCGGGAACAAUAUAUAGUAAAUGGUAUUGUUGAAGUUUUUCUCGAGGCACAUCAUGGGAAUUACUUGUACUAUAUACAAUGUAACCUAAAGCUAAUUAUCGUGGCAAUUCCAUCGUUACAUUGUUUAGGAGAGCUACAAAAGCUUAGAAUUUUGAAGAUUGUUAUGUUCACGCUCGAAAUAGACAGUAAAUCACAUUUUGCGUAGAAGUAUCUAAAAAAUAUGGGGAUUAAACAUCGGGCAAGCUCACAUUUUUUAGGAUGUUGAUACAAUAUAAUGAUAUCAAAUAAUGUAGAGACACUCAAUGCAUUACUCAAGAAAGAUUAAGAGUUACCAAUUUUCUCAUUGAUUGAGUAUAUUCGCAAAAAGCUCCAGCAAUGGUUUCAUGAUCGACAUGUAAAAUCAUAGAAUUGCACAGGUGCACUAAGCCCAACUUAGGAAGAUAAAUUCUUAAAGACCCUAGAGGUAGUGAAAAUGUACAUGUAGAACUACUGGAUCAGUUGUACUUCUCUAUGAUAUUUGGACGUAAUAUUGUAUACAUAGUUGACUUAACCGAUAACACCCGCACUUGUAGAAGAUUUCAACAGGAGAGUGUUCCAUGUGAACAUGCAGUCGCAUUGGUUAUGCAUAGAGGCUUUGCACCAAACGCCUUAUGCUUUCCUUAUUAUACGGCUAAUCUUUGUUAAGCAGCAUAUGCUGAGGCCAUAUUUGUUGCAUAAUUAUUCGCGUUGUUAAAUGUCAAAUGAUCUUUGGUGUCUUUGAGCCCAAUCGCGUAACAUUUUCAUAGCCAUGUCGAUGUGCUAUAGCAGAAAACACUAAUAAAAAAGAGAGAGAGAUUCAUUUAAUUAAAUUAACCCAUUACAUAAACAUAAUAAAUAACAAUAAAAAUACACUUAUAUCGUCAACGAGUAAAGCUAAUUUCGUUAUUACAUCUUCAAAACACUUUCUAGCAUUCAGUAUCGUCUUAUCCCCUAUCGUGUAACUAUCUCUAAAAAAGAAAAAAAAAUAUUACUACAAGCAUAGAUGAGUUAGUACACUUUUUAGCAACAUCAUAAAAUACUUACUCAAACUUAAAGAAUUUGAACCAUUCAUCGAACGCUUUCUUCUACCUAAUAGGGUCGAUCUCAUGGAAGAGAUUGGAGAACAUCUAGUCCACUAAUAUCAUUCUCGUUGCCUCAAUCGUGAAAGGAAAAACUAUGUAAUGAGAUGGCAAUCUCAACCUCUUGCUGACCACCAACUUUGGCAUGUCAAUAGCACGCUUCGUACCCUUUCAUCACCUUCAAAGCCCUCCCACAUAAAAAUGACAUCCUCUAUCAUGUUGAGCGUACUUUUCUCUUUCGCUAUCCCCUCCGGUACCUCUGUCACAUCAUUUACCAUUCCAAUGAUCAUGGCUCAGUUACUUCCUCCGUCUCAGGACCCAUAAGAUCCUUCAUCAGACUUUCUAUCUUAAGCACAGUCACAUCCUCUGUUAGCCAGACAAUCACUGACUCCAUCACCAUCAGGUUAUGCCUUUCGUCCCAGAAACCUAUCCUUUUUCAUACCCUCCGUCUUGAGCACCGUUACAUAAUUUGUCACCCUAAUGGCCAGUGAGUCAUCACCAUUGGGGUUGUCCCCUACAUAACACUGAUAGAUACCCUCCAGUAUUGGGACCUUUCCCUCUUUAGUUGCUAAAAUGAUUCGAAUGCAACAGUCGAUGGCCAUGACAAAUCAUUAUACCCUAUAAGAUCCUCUCUUCCAAUGUCUCCACCACCUUUUCCGUCUUAAGCAUCGCUAGUCCUCCGGUACUCGCAUCGCUUGUCCCCUGCCAUCUCCUCGUCAACCUACUACAUUACCUCAUAACACUACAACUUCAUUAUGAAGGUCUCCCAAAAUAGACUCGUAGCAUUCUGACAUCAUGUCAUAACUCUGCUACUUCACCUCUUAUUCCCCAUCGCAAUGUCCCUAUCAUCUCUCAUAGUGCUCCUAUCUUCUCUCAGAUAACCUUAGAGUACAAAUAAAUCAUCAAAAUAAUAAUUCUGACUGGGUACAAAAAAUUCAUGGGGAAAGCAUCUGGAUAUGGGAGAAUGCUAUCUCCUCUGUAAAGGUGAUUUUAUUAAUGAAAGUGAUUUCCUCGAUGAAGGUGAUGGUCAAUCUACUAGACGGCGCUCCUACAUAAAUAAGAACUUUAGCAUUUAAUAACUUGAUGAAAUAUUACAUCACAAAAUGGUAAUCAACAAAUUAUAUUCAAUUAUCAUACCUUAUCUCGAUCUAGGAUGAACUUAGGCAUCGAAUCACCUUAAGUAGGUGAAAUCAAUAAUUCAAGCACAUAAUUAUAACCCUCAUCUUUCAUCGACUCUGUCAAGUUAGUGAGGACUUCAAACUGAUUUAUUGACAUUAUAAUCUGUUGAUGAUCAUAUAUUGAGAUUGUAAAAGAAUAUACAGUAUAAAUCAUAAAAGUAUAACACUCAUCUCAAGUUCGUUGAUGAGAGCUGAUAAUUGUUUGGCACUUGGCUUAUCAUGUGCUCAUUAAUGAUGCAUCUAAGGAUAGCGUAUCUCACUUCUUUUGUUGUACCCAUAUCUGCAACACUUAAUGCCAAUGGCAAGCUAUAUACAUCAUACUUACGCUCGAGCUUAUUUGUCUUGAGCAUUGAAUUCCUCCAAAAGACUAUUAGUGUAUCCUCAUAACAUCUCUUCCAUGUGGAUAGUUGUUAAGGGCAUCAAUAUCAUCAACAACUUCAAAAUGAAAGAUGUCAAUCGAUAUUUUUUGUCUCGAUACCUCAGUAUACGUCCAAGGAUAUCCAUUAAGCCUAGCUUCAAUAUCUCCAACCAGUUGUCGUAUACCUCGAAUGCAUUCUAUACUGUCAUAGAACUAAAGUUAUUUAUAUUUGAAAAUAUUCAUUCAGCAGCCUUUUGUUUCUCGAAAUAUAGGUCAUCGCUAGUUCUUUCCUCGUACAUUUUAGUCCAGUGACGAGAACAAACUCAAAUAAAGAGAAUCUAGCCAUCUGGUUGUGUCCUAAAUUAAAGUAGAGUGAAUCACCAUCGACUGACUUAAGUAGCCAGCAUAGUAAUCAUCAAAGAGCUACCUUGAAAAACAUCUCUUAAUGGAUAGAGGGCCACAAGCAAGAAUAGCAUAACAUAUCUGCAUGUUUAUCAUCGACCAACUUCAAUACCGUCGUAAAGCUAUCAAAGUUAUAGUUCAAAAUAACUUUCCUGAGAAUUUGUCUUAUCCUGGCAUCGAGAUGGUAAUCUAUAAUACAAAAUUUAAAAUGUUAGAGAAAGAUAAUGCAAUAAAUCAUAAUAUCAAAAAAUUAAACUAAAUGAAUUGUUUAUUACUAUACUCAAGAAUUAACGGAUAAUGAAAUAAAAGAAGUGAAAGUAAAUAAAAAUUAAACAAAAAGAAUUAACAAAAAAAUAAUAGUUCAAUUUAGAAAAUGAAGAUAAAAUGAGGGAAAAAUUUAUGAUUUUUAAAAAUGCAAACACAAUAAUUAUACACUAAUUGCAAUUAUAAAGCAGAGAAAUGAAAUUAAGAUAAACAAAAAAUUACAUUAGAAAGGGAAAAAAAAUCAACAAAGUUUAAAAUUUUUUUAAAAAAAUCAAGGGACAUUUCUUGAGCUAUAAUUGAUAUUAUAAAAAUGUUAAAUUGAAUAGAUAAAAUUUAAUUUAAUUUAAUUUAAAAAAAUAUGAACCGUUAACAAAAUCGAAAGGAUGCAUAUUAAAAAUUAUACAUUUUAAAUAAUAAAGAAAGAACAAAAAUAAAUUAAAUCAUUAAACUAAAAAGGAUUUAAAAUAAAAAUGGAAAUUAAAUAAAAAGGAAAUUUACCAACAAUUAAAUUGAAGAAAAAAAGAAAUUAUAAAAAAGUUAAAAUAAAAUUUCAAGAAAAAAGUGAUUGGGUCAUCUGAAAUCCAGAUGUCACAAACAAUAUGGCCUAGUUGGAACAGACAACUCUAUAAAUGGCAAAGAUCGCUAUAUCUCACGAUCUCCGUCCCCCAAAAAUCACAAAUCUACUAUUGUUUAAUCAUAGUACACAAAAGUUCUCAAUGGAAAACAUGGAUACAAAAAUACUUGAUUUAUUCAAGUAAAAGUUAACUGAAAAGUGGAGCAAAGCUAACCUUGUUGAGAAAUGGUGAUUUCUACAGUGAUCGACGUGGGUCCGGGUUGACGGUGUGGGUUUGCAAAUCUUCAAAACCACUAUAACCCCCCCCCCCCCCCCCCCCCCCCCCGCCCAUGAUCCCAAACCCAGAUAAUGGACAAGUGAAAGUAGCUUGCGGGUUGAUAGUAUUGUGAAACUAUAUCACAUCUUAUGACAUGAAUCCUUAUAUGCAAAUUGAUCGAUGUAAUUGACACUAAAUUCAAUGGGUAACCUAGUAAGGCGUUUGUCUUCUCUGUCAUCAUUCCACCCCCCCAAUUUUUCCUAUCUUUUCUUUAAGGGUAUUCAUGGCCUUUUCAAGUUUUUAAACAUUUUUUUUUUUUUUACAUUUUUAUCAUUUUUUUUACAUGAUCAAAGGCCAUUGUAGUUAGAUGCCCAACCAUCUAAGAACUAAUUCCUCAUCUAAUCCGUGGCACAUGCUUUACCAACAAAGUUAAAAUUCUUUAAGCGCCAUUUUUUAUUUAGAAUAAACUUGAGUGGCCAUUUGUUUAAAUUUGUGGUUGUAAUAUGCAAUUUUAUCGAUUUUAAAAUUCAAUUUUGUGCAAUUUGUCUUGUUUUUCUAUUAACACCUCAAAAUUUUCAGGCUAUUUGCUUAAUCUAAUUCAAAUUCUUCAGAUCUACACAACAUCCUACUACAAAUUUCAACUCAAGAACACAAUUAGCCACCUUUUUUAUUUUUUUCUCUCCGUAAACAAGAAUUUAAGGAACCCAGAUUAGUCUUACAAUCUUGAACAGAUGGAUCCAAAUCUAAACAACUUCCCAAUUCUCUCAUAUGUCAUGGCCAAGUUUCCCAUCUUUAAAUGCACUUUCUCCACUACUUGGGUGUGCUCAUCACCCUUAGCGUGUGCUCGGAUCACGAGACUGUUAGAUUCAUUAACACCGUAAAUAUUAUGGUGUUCGACAAGGAUAUGUACUUUUCAUGACUUUUCAAAAUACUCCCACAGGUAAGGUUAUCUAUUUAAGUACCCCUAUUUUAAUUGGAUGGCAUAUGAAUUGGUCAAAAAUCAAUGGAAGAGGUCAGUUUCAAUAAAAAUUUGUACGAUCAGUUCAACCCAAAUUGACCCAUCAUUCUUUAUACACUUAAAAUAUAAAUUGUAUGGUGAUACGAAAUUGAGAUUAUGUAAUGUAAUUUAUUGUUUAAUACUACUAUUAGGGUUUAUAGUAAUUGGCUAUUCUUUAGACAAAAUUAAAGCUAUAAAAGAGUUAUAAAAGUCAAAGUGUUAUUUAGGAAGUUGUACAAGUCAAUAAGAAGCCUUUGGAUUUGAAUAUGGAACGAGGAGAAAGUGUAGCAGGAAUAAUGCUAGUUGGCCACCCCUUCAACGCUUGCAUACCACUUUAGAGAAAUCAAUAGAACAUCUGCCACUUGCUUGUUACUCAAACGACAAAGCUAUUGGUUCCCUAGCACUCGAGAAAUGAUAUUAUCCGAAGAAUUUAUAUUUCAUGAUUUAAAUAGCUUUUUGAGUCCUAAACAACCCCAAACAUCUUCUACGGUAUAUACUGAAGUACUAUUUCAUCCAUGUUGAUGGUUGAUCAUUAUAUUCUUUCCAAAGAACCUUUUGGAGAUCUUACAUCAAUUCUGUACUUUGAGAUCAAUCAAUCACACUUUGAAAAACAUCAAUUUCGUAUAAUCCAUUAGAGUUCUGAAGAUUGAGAAAGGAAACUGGAGUUUUGAUAGGACAAGAUCAAGGAGUUCUUAUGAUCCACAGGAGAUGAACGAUUCCAGAAGGUUGGGAGCUAGUGCAAGAGCACACAGUUCAGGGGGCCCUGGUGAUUAAGAAAGUAGGUCAGAGAAUGCUAGAAGUUAGUCGAGUCUAGAUCGUAGUAUAAGUUAAUUUUAUAUAAUGAAUUUUACUGACUUGAGCUCAAAGUUUUUUAUCCUUUGCGAACGGUUUUUCUCCUUUAUUAAUUAUUUGUGUUAUUUACAUGUUAUCUAGAUUAAUUAUUAUUUGUGAUUUGUUGCUUAUAAUAAUUGAUAAAUUUAAAUUUCGCAUUAAUCAACUAGUCACUAAUUCUCUAAGUGUUAGUUAGGUCAAACUUCGUUAUUUCAAUUUGCAUCAAAGCUUAAAUUUGAUCCUAGACUCACUUUAUAUAGAUGAGUCCGUCACUAAACAUUUCUCCAUAUUUUGAUGAAAGAAAUUAUGCUUAUUGAAAAGUGAGAAUGGGAGAUUUCUUAAAAUGUAUAGAUGAGAGAAUUUGGGUUUCUGUAGAAAAGGGAUGGACUACCCAACUACAACUGUUGUAGGUGUAGUUACCCUGCUGAGGUUGCCAAUUUGUUUAAAGCUAAUCUAGAUGAGUAUAAUUGGCAUAGUAAAGGACUCCAUGCCUAUUUAUAGAUUUGUCCGCCGAAACAUUUAGAAGAGUGUCUAUGUAUGAGAUUGUCAAUGAGGUUCGGGAUAUCUCAGAGACCACACAAAAGAGAACCAAGAAUGUUAAAAACUUCAAAAUGUAGAUGUUGACAACUGGGUUUGAAGAAAUUAGAAGGAAGGUUGAUGAAUCAUUCGAUGAUUUCUAUACGAAUUUGAAUAAUAUAGUUAACUCUAGCUUCAACCUAGGUGAGAAAAUUUUUGAAACCAAGAUUGUCUGAAAAGCUUUUAGAUCCUUACUUGAGAGGUUUAGACCUAGGAUCACAGCUAUUGAAGAGACCAAAGACUUAGAUGGGGUUAAGAUAGAAGAACUUGUUGGAUCCAUCUAAGCCUAUUGACUCACCAUAUCUCAACCUAAAAAGAAUAAGUCUAUGGCCCUAAACACUAUUAGGGAAGAAGAGUAUGAUUCUACUUAUAUUGAGAUUAUUAAUGAUAAUGAGAUAGCUUAGUUUUGUUAGAAAUUUUGAAAAAAAAAACAUUAUGAAUAAGAAGAAACCUCAAGAGAGAUAUAUAGAGGAGUCGCUAGUAAGCUAAAAAAAGGAUCAUGGGAAGACCAAUACUAGGAUGUUUAGAAAGAAAUCUCUAUCUGUUAGAUGUCAUAAAUGUCGAGGUUUUGGUCGCUUUAGGAAUGAAUACACUAAUGAUAAGAAAACCAUGGGUAAAGCUAUGAAUUCUACUUUUAUUGAUGACGAGUCUAAUUCAGACAAUCAAAGUGACAAGUCCAAAUUUGAGGGUUUUGACUAUAUGACUUUUACUUCUAGGGCUAGGAGUGAAUAUGAUAAAGAGAAUUAGAAGGUUGAUGACAUAGAAUGAUAUCAAAGCUCAAAGGAAGAUUACGAAGAUAAAGAUGAUAUUCGUAAGGCUUAUGAACAACUGUUUUACUAGAGUUUUAAGGUGAAGAAAAUUGAUAAAUUCUUCUUUAAGAAGGUUAAUGAACUUGAGCUAGAGUGAAAGACUUACAUCUGAUCUUCAAAAGUCUAUUAAAUGCCUUAGUAAGUUGAAUGCUAUGAAUGAAUCCUUAAGACUAAGGUUAAGACCCCUAUAAGUGAUCUUGAGAAGUCUACCAAAAGCCUUAGUGAGUUAAGAUUAGUCAGUGAGAACUUAAAGGCUCUAACGAGUGACCUUGAGAAAUCGAAACUUAAUUUCAUUCCUUCAUGAAUGGAUCUCACGGACUUGAUAUAAUCUUUAAGGGUUGAACCAACUUCUUGGGAACAUGAGAGGUCUAGUAUAUAAUAAGAGUGAUCAUAAUAUUUUGAGUACUUCUAAGGCCACUUUAUUCCUACCACCAACAGUCUAGAUAUGUUACAAAUCCUGAACACGAGUACAAGCAUAUCUUAGAAUAGAAGCCUACUAGACAUCAUAGGACCAACCAAUCCAGAAAUCAAUAAUAGCAACCACGUAGAUUUGGACCUAGGUUUAUUCCUACAUGUCACAAUUGUGGUGAGUGAGGACACACAAGGCUUAGACACACAAACUUUUGGAUAGGAAUAUAAUAUAUCUAGUUGGGUUGACUUACUUAUUAAUCAGGUUGGUCACUUGACCAUGAUGUUGGUAUAGUUGACCAGGAUUAAUUCUGCAUCUAGGAAAGUCUAGGUUAAAAAGAGUGAUCCAAGAGAUAAUGAAGCUAAUCUCGGUGCUAUUAAAGGUAAGAGCGUUUAUGUACGUCAACUAGGUUUUUUUUUUUUUUUUGUAUGUGCUAGCUAGUUCAUUGUGUUCAUUUAUUCUUGUAUGCAUCUCAUUCUUUGUAUAUUCUUUUUGAUUUGUUUGUUUUAAAAAAAAUUAAAAAAUACAAAAUAAUAAAGGGGAGAAUUUUCGAACUCCAACACAUUAUUUGAUUUACUUGAACAUGCUAGUUGCGAUCAAGUAUGAGUACAACUAAUGAUAUGUAGUGUAGUUUCCAUUACUUUGCUUAGGUUUUACAUGGAGUACAUAGUGUAGGUUUAUUCAUGUACCAUAUAAAAUGCGCACACUAAAAUCUUGUGAGUGAGUCUUGACCGCGUGUGUGAGACUUAGGAUGACAGUCAUUUGUAUGGUGAAGUAAACUUGAGCACGAUUGAUUUGACUUUUAACUAGUUGACCUAAACUUUUUUAUAUUCCCUAAAAAGAAAAGUUGAUUAAUCUUAUACUAUUCUUUGGAGUCUAUUUGACUCGAGAAAUUAAAUCUGAAGGGUUUCUCAAAACCUGAAGCUCUAUGGCCAUCUGACUUUGAGUUAUCGGUCCAAAGCUCAUUAUAAGGAUUAUUUUAGUUAUUUAAUGGAGAAGUCUACAAAUAAUAUGUGAAAAAAAUUACAUAUGCUUAAACUUAGGGAGAGUAAAGGAAAAUCUAUAAAUGAAAAAUGAAUUUCAUUGUUUAAAAGGUUGUAGUUGUCAUGGGGUUGACUUUUACUAUUAGAGGAAUAAACUCAUUCUUUAGUGAUUUUUCCGCAUGUCCUUUCUCACAAAUUUAAGGUUUGGAGUCUUGCUCAUGAGGAAUUAGUGGCACUUCACACACAUGGAUCAUUUAUAUAAUUUACUCCAUUUAGACUUGAACUAAGUGUGUGGAAAAGUUUAUAGUUUUAAUAGGUUCAUUGAAAAAGUGCUAAGUAUCGAUUUUUAUUUAUUAUUAUUAUUAUUAUUAUUAUUAUUUUAUUUAUUUAUUAUUAUUAUUAUUAUUAUUUUUAUUUUUUUUUAACUUUGCAAAAAGUGGUUUUUUUUUUUUUUUUGGGCUAAUUACAAGGAGAUUGAUUAUAUGGUAAGUUUUCCUAUGUCAUUUAUGACAAAAAUGGGGAGAGAUAGAGAGUGUUUUGACUCUGUUUUUGAGACAUUACAUUGGUUUUUCAUAUCAUUUUGGACUCCACAUAUUUGCUUUGCUAUCUUAAGUUUUGAUGUCUUGUGAAAUUAAUAUUGUUGGUGAUGUUUUGACUAACAUUGAUAUUGCAUUUUAACCUAGCUAGCAUGAUCAUGAUAUUAUGCCUUAAUUGCUAUUUUUCUUAAUUUUUUUAUAUGCUUUUACACUUGGUAUUUAAAUUGUUGAUUUCAAGAAAUAUGUUUAACAAAGAAAGCAAGUUACAGCCAAGUCAGUUGGAUUUUAGGUAGAUUAGUUUUGUUUACUUUGACUUGUAAUACUUAGUUUUCUCACAUAAUGUCAAAGGUGGAGUUUGUUAGGUAUUAUUGUAUUUCUCUAUUCUUUAGACAAAAUUGAAGUUAUAAAAGAGUUAUAAAGUCAAAGAGUUAUCUAAUGUUGGGAAUCUACUUAUCAUGGCAGCAGAAAUAAAAACAGAUUUCAAUUCCCAUCAAGGACCUGCAUUAUGUUUAGAUAGAAACUGUGACAGAAUUUGUACCUCUCUUUAAUUCUGCAAAAUUUUUUGCUAUUCUUUCUUUGAUUCUACAAUUUUUUUUACUAUUCUUUCGUUGAUUCUACAAACUCCUUUGCUAUUAUUUCGCUCGAACAAUCUUGAUUUUUCAUCCACAACUGUCCAAAUUGUCCAAUCUCCAAUGGAAUUCCACAUAGAGAACAAGAUUGUAGAGAGAGCUAGGAUCUACUUUUCUUGUGCUAGCAAGAGAAAUGAAAAUUCUCCACAGUUUUCUAACCCUAGCUGCUUAUUUGUAUAAACCCAAUCAGACUUGGCCCGUCUACUAACCCGACCCAGUAUUUAAUUAACACAUUUAAUUAAAAUCGAUCCAUGAAUUAAUUAAUCUAAUUAAUUAAUUUGGGCCUAUAAAUAAGUAACUCAAUUAAUUAAUUUAUCCAACGCUUGUUAAAUUAAUUAAUUUACAAAUUACAAUCUUCUAGUUCUCCUUUUGUGUGCGACCCAUCAGGUUCCCAAUCACAAUACCUAAGGAAGUGAAGUACUAUUUUGAUCUAAUCAAAAUUCAUAAAUUAAAACACCCUUUUAAUUUAUAAUCAAUUCACAUUCGCCGUCCUAUAUUGAUAUCUAGCAAUGUGUUAGAGCAAUACAUGUGACGAAAAAUGUCACGUGGUAUGACAAAACCAAACUCAUUCGUUUACCGUGAAACUAUAAUCCCUUCAUCAAUAUAAUCCGACCAAUUGUGAGAUAUGAAAGUGUGUCAAUCCUGAUUAUCAGUCAUAUCUUUCAUUCCACUAUAAAGUCAAUAUAAGUCGAAAAAUCCUUUUCGACUUCUAAGUACACCUUGGUUAAGGAUUUCGCUAUCGACUUAAUUGAAUGAAAUACAUAUUAUAAUCUCUUACUAUCUAAAAAUGAUGAAUCCUUCAUACGAUUCUUGACAUAUUUGAACGAUAACGUACUAGCGACCCUUGACAGAACAACAUCCAAUACCGCCAAAGUAUGACUGUCCUCAUAUAAGGCACUAUGAUGACCUCAAGUUAAAGGAUCAAUUCCACUACCAAACGUUAGAGAUUAAUCACUGAUACUCAGAUAGUUAUCCAUGUGGAAUCUCUCAACGGGUCUCCAAUGUUUUGUUCGACAACAAAACAUCCACUUGUUCAUUUAAGAGUCUUCAUACUUAAGCUUGUGAGAUCAACUACUUAUUUUACAAGAAAUACCAUACGUGAUGGUCUAUCUGAAAUAACGAUAUCCAUAUCUCGUUAUUACUUACGACCAUGGACAAUUUAAGAUUCAACCACAUGUAAUUUGUAUCUUACAAUCAUAACUCUUUGUGAUUAACAAAUUAUUAAGAUUUGAAUUUACAGACUGUAUUUUAUAAUUUAAUUGAAUAUUAAGUAAAUAAUAGAUCUGCCAUAAAAUUGCAUUAGUUAUAUAUUAAAAGUAUUUAUGUCCAAUGUUAAUUGGACCUAGGGCAUAAAACUUGCAAAUUCCCACUUGAACUAGAUCAAUCACUUAUGUAUCCAAUAUCAUAAGAGCCUAUAUGAUGAUUAUAUUUACGCUGCGACAACUCUUUGUUAGUGGAUCUACAAUAUUGUUAAUUGUGGGAAUUCGUUUAUUUCUUUACGUCAUUUCUUUGUCUUAUCUCUCUGAUUAGAUGAUACUGUCUUAAUACAUGUAUGGAUCAUUGAUGAGACCUCAGUUUCUUCGCUUGUGCUAUGGCUCUAUUGUUAUCACAAUACAAUGGCAUGUGAUCAACAAUAGGAACUAUUCUAAGUUUAUUAAUGAACAUCUUGAUCCACACUGCAACCUUUUACUGCUUCUGAAGCAAUCAUGUAUUAAGUUUCUACUAUUGAAUCAACGGUCAUUUCAUGUUUGGAACCUUUCCAACAUAUCGCUUAAGAGUAAACCAAUUUCUCCAUAUAAAAUAUUCUCAAGAUUUUAUCUAUGAAGAUUAGGAUGAGUUAAGCAAUCUUCUAGAUCUAUCUCUAUAGAUCAAGUUGCUUAUUCCAUAUCAUUCAUGAAAAAUCCUUGAACAACCAUUAUUUCAAUGAUUGAAACGUAGGGAUGUCGUUUUCUAUUAAUAAUGUCUUAAAUAUAAUAUUUGGAAUGCGACAAUGCUCCCACUAUCUUCUUGUAAAAACACACAAUUCGUCUUCAUAUUUGAUGAAAUCAAACCUUUUGAUUUUUCCAUCAAAUCGAAGAUUUCAGCUCCAAGAGGCUUGCUUUAACCCAUAGACACGGUAUAUAAUUAUUGCAACCAAAAUCGGAAGGGACUUUAGCAUGGCUACCGGCAAAAGAUUUCACCAAGUUCAACACUUAACCUUUUGCUACUAGUCUUGCUUUGUAUGUACGGAUAUUCCCAUCCAUAUUGAAAUUUCCUUAUAAACCAUUUAUAACACAUGGGUUUUAUCCCAUUAUGUCGACCAAGGUCUAAACCUUGUUUUCAUACAUUUAGUUCAUCUUGGGUUUCAUAGCCUAUUGCUAUCUCUUUUAAGUCAAUACUUGACUUUGUUUUUGUGCAAUAAGUAGGUUCAUCAUCCUGGAUCAGCAAUGCCUGAUUAGCAAUCAUGGAUUCGUACUUUUUUGAAGGUCGAAUGAUUCUACUAGAUUCACACAGAGUUGACAUGUCCUCAGGAGUCUCUACUUCCUGAUCAAGAGUAUGUCCCUCAUCAGAUGUGGGAUCAAACUCAGAUUCAUCUACUUGGUCAACUAUAUCUCUGGCUCUUGAACUCUUUCAAGCUCUAUUAUGCUCCCGCUGCCCUCUCCCAGAGUAAACUUUUUCUCUAAGAAGAUGAUAUAUUGUGAGACGAAGACUUUCUUCUCAAUGGGAUAACAGAAUUGAUAUCCAAAUAUCUUCUUUUAAUAUCCCAUAAAUAUGUAUUUAUCGAAUUUGGUCUCAAACUUAUCCAAUUCAUUGCAUUUCAAAUAAGCGUCACAAUCCCAAACUUUCAUAUGAGAUAUAUUGGGACUAUUGUCUUUCCAUAGCUCGUAUGGAGUUCUGUUAACCAACUUAAAUGGGACGUGAUUUAGUGUGCAGCACACUACAAUCAGCGCAUGACUUCAAAAAGAUUUUAGGAGAUUUGCAUGGCUUGUUAUUAAUCGUACUAUACCUAAUAGUUUACAUUUUCUCCUUUUAGAUACACCAUUAUAUUACAGUAUAUGUGGAGGAGUCCACUGCAAAAGAAUCUCAUUCUCUUUUAGAUAAUCUAAAAUUUCAUCUUUAAAAUAUUACCACUUGAUCAAAUCUUAGUGUGAAAAUCUCUUUACCUAACUGUUUCUCUCUUAGUUUGAAUCUUUGAACUUUCAAGUUCUUCACGCUUGAAUUUCGUUAAGUAUAUAUGACUAUUUCUCUAAUACUCUUUAGUAAUUUUGAUGAAAUAAGAGAAACAUCACCUGACAUCAAUUGGCAUAGGUCCAUAUACAUCAGUAUGCAUUAGACCAUUAAUUAUGCAGACCUUUCUUCUUUUCAAGUAAAAGGAGAUUUGGUCGUUAUGCCAGACAUGUGUAAUUCGUGCUUGUCAAAAUCAACUUUCCCCAAGUAUACAUCUCUAUGUAACUUUGGAAUUUCAUUUCAUCUAUAUGACAAAGUUUACCUUGCUAGAUUUAGGUAAUAAUUAGAUUAUCGCAUUUAUGCUUUAUUAUUUCUAUACUCAUUAUAGAAUGCUUAGUAAUUAGAAUAUAAUAUCGUUUUGUAAUUUACCAUAACCAUUAAAUUCUUUAUCAAACAAGAACAACAAUUAUCCUUAACAGUAAAAUGGUUCAUGUCUGAACAUGAAACCCAUUUAAUGUUCUAGUUAUGGUGGGUACAAAGUAACAUUUUUCUAAUUCCAAUACUAAGUGUAAAGGCAAUGGCAAGAAGUAUGCUCCUACAGGCAAUACAGUAACCUUUGCUCAUUUUCAACUUGUAGGCCAACUUCUCCCUUUUGCAAUUGUCUAUUUAUAUUUAAUUUUUCCAUGUUUGUGUAAAAAUGAAUCCACAUUUGGUAUCAAAUGCAUAAGAAGCUCAUGAAGUAGACAUAAGCCUUGCAAUAUUUCUUCCAAUGACCUUUCAUUAGACUUGGUAUUGUCCUUUGCUUUGACCAUAUUAGCCAUAUUGGAUGCUUUCCCAAAGUGUCUUUAGACUUCCUCUUAAUACCCUUAGAGGAAUCAAUGGCUUGCCCACUACUAACUUUGUUACUGGGCUCAACAGUUUAAGCAUAUUCAACAACUCAAUGUGUGUGCAUUUGAACUUAUUCAUAUCAUAAUUCAUAAUUCAUAUGAAUAACUCUCUGAUAGAAAUUGCAGAACUAAGUCAAUACUUAGUUCCUGGUUCAUGAUUGAACUUAAUUGAGACAACUUCUCCAUGCCAAUUAUCUUCAGUACACGAGCAUUGGCUGAAGAUUCAUUUGUCACUUUGCAUCGACAUAGUUGCUUGAAAAUCUCAUAUCCUUCCACACAAGAUUAUUAUCAUACAACUCUUUGAAAUGAAAAAUCAUACAUUAACAUCUAUAUUCUCAAGUUGCUUUUAUAACUCAGUGACAUAAUGCAAACAUUAGACAUGUUGCAGUACUAUUGCCAUCACGGUGUUAUUAUAUUAGCCACCUCUUUCUUGAUAGAGUCAUCACUAGGUGUCUCUGAAAAGGGCUACUUCAGAACAACCAAUUUUCUCAUGCUCGAGAACAAUUUUCAAAUUGCGGUGCCAAUGAAGAAGAUUUAAUUUAUACAUGGUUACUCACGAUUCAAUAAAUAUAAAUGACGAAAAGAAAAAGAAUAAUAUAUAAAAUGUAUCAAUUAAUUUAACAUGGACUUUUAUUAAAUUAAUUAUGUUCCUACUAUUUAAUUCAAAUUUAUGACCCUCUCACAUAAAUUUAUGGAAUCAAUACUUUAUUCUCAGUGAGGUGGGAUUUCAUUUGUUAUAUUAAGAUCUUGAGUGUACUCAACAAACCUUAAUAUGACAUUUGGGUAAAUAUUAUUAUCAAUUGUACCUGCAUACAACUCCUAGAUCAUUAAACUAACAAUUCUUUGUCUUCACACAUCUUAUUGUAAGCUUAAUGUACCUCUAAAAUUUAUCUCCUUCAGUGUACUCAAAAAAAGAUAAAUUUUAGUUAAGUCGGACCCAUCAUUCAGAAAUAUCUAAUAUUUCAUAGUGUAGACUAGCAUGGAGUGUACUCAACAAGUUGAGAUGAUUUGGAACUCUGACUUUUCACUAUAAUGAUGAAAGGCGAAUAAUAAAUUUACUUAAUAUUUAUUGAGGGGUUUUGCAUUUAGAAGCUCAUCAAUGUUGAUAUAAUCAUAUAUACAAUUUAUUACGCAUCAAACAUGCAAAUAAACAUAUAUGUAGUAUAAUAAUAGGGUGGACGAUUAUAGACUUUAACUAUCUAGUUUUUUCAAGCCAUAAGGAAUACUAGUUGGUCAAUUCCUAGGGGAUAUAGCAUUGAAUCAGUAUAAAUGCAGCAUCUUCAUGGUCUCCUCCUUUUCUUGUGUCUUCAAUUAGUUCAGUUGCAACUUGUAUUUUAUACUAGUUGGCACGCAAGCUUAACUGUAAUUGAACUCACAAGCCCAUAACAAUAAUAAUAAUAAUAACGGACUCACAGGUCCAAAAUAAUUAAGAGGUCGUAGGCUCACAAUAAUAACAAUAAUAAUGAACUCGCAAGUCCAAAACAAUUAAGAGUUUGCAGGCCCAUAAAAGACAAGAAUAAGAUCAACCAUUCAAUACAUCCACAUGGUCGAGUCCAUAAUCAUCCACUAAUAAUACAUUCAUCCCAUAAAUGUAUUCAUAUAUAAUAUCUAAAAUUAUAUGCAAAUAUGUUUCGAGUUUCUAGCAAUUAAAGUCGUCUAAACUAUUUUAGACAAAUGAAUCGGAACAAUUAAAUAAUUAAUUAAUCAUAUUAAUCAAUUAAUUUAAUUAGCGAGCAUAUUUAAUUAAAAUCAAAUUUUAAUUAAAUACCGAAUUAGAGUCCAACUCCAAUUCCACAAUUUUAUAGGGCAAUUUUAUUUAAUUAAAAUCAAAUUUUAAUUAAAUAUCAAACUAGAGUCCAACUCUAAUUUCAAAACUUAAGGCGGUCAAAAUUAAUCAAAAUCAAAUUUUAAUUAAAUAGCAAGAUUUGAGACGAAUUUAUUUAAUUAAAAUCAAAUUUAAAUUAAAUAUCAAAUUAGAGUCCAACUCUAAUUUCAAGGAAAAUUUGGGGUAAGACAAUUUAAUUAAAAUCGAAUUUCAAUUAAACGUCAAAUUAGAAUCCAAUUCUAAUUUCAAGAAUAUAUUCGGUUGAAUAAUUAAUUAAAAUCAAAUUUUAAUUAAGUAUUAAAUUAGAGUCCAGCUCUAAUUUAAAUUGAAUUAAUAUUUUAUUCUAGGAUAACAUUCCUAAAUAAAAUAAAAUUCAAUUGGGGUCAAAGUUUAAUAUAUAAGUUAAAAUCAUAUUUUAAUGAAAAUAUAAAAAUUCAUAAAUUUUAAAUAAGGUUUUAAACGGGUCAAAAUUGAAAUUUUGGGCCAAACCCAUUUGAAAAUCAAAUUUAAGUUCAUUUUAUAAUUCAAAUUUAAACACUUUCAAAAUUUGCAGUUUGCCCCAAAUUAAGAUUAAAAGCAAACCCUUCCGAUUUAACAAAUUGUAGAACAGGUCCUUGUUUUUAAAAUUUGCGAACUAACCCUUUUUCAUAAUUGUAGGAAGGGGCCUUCAAUUUCAUAAAUUGCAUGUCGGGUCCCAUCCCAAAUCUCUCAAACCGAUUUCUGGAAACCCUAGAAAAACCAAAUUUAUUUUUGUUUUCUUUCUUCUCCAGGCUGAAGGUGUAUUUUUUUUCUUCUCCAGGUGUCGGCAUCACCGCCAGCGCUUCAUAAACAAAUCGCAGCAAGAGUCCAAUCACCGGGCAGCCCUUGCUGCGUGCUGCAAUAUUUAGCAGUGUGAGAAAAAAAUAGCUGCAGCGAUGCCACUGCAGAUUGCAGUUGUGCUAGCAGCCAAUGGCUGUGGUGGCGCACAGCAGCGCCUACCACCACUCGUGUCACUUUCCGAUCUAUUUACCAAUUUUUAUUUUUAUUUUUAUUUUUUGUUUUUUCAAAAUCAAAUUUUGAACAAAAAAUAAAUUCAAUAAUUGCUAGAUCUAAGAAAACAUGAGUAAAUCAAUCUUUGAUUUCAUCAACAUGUAAAUCAAUUCCUAACAAACAGAAAGUGGGCUCCGAUACCACUGUUGGGAAUCUACAUAUCAUGCACAAUGGAAAUAAAAAUAUAUUUCAGUUCCCACCAAGGAUCUGCUUUGUUUUUAGAUAGAAACUGUGACAAAAUUUGUACAUUUCUUUAAUUCUGCAAACUCUUUUGCUAUUCUUUCUUUGAUUUUGCAAAUUCCUUUGCUAUUCGUUCGUUGAUUCUACAAACUCAUUUGCUAUUAUUUCGCUCGAACAAUCUUGACUUGCCACUCACAGCUGUCCUAUUGUCUAGCCUCCAAUGGAAUUCCACACAGAUAACAAUAUUGUAAAGAGAACUAUGGUUUAUUUUUCUUGUGCCAGCAAAAGGAAUGAAAAUUCUCUACAGUUUUCUAACCCUAGUUGCUUAUUUAUAGAAGCACAAUCAAACGUGGCCUGUCUACUAAGCCGACCCAGUAUUUAAUUAACUUAUUUAAAUAAAUUCGAUCCAUGUAUUAAUUAAUCUAAUUAAUUAAUUUGGGCCUAUAAAUAAGUAACCCAAUUAAUUAAUUUAUCCAACGCUUGUUAAAUUAAUUAAUUGACAAAUUACAAUCUUCUAGUUCUCCUUUUGUGUGCGAUCCAUCAUGUUCCCAAUCACAAUGCCUAACGAAGUGAAGUAUUAUUUUUUGAUCUAAUCAAAAUUGAUAAAUUAAAAGUCACCAAUUUACAUUCGCCGUUCCAGAUUGACAUCUAGCAAUAUGUCAGGGCAAUACAUGUGACGAAAAAUAUCACCUGAUAUGACAAAACCAAACUCAUUCGUUUACCGUGAAAAUAUAAUUCAUUCGUCAAUAUGAUCCGAUCAAUUGCGAGAUAUGAAAGUGUGUCAAUCCCAAUUAUCGAUCAUAUCUUUCAUUCUACUAUUAAGUCAAUAAGUCGAAAACUCAUUUUCGACUUUUGCGUACACCUUGGCUAAGGAUUUCACUAUCAACUUAAUUCAAUGAAAUACAGAUCAUAAUCUCUUACUAUCUAAGAGUGAUGAAUCCUCUAUUGGUCAUUCAUAACUUUCAUACGAUUCUUGACAUAUCUGAAAGAUAACGUUUUAAUGACCCUUGACAGAACAACAUUCAAUACCGCCAAAGUAUGACUGUCCUCAUAUAAGAUACUAUAAUGACCUCAAGUCAAAGGAUCAAUUUCACUACCGAAUGUUAGAGAUUAACCACUGACACUUAAAUUGUUAUCCAUAUGGAAUCUCCCAACGGGUUUCCAGUGUUUUGUUCGACAGCAAAACAUCCACUUAUUCAUUUAAGUGUUAUCAUACUUAAGCUUGUGAGAUCAGCUACUUACUUCACAAGUAAAAAAUGUCACACAUGAUGGUCUAUCUGAAAUAACGAUAUAUGUAUCUCUUUAUUACUUACUAUAACGGAUGAUUUAAGAUUCGAUCAUAUGUAAUUUGUAUCUCACAAUUACAACUCUUUGUGAUUAACAAAUUAUCAAGAUUUGAAUCUACGGACUAUAUUAUCUAAUUUAGUUGACUAUUAAUUAAAUAAUAGAUCUGCCAUAAAAUUGUAUCAAUUAUACAUUAAAAGUAUUUAUGUCCAAGAUUGAUUGGACCUAGAGCAUAACAUUUACAUGUGGGAGGUUGCAUAAGUCAAUUAUGUGUCUUUGUGUUCGAGUAUUGAACAAGGAGAAAAGUAACUGGAAUAAUGCUAGUUGGCUGCUCCUUCAGGGCUUGAGCAUCACCUUAGAUAAAUCAACUGAACAUCUACCGUUAGCCUGUUGCCCACUUUGCGAUCGAGCUGGCAAUAAUAUCGGUGAAAAUUAUGCUUUGCGAUUUAAAUAGCUUUUUGAGUCCUAAACAAUCCCAAACACCUUCUACUAUAUAUAUCCCAGUCCUAUUUCAUCUAUAUUGGUAGUUGACCAUUAUAUUCUUCCUAGAGAACACCUUUUAGAGAUUCUACAUCAAUUUUAUACUUUGAGAUCAAUCAAUCACACUUUCUAAAACAUCAAUCCAAAUUUUCAAAACACCAAAUCACCCAUUUCUAUAUAAUCCGUCAAAAUUCUGAUUAUUGAGAAAGAAAAUCGGAGUUUCGAUAGGACAAGAAUAAGGAGUUCUUGGUGAUCCAUAGGAGAUGGACGAUUCCAAAAUAUAUAUAUAUAUAUAUAUAUAUAUAUAUAACACCUUUUAGAGAUCCUACAUCAAUUUUAUACUCUGAGAUUGAUCAAUCACACUUCGUAAAACGUCAAUCCAAAUUUUCAAAACACCAAAUGACCCAUUUCUAUAUACUCUGUCAAAGUUCUGAAUAUUGAGGAAGGAAACCGGAGUUCCCGUAGGACAAGAAUGAGGAGUUCUUGGUGAUCCAUAGGAGAUGGACGAUUCCAAAAGGUUGGGAGCUAGCACAUGAGCACACAAUCCAAGAGAGCCUUGGUGAUUGUAGGUAAUAGGUCAGAUAGUGCUAGAAGUUAGUCGAGUCUGGAUUGUACUGUAAGUCAUUUUGUCUACAGUCAAUUUAUUGGCUUGGCCUAAAGUUUUUUGAUCCUUUACGAAGAUUUUUUUUUCCAUGAUCAACUAUUGGUGAUUUUCUUUUAUGCAAAUUAUAAACUUUGGUAAUUCAACAUAUGAUAGACUUGCACGUGAAUUCAUAUAGAUUAAUAAAUAUUUGUGACUUGUUGCUUAUAAUAAUUGGUAAAUUUAAAUUUUGAAUUAAUCACCUAUUCAACCCUUUCUAGAUGUUAGUUGGGCCAAUUUCAUCAUUUCAACUAUGUUACUUGAACUUCUCUUUAUUUAAGAAAUUAAUAAUAAAAAAGUUUCAAACUAUAGAAUUUUUAAGUAUCACUUAUUUUAGGUAUUUACAACUUUUACUUAACCCUUGUUUUGUUGAACAAAAAAAGUUUAUUAAAAUCUAAUCCAAAGUCAACAAUUAAUGUUAAUCAUAAGUUUCAUGGAUGACACAUGAUGGAAAUGUAAAUGAUAAGAAGGUUGUUUUGUUCGUAACACGUGAAAGGAUGUUGCUCGAAUUUUGCUCAGAUGGAUGUGGAAGAAAUAUUGAACUUCACCAAUUAACGAAAAAAUUGUAAUAUACUGAUAAAAACAUAUGUAGGAUUUUCGAACCUCGUAAUCAAAGAAAAAUCUUAAUCUGUAGAUAAAUUUUAAUAAAACAAAAAAAAUGUUAAAAUGGCGAGAAUAUCACUAAAUUGACUUAAAGCAGAAAAUUAAUCAAACGGACCCAUACACGAUGAAAUUUACGUUGAAAGUUUGACAACAUCAUUUGAAAAAUUUGUUGAAUUGAAAAAUGCUUCGGAAUGUAAUCACUUGCGUAAAUGUGACACCAAAGCUGAAAGUUGUGUGUUUCGUAGCUCGUUAUUUUUCCUCUUCUUUAAUUAGUUUAUUAUUUUCUCUUCUAAUCGUUCGACACUAUUUCCUUCCACUUUAGAACAAUUCAACCCUAAGUUGUCAUCAAGAUAUGAAGAUUUACCAUUAUCUGAAAUACAUUCAUAAAGAUCUGCAACAUUAAAUGUUUUAGAAAUCAUCACGUGCUUAGUAGGAUUAAGGUUUUUUUUUUUUUUUUUUUUUGCAAAAUUUGAAAAGGCCCGUACUUCUUCUGAUCUAGUUAUUUCUGACUUCCAUCACGUUCUUUCCUUACAAACAUCAUAACCCUAUUAUUCACCUAAAACAUUUUCUAGUGCCUAUCUGUAUCAAUAGUGGCCUUAUACUUUGCAUUGGAGCUUUCGAAUUUUUCUUCUCCUAUUGAAUCACCUCCAUAUGUUGUUCAGCUAGUUAUUCAAUUGUUGCACUCUUUGUCAUAGUUGUUCCACCAAGUUCCUUUAUAUUGUCGGAAAACUUACUCACUAAAUUUGUAGUGGUCAUAAAAGUUUUCCCUUCCACUUUAAAAGUUUUCUGGCAGAUCCUAUCUUUUUAUCCUUCCAUUUGAACAUUUAGGUGUUCUCUACACUCCAAUGUAUGACAUCCACAUCAAACUGUCACUAUUUUCCCAAUAGAACAUAACAUGCAUCAAUCUCAAUAAUGUCACAAAUAAUUUUUGAUUUGUAAAGUUCCCAUGAACAAAGAUAACCUAGAAAUUCAAGUCAUCUUAAUAGAUAGGCCCUUCUUAGUCGAACCAAUGUGAUAAAAAGUUUGAUGUUGUUUAGUUGCCAUCUUUAGAUGAUCAACUAGCUUCUUUGCAAUCACAUUCUCACAGCUAAACUAUCAAUGAUCAGAUAAAAAAAAAAAAAAAAAAAAAAAACAAAAACAACACUUGGCAUAAAAGAUCUUCCUAAUUUGAGUCAACUAUUCCUACUUGGGCAAGCAUAAGAUUUUUUGCAGUAUAUAUACAAACUCUCCUUGUUCUUUUUCACAUACUUCAUCAGAGUAUUCUUCCUCUAGCACCGGAUGAAAACAUGAAUAAUAAUAAUAAUCAAUCUUAUUCGUAAUACACAAAGAAGUGUUGCUCAAAUUUUGUUCGAACGGACAUAGAAAUAUUGGAAUCUACCAAUUAACGAAAUAAAUUAUGAUAUUAUUAAUCAAUACAUUUGUAGGUUAUUCAAUCCCUUUAACACAAAUUUAAAGAAUUAAAACGAACUCCAAUCAAUGCAAAACUCUAAUUCUGUAGAUAAAUCUAAAUAAAAUUAAAAAACUAUAAAAAUGACAAAAAUAUCCUUAAAUUCACUCAAAACAAAAAAUUGCUAAAAUGGAGUCCUAAAUAUUGCAUGCCAUCCACGUGUAUGCUCUUUGUGGUGUAUGCUGUCCACGUAUAUGCUUUUUGUUUGAUGCCAUCCACAAUUGCUAAAAUGAUCCACCAUCUGACUCAUUCAAAUAUUGCAUGCCAUCUACGUGUAUGCUCUUUGUAGUGUCCACAGCCACGCGUAAAAUCCAUAUACCUCCAAUCCAAUGUAUAAAGAUCCGACCAUUGUAAUUGAAAGCUAACUGAGAAAACCAGAAGAUAAAUGGCAUCAAAUCUGAAUCCAAGGUAUGCAUACACAGUGGUUUAUGUUAGAGAUGUAGCCAAAUCUGUUGCAUUUUACGCCAAGGCAUUUGGUUAUCAAGUACGCCGCUUAGAUCACUCUAACAGGUAAAUGACAUUGAAAUAUUAUUGCAAUCAAUGACAUUGAAAUCGUAUUGUUACGUUAGAAUCUCGAAAUCUUAAUGCAUGUUUAGGAACGCUUGUCAAGUUUUAUAAACUAUCAAACGUUAUUUUUAUCUACAAAUUUUAUAUGAUUCACGAUUUAUAAUCUACUGCUAUACUCUUAUCAUAAUUACGUGUAAAUGAGUCUAGCAUUGUAGAAGUAUAUUGAUGUCAAGUAGACGCGGCCACCAGGAUGGUCUUGUUGGGGUCCCUAUGAUUUGUCCGAAUUUAACCCAUCUUUCAUCUAAUUGAAAUUAGAUUUUGUAAAUUUUGAUAAAAAUUGACGAAAUGAAUGGUUGGGAAGUUAUGAAUCUAAUGAAAUGGGUUAUUUAUUUAUUGUAAGCAAAAUUUCAUAUCAACUUAAAAUUUUUGUCAACCUUUUAAUCUAAACCAAGCAGGGUAUUAAAUGCUUUUGAUAGACAAUAAAAAAGAAUACUAAGGAUAUCAACGGCCAUGAUUGAUUUGGAAGGUGUUUUCUUCAACAAGCCAACAACAUCACGAAAAAAAGUCAAUGAUGAUCAGGCUGAACGAAUACUUGCAUCCUACAUCUCUACCUUGACUUUGCGGAUUGGGUCCAUUAAAAAUGAAUAAUAUAACCAUAUGAUCUAAUGUUUUGUAUGUGAAAAUAUUUGAAUCUUGUUCUAAUUUCUUGGGAUCUACAUAUGUUUAUUAAUUUUGUUGAUUGGAUUGGUGUAGAUGGGGUGAGCUGGAGAGUGGGGAGACCACAAUAGCAUUAACACCUGCGCACCAGCACGAGACGGAUGAUUUGAGUGGCGAGGUGCGUAUGCCACAAUCUAGCAAUGAGAGGAACUCAAUCGAAGUCUGUUUUGAAUAUUCAGAUGUGGAUUCCGCCUACAAGGUAUGGUAUAAUUAUUUCCCGCUUGUUAAGAAAUAAACAUAACUUCCUUGUGAAGAUUUUCUAGCAAGUUUGGCACACUGUGAUGUUUUGAGAUUGUUAUUUGUGGACGGAUCAGAAUGCUGUCGAGAACGGUGCCGUACCAGUUAGUGAGCCAGACGAGAAGGAAUGGGGACAAAAGGUAGGAUAUGUUCGAGAUAUUGACGGGAUUGUCGUGAGGAUGGGGAGCUACGUGAAUUCGUCCAAAGCCCAUCACUGAACAUCAGCCUAUAUUCUGGAUUUAUCUCAUCUCAUCUCAUGGCUUUCAUUCCCUUCCUUAAUGUUUGUACCAAUUACAGAUCAUAUACUUUUGGAAGUUGCAGCUCAUCAUUUGAAUUAAUCUUUGUAGAUUGGGAUUAUAAUCCUCUAUAUACAUAGUUGGGUCAAUUUCAAGCGCCAGUCUUUCCAUGACAAAUUCGUUUAUAUUGUGGUUCUCCUAGUUCAUGAUUUGGACCUAGGGUCUUUAUAUAAUUCUUGUAGCUUGGGAUAAUUUUCUUAUAUUUAUGUUGGAAUGUAUGUACGAAAACAUUUAACAUGUGUUUAUUUAAGUUUUCAUAGUCAAGGGCGUUCAAUAUAUAUUCAUUAUUCAUUGGGAUAGUCUAUUAGUUAUUUGAAGGCACAUGAGCAAUAUGUCAUGCACAAUGGAAGUCUCAACGUAUGCAUUGUAGAUUUAUUAUAGCUAGAGAAUCUCAUAUAUAUGGAGUAAUCUCAAUUGAUUAUCUAAAAGUUAAGAUAAUUUUGCGGUUUCACUUAUAAACGUGAGCAUUACUUAAUGAACGCGUUGAUCGAUCAAUUAUAAUUUUUAUUGACGACAUUUCGGUAUCCUCAAAGGAUAAGGAACAACAUUAAAUGCAAUUGAAGAUUGUAUUAGAGAUGCUCAAAAGAGAUUAAUUACAUUUAAAUUUAAGAAAUAUGAAUUUUACUUCGACCUAUAAAUUUUUUCGACAAGUACAUCAUUGCACAAGGAAUUGAAGUGUAUGUGACUGGGGUUAAAGCCAUGGCUAAUUGGUCUAGACCAUUUAUUGUCGAUGAGGUCUGUAAUUUCUUGUGAUUGAUCAGUUAAAUCAGAGAUUACUAAUGGAUUUUUUAAAAUAAGGGACAAAAUAACUCUACUAUCUAGAAAUGUGUAUUGCAAUUUCUGGAUUAUUAUAUGAUGAUUUUUGAACUUUUCAAAUAGAAAAAAAUUAAAUAGAAAGAGAUAGAUUAGAAACAACAUAUAUUAUAACUGGUCUCUCCAAACUUUUCAUUUACAAUUAAGCUGGUCGUACAGGGCGACAUGGGUACAACCAGCAUAACCAUUACAUUUAAGUCCCAUUAAGAGAUUCAAGAUAUCAUACACGUUAUUAUUUUUGGUAGUUUGACAUUUUUCACGGAUUCAGGGUAUAAAGUAACACCAGUGUGCAAAAAUAGGUUUAAAUUAAUAAGCUUUUUGUACAAUGCAAUCACUUUAAAAUGGGGCAAAUUGCAUAAAAUUAAAUAAAAAUCAGUUGCUUUAUAUGAGAUUUAUGAUGAGGUUGGUUUUUUUGUCACAAUUAUAUCUCUUUUACUAUACAAAUUUUUAAUUGUAUUACAAGAGUCUAAUUUUUUCUUUUGUCGCAUUUAUGUUCCUAUCAUUUUUUAUCACUCAUCUUCAAUUUUUUAUUAAUUAGCAUAUUUUGUCCCUUUAGUUUACUUAAAUUUUUGUUUUAGUUUUAUAAUUGAUUAAUAAUAUUUAUUUAAUAUAUUUAUUGUGUAAUAAUAAUGUUUUGAAAAUCAGAUCCGAUUUAUUUGUUUAAUCCAAAAAUUUUGAACUGGUUCCAAAAUCGAUCGGGCACAAGUCAAAAACUAUUUAAGAAAAGGUCGGAAAAGUGGUCAAUAAUAAAUCGAUUGACAGUGGACAUGGGUUUACUAGUUGGAUUCCGUAAAAAAGUGAAAUUUCUUUUUGGUAAAUGAUUCUAUUUUUGCAUUUAAGAGAUGAUAAAUGAAGAUUAGGCUUGAAGAUGAUAAAAUAAUAAAAGAAAAGUGGCUCUGCCGAAAGCUUACGUCCGUGUUUCAAGAAUGAGGACUCAAAAGUGUGGCUGGAUUCACGAGACUUGCAAUAGAGUAACAUGGAUUAAAAAUGCACAUUUUGAAUUAAAUAAUUAGCAUGUUUGACUCAUCUAAAAUUGUUCCAUUAAUGAAUUUUGGGGGGAAAAAAUUACUUCAAUGUUUACUAACUUAAAUUGUUUGGUCGGCAAAGGUAUAGUUUUUCCGACUUCAAUUCUUUGGGUUGGCCAAGGUAUAUUUUUCCCGACCAAAAAAAGUAGUCAACCUAUGUUUUGCCGACUUUGUGUUUAAACCUUCACCAACCCAAAUUAUGAUCAAAAAAAUCUUUAUUAUUCCCAGCCAAAUUCUUGUUGGCAAGUAAAAGCCUAAAAAUUUCCCGACUAAUAUGUAUUGCGUAAAAACCUAUAUAUUUUCCGACUAAAAUGUAUUAUGGUCGGUAAAAACUUUUGUUGGCUGGCUUUUGGCGAUCAACUCCCGACCGAAAUUUUGUAGUACCGACUAAUAUUUGACAUUUAGCGAACAGUCUUUUGGUUGGGAAAAAUCAUAUUUCUUGUACUCUGAGUUGCUCAUUAUAUCUUUAGAGAUAAAAAUGUAGUUGAUAAUAUUUAAAUUUUCAAAUUAUAUUAGAAAAUUUAUUCCUUUAAAUUUUUUGUUGACGUCAAAAAAUGACUAGCUUAAUUUUAUCAACUUUAUUGAUGAUUUGUGAGAGGUAAUUUGAGCCAAAAUAGUAAAAUUAUGCUGAACCAGUGGAAUUGAGCUGAAAUAGUAAUAAAAAUAAAGUGUUUGUAUUAGGUAGAGAAAUUUGGGAGUAUAUACGAUGUGCGUUUAGCUUGUUUUCUCAGGGGACCACUACAAUCCUUUUUAUAGAUAAAGAUGGGCAAUUGCAUGACUUUACAUCAAAUCAGCUAGAAUGCUGACCUUAAUGUGUGUGUCAAUAACCCAAUUUUGAUUAUCUAUUGAGGUCGGUCUCCAUAUGUCAUGAUGAAUUUGAGGCGGAAAGUAAUCAUUGCAAUGGAUGGUCACAAUUUGGGUGCCUCUUUGAUGAAAAUCGAGGCUUUGAUUAUUCAAUCUAAUUAUUUGUGAAGAAAGAUCAUGUUGAGAAUGUGACAGAAUUCACUAUCAAUCGUUAAUUAGAAAUUGCGCGCAUAGAUUUUUCAUGACCAUUAGUUUGCACCUAUACAUUUACUAGCUGUCGUUUGUAUUUAUGAUUAAUUAUGACAUCAAAAUAAGUUUGUUUAUUUGGUGUCUAUUCAAUUAAAAACGCAUUUAACUUAGCCAUCUGUUAUUUCAUGAAUUCUGUGAAUUAAAUAUUGAUUACAUAUGUGAUUUGAUUUCAGUAAAUAAUAUUCACAUUUGUAGAAUUCUGUUUUCUUUUUCGGUUAAUUUACAAUGGUACAUAUUAAUUCCUUCGUUUUAAAUUCCUUGCGUGUUGGAUUUAAUUUACUAAAAUGGCAUUUUUUUCACUUUUAUCCACUAACAAGUGCAUGUGGUUAGGUGUUUGUUCAGUUCGUUUCUGAUUUGGCCAUAACUGAGUCAUAAGGAAUUUUUUUUUUGUAUUGCAAUAUUAUUAAAUGGAGGCCAGCAAUUUCCAUGAAAGCAUGUGAACUUUCUUGCGAAGCAGUUUUUAAGGCCAGAAAUUUAUUAAGAUGAGGGACUCGGAUAGUCAUUUAUGGUAGGUGGAGCAGAAUGGACCACCGAAUUGGAAUGGAACCAAACCUUCCCAUUAGAACAUAGUCUCUAUAUGGCAAUUCAAUCUUGGCUGCAAUUGGUGUAAAAUACAUUAGAUUAUUUAAAUGCAAUAAUUAAUCAUGAAUUUAUUUGAUAUUCACUAAUCUGUGCAUGGAAGUCUCUAUUAUAUUUGAAAGUGCAUGUGUUUUCUUUAAUCAAAAUCAAUUGUGGUGCAAGAAUAAUGCCACCUGUACAUUAAAAAAAAUAAAAUUAUAUAAUGGUUUACAUACAAAUAAUAUGUGAAAAAGAGAACUUGAAAGGAUUUUUUUUUUUUUUUUUUUUUUUGUUAAGGAAAUUCUGACCCAAUAAUAUAUCACUAUAUCAUGUAUAUGUAAACAAUUAUGUACAUGUAGCACAACCAGUGGUGCAGGAUGAUCUAUUUGACCCCGGCAGCAUUACCAAAUGGUGACAUUGUUCACUCUUGAUGUAGUGACCGUUCUUUUAAAAGGCACCUUGUGCAGGUCAAUACGUGAAAUUGGCCCAAUUCACAACAAGAAGUUGGACCCUUUGAGACCCCAGUUUUGUCCAAAGCCAAAAUUAAAAUAUUGGAUCACGUGGUGAUGCAAGGGGAACAUAAAAGAGUGCAGUUUGGUCUUGAUAAAAAACUAAAUACUUAACAUGGAGUCACUAUUUCGUCCUGAUUAUGGAACCAUGGCAGGAAAUUCAACUAAUCCAAUUCUUUGUGACAAGUAGAUUGCAUUGUUGCUAACAAAGUAGGUUCAUCCUUUGAAUAAAAUUUUCCAUCCAUAAAACUUUAGAGUGGCAGCCAUAGCAUGAGGUUUCUGCAUCCGGUUACAAAGGUUAUUUGAGGAACACAUAAUACCCAUGAAUGUCGAUAGAUGUUGAUGGCUAUGCCACCAAUAUCAUGUGUUAUAUAUUUACAUGACUUUGAGGCUAUUGUGCCAAUACCUAAAGUUGACACACUAAAGUUGGUUAGAUUGCAAUACACAAUGUUAAACUGGUACUAAGUAGUUUUCAUUCAAAGUGGGGCAAUUUUUCUGGAGUCAACCAACUUAUGAUUUUAUUUCAUUUUAACUAUCCUACAUACAUUCAUGGUUCAAUACGAUAAUUUUGUCCGUAAUUAUGACCAAAACCAUCCAUUCCCACAAUAACCAACAAAAUGCACAACUUUGCACUUUCUAAAUUCUUAAUCAGUAGUUGGUCGAGAUUGCAUAAAGUCAAAUUUAAAGUUCUUAAAUUCACUCAUUUGAACUUUUUUUAUGGCCAAAAAAUUUCGAUCUUCAUAUUCAAGUAGGAUUAAUCAUUAUCUUCGAGCACGGUUAAGAAAAAUAUGAAGUUGAAUUACAGGAUGAAAAUUGAAGUGAGGGACCAAGAUGAACUUCACUCUAAAUAAAUCAAGGAUCUAAUUCCAUUAUAUGAUAUAAAUGUCCACUGGUUUAUAAAUUUUCAUAAUCCUUCUAAAAUAACCAUACAUCCCUCGCGUUAAUCUCAAGCAACUCCAUAUCUCUCUCUAACUUCGCGUCCGAACUAAUUUUUCAGGUAUAUGUUUUAUAAUGAAAGCAGCUUUUGAUAAUUUGAUUUAAAUUUGUGGAACAAGGAUACGAGUAAUUGAGUAUUGCUACAUUUUUAUUUUUUUAUUUUUUUAUGAUCUGAUCUCAAGAUUUAGCAUUCAAACCUUUUUUAUCCAGUGGAAAAUUUCAAUUAUUUAAUGUAACUGUCUACCUGCUUGAUUAAAAACAGUAUUUUCAAGAAUGGAGAAUUCGAUUAUUAUUAUUAUUACUUUUUUAUGAAUUAAAGUACUAAAUUGAAAUAUGUUUUUGAGAUAAUGUAAAUUAGGGAGUGGGAAUUAAAGUGAGUAGAUAAUAUUUGAAAAAAGGGCUACUGAGGUCCCAGUGAUAAAGAAAAAGUGAUUUAGACGAUGAAGGUUGGAUGUUAAAGUCCUAAAUUUUUAAUGACAAAACAAAAGCUCAUAAUAACUUUAUCGAGAGAAAGAUGAAAUAAUUUGACAAGCACUUAUUGGAGGAAAAAGAAAAAGUAAGAAGUCAAUAAUAUUACAAACUAUCCACCUCACAUAAUACCCACUUAAUGCAUGUAUAAACGAGGAAAAAGAGAAAGGGCGCGAUAAUAAGAAAUCACAAUUAAAAAGGUAAUGAAAAAAAAAAAUUAAAGGUAGAGGAUGGAUAUUGUCUACUGUACCAAGGUAAUUGGUGAGGAAUCAGCCAUCAUUCCACAGGUUUUCCGGGAAAAGUGAUACGAUUUUGUUCCUUCCGCGUGUUUGCUAAAGACUUCCUAGCAUUCCCUGUAUCACAAUUUAUUCAAACAGUAUAAAAACCAAAGAAGAUGGAAGUAUGCCAAAAUCAAUUGAUCAAAUACUUGUUGAUUCCAUCAAAUUUUCAAAACUGAUUUAAAAUUACGAUCUAGCUGAUUCUAUACAAAUACCGUGUUUGGUUGCUUCCCAAAAAAAAACCCGAUAUAGGAUCCAAAAGAACUGGACAAAUCCAAACUCUUUACAAUGUCUCACAUUUUCUUCAUAAAAACACAAUUUCAAGAAGUUCAAAGGGAAAUGUCAACAAAAUGAAGGACAUCACAAUAAAUUAAAAGGCAUAAUUAAUAAAAUAAACUAAAAGAUAACGUUUGAGCAACAGUGGAAUGUUGUACCAAGUUCUCAUAACUCGUGGCUGCUUCACAAGUUCAUAAAUAUAGUUGGCAUAUUAAAUAAGAAAAUAUGAAAUAGUGUUAAAAGUCUUUCGACGUUUCUUUUUAUUCCAUGCACAAUAAACAAGUCACACAGCCUUAGGAGAUUGAAGGAAAGAGAAAAACGAGCCACAAAGCCUUACCAGCAAAACUCAUGCUCUGUUUACUCUAUUAGCAUCGCUAGUGGGAGAUGAUAACUUUAAGCUCUUCAUUUCCCAUUUCUUGUUGUUCUUCCCGAAUUUCCAUAGCAGAUUUUGCGACAGAUUCUGCGCAUCCAUAUACCUCAAUCUUCUGUAAGGUCAAGAUAUAACCUAAACUGGAAGGGAUCUCUUUCAAACAGUGGCAAUAUCGCAGCACUAAUCGUUCAAGUUUGGGGUAAUCAUCACUUGUGGGAUUCCAUUUUGCUGUCGGAUACCAAUCUGCAGAGUCAUAUUGGCUUACAAUUUCCACUCCAUUUAGCUCGAAGAAUUUGAGUUUUUGGAAUUCACCUUCUGCUGUGUCCCAUUGAUUUUCCUUGAAGGAACCACGACGUAAUUUGAGAACCUCUAAGUUCGGCAAUCUCCCAAUCAUCCGAAUUUUUUCCCACGACAAAUAAAAAUCCAAUAGGGUCAAUUUUUUGAGAUUCAAGGGAAAUUUGGGACGUGAAUCUCCCAUGAAACUGAUGUUGAGCGAUUCAAGUUGAUUGGGGAAUUUGAAAGGACAUCGAGACGCGAACUUGCAUUUCAAUUUGCGUAGGUUGGGAGCACAUCCCAAAAUUUUUGCAUCCAUUUUAUCUUGGAUCAAAAGUAGAGAAAUAGAUUGUAGGUUAUUUAUUUGGAAGCUCCCAUCCUUAGUUGCUCUUAAAUGAGAAAAUGCACUGAAGCUUGCACCACGUCCAAAAUGCAGAUGUUUCAAAGUCUUCAUGUUAAGAACGAACUCAGGUAUUUCAACUUUACAUCUGUUCUCCACGUGAAGAUAUUCUAGUUUGUGGAGAUUUUCUAUUACUGGCACUAUAAAUUUUUGUCGAACUGCCAAGUACCUCAAGUGAACCAACUUUUUAAUUCCUACACUUAUAUCUUCAAAAUAAGAACAAUAUUGUCCUGACAAAUCCAUGACCCUGCGGCCUAACUGAGAGUGAACAUAUGGAUCAAAUGGUCUUGGGAAACAAAGACGCUGCAUUUCCAAGAUACUCUUAUCUUCCUUAUACUUCGAAUACCCGCUGAAGAACAAAUGUGGUGACAACAAAAUCACAUCCAAUCAUCAUCAGAAACAAAAACAUCGUUAGUGUGGCCAUCAAAGAUAGUUACAUUAUUAAUAAUCCAAAUAGAAAUAGAAGAAAGUGAACGAGGAAAGAAGGGAGACAAAGAACUUACUUUUCGAUCCCUCCCAUAAAGUUUUCUUCUUUAGCUAUCCUCAAGCAUAUCUCAUGCAAUAGAUCAUGAAUCAUGCAAGUUUUGACUCCACCGUUUGAUCUUUCUUCAGCAACUAGUACCAGACCCCUAUUAAUUAGAUCCAUUAGAUAAUAGUGUGCCACAUCCUCUGAGCUCCUGUUGUUUUCUUUGUUUAUAAACCCUUCAGCAACCCAUAGAGAUAUCAACUUCCGUACCGGGAUUAAUUCGUCUUCUUCAAAUGCUCCAAAGUAUAGAAAACAAGGUUUCAGAUGAACUGGUAAAUGUUGGUAACUAAGUUUCAGUAUGUCGAUGCAAUUAUUUGUGCUGUCAAAUAUGUGUUCAUUUAAAUGCCCCGCUACUUUUCCCCAUGAGCUCUCUUUCUUCUGCAUAUUUGCAAGAAUGGAAGAUAUCGUAAUGACUGACAGAGGUAGACCACGACAUUUUGCGGCAAUAUGCUUACCAAUCUCUAGCAAUUCUGGAGGGCAAGGUUCUGUUUGGAACACUUUCCGCUGUAAUAAUUCCCAACACUCAGC
rnacentral:lncRNA from 1 species